rnacentral:lncRNA from 1 species
GCCCGGCCCCCGGCCCCGUCAAGGCCCGCCACGAGGACACGCAAUCAUGCACGCACCGGGCCUCUUUCGGACGAGCUGUCCGUCUUUGCGCGCCACCGCAUUUUGUGCUGUCUGUAUUUUUUUCUAACUGGCCGGACGGGCCGGCCUCUCCUGUGUAGCCCCGCUCACGCGCGUUCGUUCGCCUCGGAUUCUUUCUUUCUUGCCCCCCUCCCUGUACCGCCAAAUUGAUGAGAUUUGAUUUAUAUUUUUAUUUAUCAUUACUCCCCUUCAUUGUAUUAUGCCAUCCUUGUUUAAUCAUAGAUCUGUCUCUUUCAUCAUGCGCGCGUGCACUGUUUGUUGGGGGUGGGGUGUCCCGUCCUGAGACGUGAUGUGUGCGGUGCUGGCCGGCCAGAUCUGGUUUUGGUUCGAUGUGUAUGGCGCUUGCAUCUGGUCUGGACCUGGACCAGGGACACCGCAACCGAAAUGGGAAUUUUACUUUACCUUUCUCGGACGUGCUCGUUCUAACACGGUCGCAGCUGAAAUGCUAAGACGAUUUGGGUAUUUUUUCCACCCAUGCUUGCCUAUUUAUCUCGAGAAAGAAACUAGCAGGAGCAAAAGAUGGUAGGCAUCUCGUUUAUCACAAGGAGAAAUACGUUCUCCCGAAAUAUCAACCCAUCGAUUCGACCACUGCCGUCAUCAGAAGGAGCCGUUGCGGACUCACUUGCAGAUGCUUUUAACCUCACAAAUGUUGAAAUAAAAAAAAUUAUGUUAUUCUAUACCUAAUAAUAAUAAAGCGACUAUUGCUUUCGUCGGAAAACUCACCGCGACAUUUUCAUAAAAAAAGCCCCUGUAAUUUUUGUUGUUCAACCCGCGCUCCAUCAUUUAUCUCCAACGCAAAAGAAAAAAAACGAUUCGCUGCAAAAAAUAUACUCGUACGCAUCGCCUCAUCCCGUCGAUCCUGGGCCACCCUGGCCUGUGCCCAGGCCGCCGCCACACCACUCGCCGUCGCGGCCGACCUCAACCGCCACCGCUGUCGAUCUCAACCCACCGCCUCCGCGGCCGUACCUCUCACCGCUCACUGCCCCCGUUUGCGGCGCUCGAGCUCAUCGUCGUGACCUGKACCCUUGGUACCACCCUGGCCUGUGCCCAGGUCGUUGCCUACGGACCACNNNNNNNNNNNNNNNNNNNNNNNNNNNNNNNNNNNNNNNNNNNNNNNNNNNNNNNNNNNNNNNNNNNNNNNNNNNNNNNNNNNNNNNNNNNNNNNNNNNNGAGUGUUCACAAUCAUAGAUGGUGUCAAGGAUGAUAUAUUUAUAUGUGAACCUCUCCUUCUUUAUCACUUCCCAUUAAUUGCAACAAUGACCAAGGUCUACGUUUGUCUACCCUCAACAAGUUUGAAUCAUCAUCCUUUUUAUAUAUGAAGCCAUCACUUCCCAUAAGAUCACUAUAUGAUCUCUCAUGGUUUUUUUCUUUCUCGAUCUUUUGAUCAUGGCAAGAGGCAAAGCCCUUCAACUAAGAUACUCCUUAUUAUAUGGCUCACGAGCUCGAAUACAUCAGGGGGAGACGCAAAGCAAAAACUCAAGCCUAAAACACUAAGACAUUUAUUCUACUAGAGAAAGAGAAAAACUGAAAAAGGAACAAACUAAAAACAAAGGUAAAGGCAAAAGAUAUGAUGGUGAUACGAUACCGGGGCAACUCCCCCAAGCUUGGCACAAGCCAAGGGGAUUGCCCAUACCCAUGCUCAGUUGUCUUCCUUUGGAGUGAUGGUGGUCACUGGUGAAGACGACGAACGCUCCGUCUUGAUGCGGGUAGUCGUCAGGGGUGUGGGCCGUUGCCGCGAGGCGGCGGUGGCGGAGCNGAGCAUGAUUGGGAGNNNNNNNNNNNNNNNNNNNNNNNNNNNNNNNNNNNNNNNNNNNNNNNNNNNNNNNNNNNNNNNNNNNNNNNNNNNNNNNNNNNNNNNNNNNNNNNNNNNNCGACCGUUAACCCCCCCUUCGGGUUCCGGCGGCCCUCCGGGUUCGGGCCGUUUAAUGGGGGCCCCCGUCGUUUGGCCCCCCUUUUUCGGCUCCCAUCUUUCCUAUAAGGAGGGUUUCGUUCCNUAAAAAAUCAAGAGUAGGCUUUCGGGAGGAAUCGCCGCCGCCACAGGCGGAACUUGAACAGAACCAGUCUAGAGCUCCGGCAGGGCCGUCCUGCUGGGGGAAACUUCCCUCCCGGAGGGGGAAAUCGUCGCCAUCGUCAUCACCAACACUCCUCUCAUCGGAGGGGACUCAUCACCAUCAACAUAUUCAUCAGCACCAUCUCAUCUCCAAACCCUAGUUCAUCUCUUGUAACCAAUCUCCGUCUCGCGAUUCCGAUUGGUACUUGUAAGGUUGCUAGUAGUGUUAAUUACUCUUUGUAGUUGAUGCUAGUUGGAUUACUCGGUGGAAGAUCAUAUGUUCAGAUCUCUAAUGCUAUUCAAUACCUCUCUGGUCAUGAACAUAAUUAUGUCUUUGUGAAUAUCUAUGCAAUUGUUUAUUUCUAUAGGCAUCACGUCCGAAACAAGUAGACCGAUACUUUCUGCAUCUACUACUAUUACUCCACACGUCGACCGCUAUCCAGCAUGGAUCUAGUGUANNNNNNNNNNNNNNNNNNNNNNNNNNNNNNNNNNNNNNNNNNNNNNNNNNNNNNNNNNNNNNNNNNNNNNNNNNNNNNNNNNNNNNNNNNNNNNNNNNNNGUAACGUAACGUAACGUAACGUAACGUAACGUAACGUAACGUACGUACGUACGUAACGUACGUACGUACGUACGUAACGUAACGUAACGUAACGUAACGUAACGUAACGUAACGGUAUUAAAACCCCGUAACGACGUUUUUAACCCUUUACGACNGUANANACCCUUAGUCCCUGUAGUGGCCUUGCUUGCCGCUACUGUCAGUGGGAAAGGUCACCACAUGGUAGAACCCAAAACCAAGCACUUCUCCCAUUGCAAGAAUCAUAGAUCUAGUUGGCCAAACAAAACCCAAGACUCGGAGAGACUUACAAGGAUAUCAAAUCAUGCAUCUAAGAAAUAAGCAAAGACUCAAAUAUAUAUCAUAGAUAAUCUGAUCACAAAUCCACAAUUCAUCGGAUCUCGACAAACACACCGCCAAAGAAGAUUACAUCGGAUAGAUCUCCAUGAAGAUCAUGGAGAACUUUGUAUUGAAGAUCCAAGAGAGAGAAGAAGCCAUCUAGCUACUAACUACGGACCCGUAGGUCUGAAGUGAACUACUCACGAGUCAUUGGAGGGGCGAUGAUGAUGAUGAAGAAGCCCUCCAACUCCAAAGUCCCCCUCCGGCAGGGCGCUGGGAAGGGUCCCUCUUCAAAUAAACCUUGCAAAAUAAGAGAGAAAAAGGCAUAAAUAUGGUACCAAAAAGUAAUAUAACAGCCCAAAAAAGCAAUAAAUAUCAACAUUAAAAGCAUNNNNNNNNNNNNNNNNNNNNNNNNNNNNNNNNNNNNNNNNNNNNNNNNNNNNNNNNNNNNNNNNNNNNNNNNNNNNNNNNNNNNNNNNNNNNNNNNNNNNGAUAACCCAUAAGAUAGGGACGCAACAGUUUUCGAGGUAGAGUAUUCAACCAAUUUAUUGAUUCGACACAAGGGAGCCAAGAAUAUNUCGAGUAUAGUAUUGAGUUGUCAAUUCAACACACCUGAAAGNUUUAAUAUCUGCAACAAGUAUUUAGUAGCAAAGUAGUAUGGAAGUAACGGUAACUGUGGCAAACGUGAGAGUAGCUGUUUUUGUAGUGAUUGUAACAAUAGCAACAGAAAAGUAACUUAGCAAAGACCAAUAUGUGGAAAGCUCGUAGGCAAUUGAUCGGUGAUGGAUAAUUUUUUCGGGGUGCAUUCAUCAUGCAACAGUAAUAACAUAGGGUGAUACAGAACUAGCUCCAAUUCAUCAAUGUAAUGUAGGCAUGUAUUCCAUAUAUAGUCAUACGUGCUUAUGGGAAAAGAACUUGCAUGCCAUUCUUUKKCCUACUCUCCGUUGUAGGGCCAACCCGGGGGGUUUCCUAAUGGGAAAACUAGGGAUAUUAAGGGCCUCCUUUUUAANGACAACCGGACCAAAAGGCCAUUAACCCAUUUAGUGAAAUACCGUAUCGAACUCCUCNNNNNNNNNNNNNNNNNNNNNNNNNNNNNNNNNNNNNNNNNNNNNNNNNNNNNNNNNNNNNNNNNNNNNNNNNNNNNNNNNNNNNNNNNNNNNNNNNNNNUAACAGAAAGCUUAAACCCUAGUUUAUGCGUUGCUUCGUAAAGGGGCUGAUUUGGAUCCACUAGUUUAAUGUUAUGGUUAGACUUUGUCUUAAUUCUUCUUUCGUAGUUGCGGAUGCUUGCGAGAGGGGGUUAAUCAUAAGUGGGAUGGUUGUCCAAUUAAGGGCAAUACCCAAGCGCCGGUCCACCCACAUAUCCAACUAUCAAAGUAACGAACGCGAAUCAUAUGAACAUGAUGAAAAGUAGCAUGACAGAAAUUCCCGUGUGUCCUCCGGAGCAUUUUUCCUCCUAUAAGACUUUGUCCAGCCUUGUCCCUUGCUACAAAAGGGAUUGGGCCACUUUGCUGCACCAUUGCUACUUUUUUUACUUGUUGCUUGCUACGAAUCACCUCACCAUACAAUCACAUGUUACCGAUAAUUUCAGUGCUUGCAGAUAUUACCUUGCUGAAAACCACUUGUCAGAUCCUUUUGCUCCUUGUUGGGUUCGACACUCUUACUUAUCGAAAGGACUACGAUUGAUCCCCUGUACUUGUGGGUCAUCAAGACUCUUUUCUGGAGCCGUUGCCGGGGAGUGAAGCGCCUUUGGUAAGUGGAACUUGAUAGGAAACAUUCAUAUAGUGUGCUGAAUUUAUUGUCACUUGUCACUAUGGAAACUAAUUCUUUGAGGGGCUUGUUCGGGGUAUCUUYACCUCAAACGGAAGAACAAAGAGUUGCUCCUCAACCUGCUUCACCUACUAGAAAAUAUUUGCUUUGAAUUUCCUUCGAGUAUGCUUGAGAAACUGCUGGCUAAUCCUUUUACAGGAGUAUGGAACAUCACAUCCAGACUUGCAUCUAAUAUAUGUAGAUGAAGUUUGNGGUUUAUUAAGCUUGGCAGGGUUUUUUCCCCCGAAGGUAUUGAAGGUCAAUAGAGGUCUUCUUAUCUUUGAAGGNUAAGGCGUUUAGACAUUGGUACUAGGCUAUGUGAUGAUANNNNNNNNNNNNNNNNNNNNNNNNNNNNNNNNNNNNNNNNNNNNNNNNNNNNNNNNNNNNNNNNNNNNNNNNNNNNNNNNNNNNNNNNNNNNNNNNNNNNCAAGCUAUAAGAGCUGUGUGUUGAACUAUAACAUGCAAGGGAUGAACAAGUCACCCGGCGAGUUAUUCGCGAUGCUGAAAGUCGCAGAGUCAGAACUCCGUAAAGAGCAUCAAGUGUUGAUGGUGAAUAAGACCACCAGUUUCAAGAGAAACGACAAAUGGAAGAAGGGUAAUUCAAAGAAGAGCGGCAAGCCUGAUGCCAAUCCAACGAAGAAGCCCAAAGUAGGACCUAAGCCUGAAACAGAGGGCUAUUAUUGCAAGGGUAUGGGUCACUGGAAGCGCAACUGCCCCAAGUAUCUGGCUGAUAAGAAGGCGGCCAAGGAAAAAUCAGGUGUAUUUGAUAUACAUGUUAUUGAUGUGUACUUAACCAGCUCUCGUAGUAGUGCCUGGGUAUUCGAUACCGGUUCUGUUGCUCAUAUUUGCAACUCGAAACAGGAACUGCGGAAUAAGUGAAGGCUGGCGAAGGAUGAAGUGACGAUGCGCGUGGGAAAUGGUUCCAAGGUUGAUGCAAUCGCCGUCGGCACAGUUUCACUUCAGUUACCAUUAGGAUUAGUUAUGAACUUAAAUAAAUGUUAUUUAGUGCCUGCUUUAAGCAUGAACAUUAUAUCUGGAUCUUGUUUAUUGCGAGACGGUUACUCGUUUAAGUCAGAGAAUAAUGGUUGUUCUAUUUCUAUGAGUAAUAUAUUUUAUGGUCAUGCACCCAAUGUGAAAGGAUUGUUCAUAUUGAAUCUUGAUAGUGAUAAUACACAUAUACAUAACAUUGAGACCAAAAGAGUUAGAGUUAACAAUGAUAGCGCCAUUUUUUAUGGCACUGCCGCUUAGGUCAUAUUGGUGUAAAGCGCAUGAAGAAACUCCAUACCGAUGGACUUUUGGAGUCACUUGACUUUGAUUCACUUGACACGUGCGAACCAUGCCUCAUGGGCAAGAUGACUAAAAUUCCGUUCUCCGGAACAAUGGAGCGUGCAAGUGACUUGUUGGAAAUCAUACAUACAGAUGUGUCUGGUCCGAUGAGUGUGGAGGCACGCGGCGGAUAUCGUUAUUUUCUCACCUUCACUGACGAUUUGAGUAGAUACGGUUAUGUCUACUUGAUGAAGCACAAGUCUGAAACAUUUGAAAAGUUCAAACAAUUUCAGAGUGAAGUCGAAAAUCAUCAUAACAAGAAGAUCGAGUUCCUAUGGUCUGAUCGUGGGGGUGAAUAUCGGAGUUUCGAGUUUGGUGCUCACUUAAGACAAUGUGGAAUUGUUUCACAGUUGACACCGCCUGGAACACCAGAGCGUAAUGGUGUGUUCGAACAUCGUAAUCAUACUUUAUUUGAGAUGGUGCGAUCUAUGAUGUCUCUUACCGAUUUGUCGUUAUCGUUUUGGGGUUAUGCAGUAGAAACAACUGCAUUCACUUUAAAUAGGGCACCAUCGAAAUCCGUUGAGACGACACCAUAUCAGCUGUGGUAUGGCAAAAGACCAAAGUUGUCGUUUCUUAAAGUUUGGGGAUGUGAUGCUUAUGUCAAAAAGCUUCAGGCUGAAAAGAUGGAAUGCAAAGCGAAAAAGUGCGUCUUCAUAGGUUACCCAAAAGAGACAGUUGGGUAUACCUUCCGUCUCAAAUCCGAGGGCAAAGUGUUUGUUGCUAAGAACAGAGCUUUUCUCGAGAAGGAGUUUCUCUCGAGAGAAUUGAGUGGGAGGAAGAUAGAACUUGAUGAGGUUGUCGAACCUCUCAUCCCUCUGGAUGGUGGCGCAGGGCAAGGGGAAACCCGUGUCGUUGCGACGCCGGUUGAGGAGGAAGUUAAUGAUGAUGAUCAUGAAACUCCGGAUGAAGUUCCUAUCGGACCUCGCAUGUCGACGAGACUGCGUACUACUCUAGAGUGGUACGGUAAUCCCGUCUUAUCAAUUAUGUUGUUGGACAACAAUGAGCCUGCGAAUUAUGAAGAAGCAAUGGUGGGCCCGGAUUCCAACAAAUGGUUGGAGGCCAUGAACUCCGAGAUAGGAUCUAUGUAUGAAAACCAAGUGUGGACUUUGGAAGUACUACCUGAAGGCCGCAAGGCUAUUCACAACAAAUGGAUCUUUAAGAAGAAGACGGGCGCUGACGGUAAUGUGACCGUUUAUAAAGCUAGACUUGUGGCAAAGGGUUUUUCACAAGUUCAAGGAAUUGACUACGAUGAGACAUUCUCACCCAUACCAAUGCUUAAGUCCGUCCGAAUCAUGUUAGCGAUAGCUGCAUUUUUCGAUUAUGAAAUCUGGCAGAUGGAUGUCAAAACGGCGUUCCUUAACGGUUUCCUUAAGGAAGAGUUGUAUAUGAUGCAACUUGAAGGUUUUGUCGAUCCUAAAAAUGCUAACAAAGUGUGCAAGCUCCAGCGAUCCAUUUAUGGACUGGUGCAAGCAUCUCGGAGUUGGAAUAAACGCUUUGAUGAGGUGAUCAAAGCAUUUGGGUUUAUACAGGUGGUUGGAGAAUCCUGUAUUUACAAGAAAGUGAGUGGGAGCUCUGUGGCGUUCCUAAUACUAUAUGUGGAUAACAUAUUACUGAUUGGAAACGGCUGGAGCUUUUGGAGAGCAUAAAGGAUUACUUGAAUAAAAGUUUCUCUAUGAAGGACCUAGGAGAAGCUGCUUACAUUCUAGGCAUAUAGAUCUAUAGGGAUAGAUCAAAACGCCUGAUAGGUCUUUCGCAAAGCACGUACCUUGAUAAAGUUUUGAAGAGGUUCAAAAUGGAACAGUCCAAGAAGGGGUUCUUGCCAGUUUUACAAGGUACGAGAUUGAGUAAGACUCAGUGCCCAGCAACUGAUAAAGAUAGAGAGCAUAUGAGUACCGUCCCCUAUGCUUCAGCCAUAGGUUCUAUCAUGUAUGCAAUGUUGUGCACUAGACCGGACGUUAGCCUGGCCAUAAGUAUGGCAGGCAGGUUCGAGAGUAAUCCAGGAGUGGAUCACUGGACGGCGGUCAAGAAUAUCCUGAAGUACCUGAAAAGGACUAAGGAGAUGUUUCUCGUAUAUGGAGGUGACAAAGAGCUCGCCGUAAAAGGUUACGUCGAUGCAAGCUUUGAUAUAGAUCCGGACAACUCUAAGUCGCAGACCGGAUACGUAUUUAUUCUUAAUGGGGGUGCGGUAAGCUGGUGCAGUUCCAAGCAAAGCAUCGUAGCUGAUUCUACAUGUCAAGCGGAGUACAUGGCCGCCUCGGAGGCAGCUAAGGAGGGUGUCUGGAUGAAGCAGUUCAUGACGGAUCUUGGAGUUGUGCCGAGCGCACUGAAUCCAAUAACCCUGUUUUGUGACAACACGGAAGCCAUGGCCUUAGCAAAGGAACCACGGUUUCACAAGAAGACCAGACACAUCAAACGACGCUUCAACCUCAUCCGCGACUACGUCGAGGAGGAGGACUUGAAUAUCUGCAAAGUGCACACGAAUCUGAAUGUGGCAGACCCGCUAACUAAACCUCUUCCACGGGCAAAGCAUGAUCAACACCAGAACUGUAUGGGUGUUAGAUUUAUUACAAUGUAAUUCACAUGACGAUGUGAGGACUAGAUUAUUGACUCUAGUGCAAGUGGGAGAGUGUUGGAAUUAUGCCCUAGAGGCAAUGAUAAAUAAGUUAUUAUCAUAAUUCCUGUAUCAAGAUAAUCGUUUAUUAUCCAUGCUAUAAUUGUAUUGAAUGAAGACUUAGAUACAUGUGUGGAUACAUAGACAAAACAAUGUCCCUAGCAAGCCUCUAGUUUGCUAGCCAGUUGAUCAAGGAUAGUCAAGGUCUUCUGACUAUGUACAAGGUGUUGUUGCUUGAUAACUCGAUCACAUCAUUGAGUGAAUCAUGUGAUGGACUAGAACCAAAUUAAUGAACGUAGCAUGUUGAUUUUGUCAUUUUAUUGCUACUGUUUUCUACAUGUCAAGUAUUUAUUCCUAUGACCAUGAGAUCAUAUAACUCACUGGCACCAGAGGAAUGCCUUGUGUGUAUCAAACAUCACAACGUAACUGGGUGACUACAAAGAUGCUCUACAGGUAUCUCUGAAGGUGUGGAUCAAGACUCGAAUUUGUCACUCCGUGUGACGGAGAGGUAUAUCGGGGCCCAAUCGGUAAUACAACAUCACACACAUGCCUUGCAAGCAAUGUGACUUAGUGUAAGUCACGGGAUCUUGUAUUACGGAACAAGUAAAGAGACUUGCCGGUAAAUGAGAUUGAAAUAGGUAUGCGGAUACUGACGAUCGAAUCUCGGGCAAGUAACAUACCGAAGGACAAAGGGAAUGACAUACGGGAUUAAAUGAAUCCUUGGCACUGAGGUUCAAUCGAUAAGAUCUUCGUAGUAUAUAUAGGAUUCAAUAUGGGCAUCCAGGUCCCGCUAUUGGAUAUUGACCGAGGAGUCCCUCGGGUCAUGUCUACAUAGUUCUCGAACCCGCAGGGUUUGCACACUUAAGGUUCGGUGAUGUUUUAUGUGUAUUUGAGUUAUAUGGUUGGUUACCGAAUGUUGUUCGGAGUCCGGAUGAGAUCACAGACGUCACGAGGGUUUCCGGAAUGGUUCGGAGACGAAGAUUGUUAUAUAGGAUGACCUCAUUUGAUUACCGGAAAGUUUUCGGGCAUUACCGGGAAUGUACCGGGAGUGACGAAUGGGUUCCGGAUGUUAACCGGGGGGCCCAGCCCACCCGGGGGAAGCCCAUAGGCCUUAGGGGUGCCGCACCAGCCCUAAGUGGGCUGGUGGGACAGCCCUAGAGGCCCUAUGCGCAGGAGAUAAAGAAAUCAAAUGAAAAAAAGGGGAAGUGGGAAGGAAGCGAAGGACUCCACCUUCCAAUCCUAGUUGGACUAGGAUUGGAGGAGGAUUCCUCCUCCCCUUGGUUCGGCCGACCCGUUGGGGCUCCCUUGAGCCUCAAGGCAAGGCCCUCCCCCCUCCCUCCUAUAUAUACUGAGGUAUUAGGGCUGAUUUGAGACAACUUUGCCACGGCAGCCUGACCACAUACCUCCACGGUUUUUCCUCUAGAUCGUAUUUUUGCGGAGCUUGGGCAGAGCCCUGCUGGGAUAGAUCAUCACCAAUCUCCGGAGCACCGUCACCCUGCCGGAGAACUCGUCUACCUCUCCGUCUCUCUUGCUGGAUCAAGAAGGCCGAGAUCAUCGUCGCGCUGUACGUGUGCUGAACGCGGAGGUGCCGUCCGUUCGGCACUAGAUCGGAGCGGAUCAUGGGACGGAUCGCGGGACGGUUCGCGGGGCGGAUCGAGGGAUGUGAGGACGUUCCACUACAUCAACCGCGUUUCUUAACGCUUCCUGCUGUGCGAUCUACAAGGGUACAUAGAUCGGAAAUCCCCUCUCGUAGAUGGACAUCACCAUGAUAGGUAUUGCAUGUGCGUAGGAUUUUUUUGUUUCCCGUAACUCGUACCCUACAGCUUAUGAUGAUGCUUUGCUUGAUACUGCUGUGCCACUGGGUGCAUUCCUUGAUGCACAAAUUGCUAUAGUUGCUGCUGAAUGUGAUGAUACUUCUGAAUCUGCUAAAUUAUUGAAGUAGAACCUGUUGUUUCACCUGUUAGAACUAGCUCUCCUAGAUAUGAAUUGCCUAAUAUACCCGAGGGUUACGUUAUGGAGGGAGAGGUAGGUGAUGACUUUCUUGCUUAUAAGGAUAGUUAUGAUCUUGAGAAUUUAUUGAUCAAGUGGAAAGAAAAAUCUCUGAAUGCUAGAAUGAAAUACGAUCCUAAGUUUGCUACUUCUCCCAUCUUUGUGACUGAUAAGGAUUAUGAAUUCUCUGUUGAUACUGAGUUGAUCACUUUGGUUGAAUCUGAUCCUUUUCAUGGUUAUGAGUCUGAAAUGGCUGUAGCACAUCUUACUAAGCUGAAUGAUAUAGCCACCUUAUUCACGAGUGAGGAAAAGAUUCGCCAUUACUAUAUCCUUAAGUUGUUUCCUUUCUCGCUAAAGGGUGAUGCUAAGACUUGGUUUACUUCUCUUGCUGCUCGUUGUGUGCGUAGUCCCCAGGAUAUGAUCUACUACUUCUGUGAGAAAUAUUUUCCUCCCCAUAAGAAACAAGCUGCCUUGCAGUAUAUAUAUAUAUAACUUUGUGCAAGUUGAAGAAAAGAGUCUCCCACAAGCUUGGGGAGGCUUGUUCAGUUACUGAAUGCUUUGCCUGAUCACCCUCUUGAGAAAAAUGAAAUACUUGAUAUCUUUUAUAAUGGACUAACCGAUGCUUCUAGGGACCACCUAGAUAGUUAUGCUGGUUGUGUUUUCAGGGAACGAACUAUGGAACAAGCUGAAAUUCUAUUGAAUAAUAUCUUGAGCAAUGAUAAUGCUUGGACUAUUUCCGAACCACCUCCGAAGCUAACUCCGAAGAAAAGAGGUAUUCUAUUCCUCAGUCCUGAAGAUAUGCAAGUAGCCAAGAAAUCUAUGCAAGAGAAAGGUAUUAAAUCUAAAGAUGUUAAGAAUUUACCACCUAUCGAAGAGAUACAUGGUCUUGAUAACCUGACACAGGUAGUAGAGGUAAAUUCUCUUCGUAGAUUCAAUGAGAGUGAUAUUCCUUUUGAUAAACCUACUAGCUUAUGCUUAGAUGAAUUUGAUAACUUUGUUGCCAAACAACAAAGUUUCAAUGAUUAUGUUAGCAGGCAAUUGGAACAAAAUGCUCGCAUGAUUAAUCAUUUAAGUGCUUGUGUGGAUAGAAAUGUCAAUGAUCUUAAGCUUUUGAGUAAACAUGCCUCUAUGGUCACUACUCAAGUAGAACAAGUACUUAAGGCUCAAAAUGACUUGCUCAAUGAGUUGAAUCACAAUUCUGUUAGAGUCGUCACUAGAGGUGGUAGAAUGACUCAAGAACCUUUGUAUCCUGAGGGCCAUCCUAAGAGAAUUGAACAAGAUUCUCAAGGAGUUAGCACUGAUGCACCUAGUCAUCCUAGUAAUAGGAAGAAAACGAAAGAUGAUAGGAAUUUGCAUGCUAGCAAACCAGCUGCUGUUACACGUGAGAAUCCAAAUGAUAUAUCUGUUUCUGAUGCCGAAACACAAUCUGGUGAUGAACAUGAGACUAGUGAUAAUAUCUAUAGUGGUGUUCAUGAUGAUGCUCAACCUAGUAAUGAUAAGGAUGUGGAGAUUGAACCUGUUGUUGAUCUUGAUAACCCACAACCUAAGAACAGGAGAUAUGAUAAGAACGACUUUAUUGCUAGGAAGCAUGGUAAAGAAAGAGAACCAUGGGUUCAGAAACCCAUGCCCUUUCCUCCCAAACCAUCCAAGAAAAAGGAUGAUGAGGAUUUUGAGCACUUUGUUGAAAUGAUUAGACUUGUCUUUCUGCAAAUGCGUUUGAUAGAUAUGCUCAAAAUGUCUCCUUAUACUAAGUACAUGAAAGAUAUUGUGACUAAUAAAAGGAAGAUACCUGAGAUUGAGAUUUCCACCAUGCUUGCUAAUUACACCUUCAAGGGUGGAACUCCUAAGAAACUAGGUGAUCCCGGAGUGCCACUAUACCUUGCUCCAUUAAAGGAAAUUAUGUUAGAACUGCUUUAUGCGAUCUUGGAGCUAGUGUUAGUGUUAUGCCUCUCUCUCUUUAUCGUAGACUUGAAUUGGAUAAGUUGACACCCACUAAAAUGUCUUUGCAAAUGGCCGACAAAUCAACUGCUUUUCCUAUCGUCAUUUGCGAGGAUGUGCCUGUUGUGGUUGCUAACGUUACUAUCUUAACGUACUUUGUUAUUCUGGAUAUUCCCGAGGAUGAUGCCAUGGCGGUCAUCCUUGGAAGACCCUUUUUAAACACUACAGGGGCUGUUAUUGAUUGCAACAAAGGCAAUAUCACUUUCCAUGUUAAUGUUAAUGAGCACACGGUGCACUUUCCGAAGAAACAAUAUCGAGUACAUUGCAUCAAUGCUAUUAAAAAACUUCAUCAAUUCUUAUUGGAAGCUUUGAAUGCCCUAUGCCUAUUGUCAAGAUGAAGUAUGAUUUACUUGUUGGGGAUAUGCACAUUCCCGUUGAGGUAACCUAGUGAUUAUUCAAAAAUUCUCCGGUUUUAUGUGAUUCGAAAAAAGUUUGUCAAGGAGACUUGAUCAACCUCAUUGACGGAUUUCUUUUGAUGACCAUGAGAUGGAUGAAUCUAGGAGUCACAACCUUCUGUUCCGAACUUUUAUUUUCUGUUGUUAAGAAGAAAAAUGAUAAAUUUAGCUUUAUUUUCCUGUUUUCUGCUUUUUGCGUCCCUUAGAAAAGUGUCCCGAAAAUAAAAGUUCUUCAAAUGCACUGAAAUUGAAGUAUGAUUUUUUCUGGAAUUUCUGAAAAAUUCUGAGAUAGAGAGCUAGUCAGGGGGAUGCACCAGUGGGCCACAAGCCCAGGAGGUGCGGGCACCCCCCUGGCCGCGCCUGGAAGGCUCGUGGGGCCCACGUGCCCCCUCCACUUAUUCCAUCUCCCAUCUCCUUCUUCUACCUCCAGAAAAAAUCAUUCCACAACUCAAACCCGUGUUCUUGCUGCAUUUUUUGAUCUCCUUGUGCAAAGCCCCAUUCACCAAACUGUUUGGGGGGAAUUGUUCCUUGGUAUGUGACUACUUCAUUGGUCCAAUUAGUUUUUGCUCUAGUGCUUUAUUCGUUGCAUAUUUUUGCUGCCUUGGUGACCCUGUUCUUGAGCUUUGCUUGUUAAUUUUAGUUGGUCCCAAGUAGUUUUGAUGCAUGAUAUGGCCUCUAGGCACUUGUAGGAGUAGUUGCUAUGAGUUUUGUUGAGCCUUGUUCACUUUUCUUUUGUGUCACUAAAAAUUUCAGAAAAGGAAGAUGUUCAAGAGAAAGUAUCAUGGUGGUUCCUCAAGCAAAAGGGGUCCCCGUCUCUCGAUUCGGGAGCCCGAUCCUUAUCAGCCGAGGAACGCACAGGUACAACCAUGUGACUGGCCUUCCGAUGAAUUCAUGAUUGAUGCAGGUUUCAAGGACGAGUUUGAUACAUUUGUUCACAACAUCGGGCUCGAAGAAUUCAUCUCCAACAAAUGCGAACGGUAGAUGCAUUAACGACAAGAUUAAGCAUUGUCACCUCUACGCACCUGACCUUAGUAUUCUUAAGAGCGCAGUAACGGGUGAUAGAAGUUUCAACAUGGGAGCUAUAAUCGCGAGGAGGCUAAAUAAUAAUUCUAAUGAAGGGAUUUCUUUGGUGGGAUCUAUGCCACCCGCAUAGCAAAUUUUCUUGGAGUACCCAUCCACGAAGGAGAUCCCCCGCUCCAUACAACUUUCCUUGAUCGCACCGCUAUGACACGCUAUCAGUUCCUUGAGAGGGAAAAUGAAUUUCUCCUAUACCGCUUAAUUUUUAACCGACAUCGUGUUUUCCAUAUUACCCUUCCUGCUCCUGCCUUCUUUGACUUUCAGGUAAAACGGAGAUAUUACAUAACCAUAGGAGAGGCAGAGGAGUAUGAGAGGGAGGCAAAGGCUGCUCGCCUCCGUGAGGCAGCUAGUCAGGCGGUAGCUGCUGCGUUCCCGUACAACCCCCAUUAUGAUUUUGGAUAUAGCCAGGACCAGCCGUGGGAGUAGACCAACUUAGGCCAAAAGCCUAAGCUUGGGGGAGUAUGUGUUUCACACCCACUUUAUAUUUAUGCUCACGAUUUCACCUUGCUAGUCGGUGUUCACACCUUGCCACUGUAUCAUCCAUGCUAGUUUAUUUAUUUUUCUCGCUUUCUUAUCGUGUGUUUGUUUAGAUUGAGAAAAACAAAAUAAAAUUAGUUGUAAGUUUACUUUCCAUCUUGCUUAGUGGUGUUUAAAAAGAAAACCCAAAAAUAUUUCCCGUUCUUCUUUUGCUUGUUGGGGGCUUUCCCGUGUAAAUAGUUUUCUUUUUCUUUGGGUCAAGGUAGAAGACCAUGAUUAAAAUGUUUAGUGGCUCUCACAUGCAUGUAUAUUUAUCCUCAAAGAGCGAUAUUACUUUGUCUUCUCCUCUGUGUUUGCUUGCAAAUUCCAGCUUAGUCCAAUGCACGAACACUCUCAUUAUUAUUCGCAUCAUUCGGUCGUGCAAGUGAAAGGCAAUAAUGACGAUAUAUGAUGAAGUGACUGAGCCUGGAAAAGCCGGUAUGAGCUCGAUCUAUUUUGUAUUUGUAAAUAUGACUAGCUCAUCGUUCCUAAUCCAGCAUUGUUAUGAGAGAAACAUGUUUGCAAUGACAACUUAGUGAUCAUAGUUUUUGAUGCCAUGCUUAAUUAGCUAGGAGCUUAUAAUGGUUUGUCAUGGAUGCCAACAUGAAUUUCAAGAUGAUUAUGAUGUAGUAUGAUAGGGUGGUAUCCUCCUUUGAAUGAUUCAAGUGGCUUGACUUGGCGCAUGUUUACACAUGUAGUUGAAACAGAAUCAACAUAGACUCUAUGAUAUUCAUGUUUAUGGUGAUUGAUGUCCUACUCAUGCUUGCACUCAAUGUUGGUUAAUUUCAAUGCAUAUUGAUGAUUGUUGUCGCUCUCUAGUUGGUUGCUUCCCAGUCUUUUGCUAGCCUUCACUUGUACUAAGCGGGAAUACUGCUUGUGCAUCCACUUCCAUAAACCCAAAGUUGUUCCAUAUGAGUCCACCAUACCUACCUAUAUGCGGUACCUACCUGCCGUUCCAAGUAAAUUUUCAUGUGCCACUCUCUAAACCUUCAAGUAAUAAUCUGUUAUGCAUGCCCGAACCGCUCAUGUGGUGACAAGGGGCGGUCAGUAUCUUCCAUGCUAGGCGUGUUAUCCUCGAUACAUGUUUAUUCACUAUCACUCACGAGAAAUGGGUCGGUAAACGGAAUGCCCAGUUCCAUGCUCAAAUCAAAAAUGUAAUUGCAAACAAAACUCCCCCUGGAUUGUUGUUGGUAUGGACGGCACCCGAGGAUUCGGCUAGUCGUGGAGUGUGAUUGAUCGGUGGUGGGGGAGUCAAAACUUUACCUUUCUGUUUGGGAACCGCCUAUAAUAUGUGUAGCAUGGAAGAUGGUGAAAACUCUUGGUCAUCGCGUUGACAAUGAAAGCAUGCCACCCAAAAUUAUUUAUCUCUAUCUUCAAAGCUUGAGCUCUGGCACCUCUGCAAAUCAAUGCUUCCCUCUGCGAAGGGCCUAUCUAUUUAUGUUUUUGUUGAGUCAUCCUCUCCUUAUAAACACACCAAUUAGAGAGCACCUUCGUCAUUUUUAUGCUUUUCUAUUAAUUGUUAUUGAGUAUGACUGUGACUGGAUCUUAUUUGCCAUGAAUUACAAUGUUCAGUCACCCCUUGGUCUUUGAAGGUGCUCUGCAUUUAUGGUUUGCAGUCUCAGAAAGAGCUAGCGAGAUACCAUCUGUUCAUAUUGCUUCAUGAUUGUUUUGAUUGAAGUGUUGACGUUUGAAACUCAUUAUUAUUGCUCGCUAGUUGAUUAUGCCAUUGAAAUGAGUACAUCAUCAAACAUAAAUGUCAUUGCUUAUGUGGUUCGCUUAUGAUCUUGCUGAAAAUCCGAAUAUGAGUUAGACAUGAUUACAGCAACAAGAUCAAACAGAGUUCGUAAAAGUUUUUCUUUUUUAUCUUUCAAUUUGUCAACUGAAUUGCUUGAGGACAAGCAAGGCUUUAAGCUUGGGGGAGUUGAUACGUCUCCAUCAUAUCUACUUUUCCAAACUCUUUUGCCCUUGUUUUGGACUCUAAUUUGCAUGAUUUGAAUGGAACUAACUGAUGACCCACAAGUGUAGGGGAUCUAUCAUAGUCCUUUCGAUAAGUAAGAGUGUCGAACCCAACGAGGAGCAUAAGGAACUGACAAGUGGUUUUCACCAAGGUAUUCUCUGCAAGCACUGAAAUUAUCGGUAACAGAUAGUUGUGUGAUAAGAUGAUUCGUAGAAAGUAGCAAGUAACAAUAGUAACAAAGGCACAGCAAAGUGGCCCAAUCCCUUUUGUAGCAAGGGACAAGCCUGAACAAACUCUUAUAUGAGGUAAAGCGCUCCUGAGGACACAUGGGAAUUUCUGUCAAGCUAGUUUUCAUCAUGUUCAUAUGAUUCGCGUUCGCUACUUUGAUAAUUUGAUAUGUGGGUGGACCGGUGGUUGGGUGCUGCCCUUACUUGGAAAACGUACCACUUAUGAUUAACCCCUAUUGAAAGCAUCCGCAACUAUGAAAGAAGAAUUAAGACUAAAUUUAACCAUAGCAUUAAACUAGUGGAUCCAAAUCAGCCCCUUACGAAGCAACACAUAAACUAGGGUUUAAGCUUCUGUCACUCUAGCAACCCAUCAUCUACUUAUUACUUCCCAGUGCCUUCCUUUAGGCCCAAAUAAUGGUGAAGUGUCAUGUAGUCGACAUUCACAUAACACCACUAGAGGAAAAACAACAUACAACGCAUCAAAAUAUCAAACGAAUACCAAAUUCACAUGACUACUUAUAGCAAGACUUAUCCCAUGUCCUCAGGGGCAAAAGUGACUACUCACAAAGCAUAAUUAUGUUCAUGACCAGAGAGGUAUUGAAUAGCAUUAGAGAUCUGAACAUAUGAUCUUCCAUCGAGUAAUCGAACUAGCAUCAACUACAAAGAGUAAUUAACACUACUAGCAACCUUACAAGUACCAAUCGGAGUCGCGAGACGGAGAUUGGUUACAAGAGAUGAACUAGGGUUUGGAGAUGAGAUGGUGCUGAUGAAGAUGUUGAUCGUGAUGAGUCCCCUCCGAUGAGAGGACUGUUGGUGAUGACGAUGGCGACGAUUUCCCCCUCCGGAAGGGAAGUUUUCCCGGCAGGACGGCCCUGCCGGAGCUCUAGAUUGGUUGUGCUCAAGUUCCGCCUCGUGGCGGCGGCGAUUCCUCCCGAAAGCCUCCUCUUGAUUUUUUAUCGAUUUAAACCCUCCUUAUAGCAAAACAUGGGAGCCAGAGGGGCAACAGGGGGCCCACAAACCACCCAGGCAUGGCCAAGGGGGUAGGCCGCGCCUGGGUGGCUUGUGGCCUCGUGGUGGCUCCCCUCCAGUACUUCUUCCGCCCAGUAUUUUUUUAUAAAAUCCAAAAUAAUUCCUCGUUGAUUUUCACGGCUUUUAGAGUUGCGCAGAAUAGGUAUCUCAAACUUGCUCCUUUUUCAGACCAGAAUUCCAGCUGCCGGCAUUGUCCCUCUUCAUGUAAACCUUAUAAAAUAAGAGAGAAAAGGCAUAAGUAUUGUAGCGUAAAGUGUAAUAACAUCCCAUAAAGCGAUAAAUAUCAACAUAAAAGAAUGAUGCAAAAUGGACGUAUCAACUCCCCCAAGCUUAGACCUCGCUUGUCCUCAAGCGGAAGCCGAGAUCAAUAAAUAUGCCCACAUGUUUAGAGAUAUUGGUGUCGGUAAAACAAAAUACGGACAUGCAUGCAUCAUGAUCAUAAUUAGAACAACAAUAGCGUCAUAUAAACUCUUAUGCUAAAGUGACAAUUCCUUCACAAAGUAAAGUAUGGAUCAAGAAUCUUAUUGAGAAUUAACAACCAAUAGCCUUUAGUCAUUGAAACAAUAGCAAUUUAUCAUAACAUCGGAAAGAGUCAAAUAAGAGCCUGUAAAGCAAAUCCACAUACUCAAUCAUCUUUUAGUCUUCUACAAUUGCUUAAACUCACGCGGUACUCAUGAGAUCAAAGUUUCAGUGGAACACAGAGAAAGAUAGGGACUUAUAGUUUCACCUCCCAACUAUUUACCUCAAGGGUAAAGUCAACAAUAAUAAUUCAUGAAUACUUACUUCCAAGUUGACAUAUGAAUAUAGAUCUUUCCCUAGCAUAUGACGUUAGCCAAGAUAAAGGCGAAAUAAGGAAUUGGUGUCGAUCACCAUGACUCUUUUAAGGACAAAAAGUAAAGGUACAAGAUAGGCCCUUCGCAGAGGGAAGCAGAGGUUGUCAUGCGCUUUUGAGGUUUGGAUGUGUGACCUCUUAGUGUGGAGGAACGUCACUUUAUAUUGCCUCGUGUGAUAAAGAACUUUACUAUGCAGUCUGUCGCUUUUAUGUCUUCCUCAUCACAGGUUCGUACAAAGCUUAUUUUCCACACAGUAAUAGAUCAUACAUAUUUAGGGAGCAAUUUUUAUUGCUUGCACCGAUGACAACUUACUUGAGGGAUCUUAUUCAAUCCAUAGGUAGGUAUGGUGGACUCUCAUGGCAAAACUGGGUUGAAGGUUUAUGGAUGCACAAGUAGUAUCUCUACUUAGUGCGGACGUUUUGGCUGAUAUGAGGUGGAAGCAAGCAUCACAUGCUAAGGGAUCUCUAGUCAUAUAACAUUGUUCGGAACCAAGCAAUCAUAAUUCAUUAUGUUGUCUUCCUUGUCCAACAUCUACUUCUAAGCAUGUAAUAGUUUAAUGAGUGUUCACAAUCAUAGAUGGUGCCCAAGAUGAUAUAUUUAUAUGUGGACCUCUCCUUCUUUAUUACUUCCUAUUAAUUGCAACAAUGACCAAGGUCUACGUUUGUCCACCCACAACAAGUUUCAAUCAACAUUCUUUUUAUAUGUGAAGCCAUCGCUUCCCAUAAGAUCAUUACAUGAUCUUUCAUGCUUUUGUCCUUUUAUUAUUCUUUUCUUUAGAUCAUGGCAUGAAGCAAGGCCCUUAACUAAAACACUCUUUAUUAUAUGACUCACGAACUCGAAUACAUUGGGGGUAACACAAAGCAAAAAUCAAACCUAGAACAUACUAAGAACUUUAUUCUACUAGAGAAAAAUAAAACCAAAAAGGAUCGAACUAACAAAAAGGUAAACGCAAAAGAUGUGAUGGUGAUAUGAUACCGGGGCAACUCCCCCAAGCUUGGCACAAGCCAAGAGGAGUGCCCAUACCCGUGCUUAGUUGUCUUCCUUCGAAGGUGAUUGUGGUGGAGUUGUUCUGUCUUUUGAUUCCAAGAGGGCCAUCAAUAUUUGAUUUAUACCUUGGAGUUCUGUGAUAUGUUUCUCCAGCAAAACAACAUCACGGGUGAGAUAAGUAUUAUGGAUACGAGUUAUUUCACAUAACCUCAAGAGUUCGAUCAAGGAUGGAGGUAAAAGGUGGAGAUAGGGUUGAAGAAAAUCCUGUUCCUCAGCUUCUUCCUUGUUGAGCACAGAUUGCCCUUCGUCCAACGCCGGAUUCUCCUCCUUAGUUUUGCCCUUAGUUUCUUCAAGCAACCUUUCCUUGGCCUCCAUGACCUCCAUUCUUUUCAGAUCAACACUUACUUCUUCAUAGACUUGAGGGAGAUCGUUCUCCCCGACAGAUUCCUGAGACGACAUCCUUGCCCUAAAUGUGCGGCAAAAACAGGCUCGAAACGAAAACAAAGAAUAUUUGCAAGAUACGAGGGUCAGACCUUCUGGGAGAACGAUCUUGCAAAUACCCUUUGUUUUCGUUUCGAUCUGGCAACGAUCUGGCAAAAACAUCUAGAAAGAAUUUUUCCCGACCAAAAGUAGUACUUCGCAAGAAAACGUAGUCCGGGAGGCACACGAGGUGCCCACAAGCCAUCUAGGCGCGGCCAGGGGAUAGGUUGCGCCUCGCAGGCUUGUCGCCUCCUCGUGCGCUUUCUAGACUACUUUAAUUUUUCUAUUUUUCUAAAAAUUCCAAAACGGAGAAAAAGUGCUACUGGAAAAGUUUUGGAGUCGGUUUACUUACCGAAUCAAAUACUUAUUCGUUUUUGGAGUUCCAACAGGCUGAUAAAUAUCCCUUAUGUACUCCUCCGGAGUUAUGGUAUUAAUAACAUUGCUUUCAACAUUUACGGGAGUACCUGAGAUAUAAUGCUUGAUUGUUUGCCCAUUUACCACUCCCGGAAAAUUACCUUCCGUGUUGUUGAUCUUGAUGGCACCGGAACGAUAUACUUCCUCGACAAUGUAAGGACCUUCCCAUUUAGAGAGAAGCUUGCCUGCAAAAAAAUCUUAAACGAGAAUUGUAUAGCAAGACAUAAUCACCUACAUUGAACUCACGUUUUUGUAUCCUUUUAUCAUGCCACCUCUUAACUUUUUCUUUAAACAACUUGGUAUUUUCAUAUGCCUCAGUCCUCCAUUCAUCAAGUGAGCUAAUAUCAAAUAACCUCUUCUCACCAGCAAGUUUGAAAUCAAAGUUGAGAUCUUUGAUUGCCCAAUAAGCCUCAUGCUCUAGCUCAAGAGGUAAAUGACAUGCUUUACCGUAAACCAUUUUGUACGGAGACAUGCCCAUGGGAUUCUUAUAAGCAGUUCUAUAAGCCCAUAGUGCAUCAUCAAGCUUCUUAGACCAAUUAUUUCUAGAUCUAUUAAUAGUCUUUUGCAGAAUUAGUUUAAUAUCUCUAUAAAUUAGCUCUACUUGACCACUGGACUGAGGAUGAUAGGGAGAUGCAAUUAUAUGGUUGACGUUCUACUUGGCAAGCGUUUUACGGAAAGCACCAUGAAUAAAAUGUGAACUACCAUUAGUCAUUAGAUAUCUAGGGACUCCAAAUCUAGGGAAAAUAACUUCUUUAAGCAUCCUAAUAGAGGUGAUCAACACUACUAGUUGGGAUAGCUUCUACCCACUUAGUAACAUAAUCAACAUCAACUAGGAUAUGAGUAUACCCGUUGGACUUUGGAAAAGGUCCAAUAUAAUCAAAACCCCAAACAUCAAAUGGUUCAAUGACAAGUGAAUAAUUCAUAGGCAUUUCCUGAGGUUUAGUGAUAUUACCUAUUCUUUGACAUUCAUCACAAGACAAUACAAACUUACGGGCAUCCUUGAAGAGAGUAGGCCAAUAGAAACCGGAUUGCAAUAUCUUGUGUGCAGUUCUAUCUCUCGCAUGGUGUCCUCCGUAAGCCUCUGAGUGACACUUCUGUAGGAUCUAUCCCUGUUCAUGCUCAGGUACACAACAUCUAAUAACACCAUCUACUCCAUCCUUAUAAAGGUGAGGAUUAUCCCAAAAGUAAUGUCUCAAAUCAAAGAAGAAUUUCUUCUUUUGUUGGUAUGUGAAACUAGGUGGUAUAUACUUGGCAACAAUAUAAUUUGCAUAAUUAGCAUACCAAGGUGUACUACAUGAAGCAUUGAUGACAUUCAAUUUCUCAUCAGGAAAGCUAUCAUCAAUAGGUUGUGGGUCAUCAAGAACAUUCUCCAACCUAGACAAGUUAUCUGCUACGGGGUUCUCAGCACCCUUCCUAUCAACAACAUGCAAAUCAAAUUCUUGUAGCAAGAGAACCCAUCUGAUAAGUCUAGGUUUAGCAUCUUUAUUUUCCAUGAGAUACUUAAUAGCAGCAUGAUCAGUGUGAAUGGUAACCUAGGAAUCAACAAUGUAAGAUCUGAACUUUUCACAUGCAAACACGAGUGCUAAAAAUUCCUUUUCAGUAGUAGCAUAGUUUCUUUGGGCAUUGUCUAGAGUUUUACUAGCAUAAUGAAUAAUAUUCAAUUUCUUAUCAACUCUUUGCCCUAGAACAACACCAACAACAUAAUCACUAGCAUCACACAUAAUUUCAAAAGGUAAGUUCCAAUCAGAUGGUUGAACAAUAGGUGCAGUUAUCAAGGCCUUCUUAAGUAUUUCAAAGGCUUCCUUAGAAUCAUCGUCAAAAACAAAAGGAAUAUCCUUUUGCAAGAGAUUGGUAAGAGGCCUAGAAAUCUAAGAAAAGUCCUUAAUGAACCUUCUACAGAAACCAAUAUGACCAAGGAAACUUCUUAUACCUUUAAUGUCUGUAGGGCAUUGCAUUUUCUCGAUCGCAUCAACCUUAGCCUUAUCGACUUCAAUACCUCUUUCAGAAAUUUUAUGUCCUAAGACGAUGCCUUCAUUAACCAUAAAGUGGCACUUCUCCCAAUUCAAGACAAGGUUGGUAUCUUUACAUCUCUGGAAAAAUCGAUCAAGGUUGUUGAGGCAAUCAUCAAAAGAAGACUCGUAAACUGAGAAGUCAUCCAUGAAAACCUCAAUAAUCUUUUCACAAAAGUCAGAGAAUAUAGCCAUCAUACAUCUUUGAAAGGUAGCAGGUGCAUUACAUAAGCCAAAAGGCAUACGUCUGUAAGCAAAGGUACCGGAAGGGCAGGUAAAAGUGAUUUUCUCCUGAUCAGAUUGUGCAACAGGUAUUUGAGAGAAACCAGAAUAACCAUCUAGAAAGCAGAAGUGUGUUUGUUUAGACAAUCUUUCUAGCAUUUGGUGAAUAAAAGAUAAAGGGUAAUGAUCUUUCCUAGUGGCUUUAUUCAAUUUCCUAAAAUCAAUCACCAUCCUAUAGCCAGUAAUAAUCCUCUGUGGGAUCAAUUCAUCUUUAUCAUUAGGGACAACGGCAAUACCUCCCUUCUUAGGGAUGCAAUGCACCGGACUUACCCAAUCACUAUGAGCAACAGGAUAGAUAAUAGCUGCUUCCAGGAGCUUUAGUAUUUCUUUCCUUACUACCUCUUUCAUCUUAGGAUUUAAUCUCUGUUGAUGAUCGACAACUGGUUUGGAAUCAGGAUCGGUUUUAGUUUUAUGCUGGCAUAGAGUGGGAAUAAUUCCCUUAAGAUCGUCAAGAGUAUAUUCAAUAGCAGCACGGUGCUUCCUUAGAGUUUUCAACAACUUCUUUUCUUCAUGCUCUGAAAGUCUAGCACUAAUAAUAACAGGAUAUAUCUAUUUUUCAUCGAGAUAAGCAUCCUUAAGAGUAUCAGGUAAUUGUUUAAGCUCAAACAAAGGAUCACCCUUUGGUGGGGGUGGAUCUCCAAGCAGUUCAACAUGCAAAUUAUUCUUAAGGAUAGGAUGUUGUUCAAAGAUAACUCUAUCUAUCUCUUUCCUUUCAUCCAUAUGCAUAUCAUUUUCAUGCUCAAGCAAGUAUUGUUCUACAGGAUCAGUAGGAGGCACAAAAAUAGAAGCUAGAUCAAUAAUUUCAUCCUUACUAGACAGCUCUUUUUCACGAGGUUGUCUACCAAACUUGGAGAAAUUGAACUCAUGUGACACACCUUCAAAGCCACCAGUGGCAAUUUGCUUCUCACAGUCAAUAUGAGCAUUGACAGUAUUGAGGAAAGGUCUACCAAAUAUGAUGGGACAAAAGCUAUCUUGUGUGGUAGCAAGAACGAGAAAAUCAGCAUGAUAUUCAGUUUUACCACACAAGACUUCAACAUCUCUAACAAUUCCCAAAGGGCAGAUAGUAUCUCUAUUGGCAAGCUGAAUAGUGACAUCAAUAGGUUCCAUCUCGACAGGUGCAAUAUCGUCUUUAAUUUCAUCAUAUAAAGAUUGAGGUAUUGCACUAACACUAGCACCCACGUCACAUAAACCAUGAUAACAAUGAUCUCCUAUCUUAACAGAAACAAAGGUGUGCCAACAACAGGCCUAUGUUUGUCUCUAGCAUGAGGUUUAGCAAUUCUAGCAGCAUCUUCACAGAAGUGAAUAUCAUGGCCAUCAACAUUGUCGGACAGGAGAUCUUUGAUAAUAGCAAUGCUAGGUUCAACUCUAAUUUUCUCAUGGGGUGUAGGUGUUCUAAUGUAGCCCCUACGUAUCACAGUUGAAGCUUUAGAAUGAUCCUUUAUUCUAACAGGGAAAGGUGGUUUCUCAAUGUAAGCACUAGGAACAAUAGGAUCAUUAUAAGCAAUGACUUUCUCUUCAACUGGAUUGGGUUUAACCACAUUGACUUCUAAGGGAGGAUGAUAUUUAAACCACUUCUCUUUAGGGAGAUUAAUAUGAGCAGCAAAUGAUUCACAUAAUGAAGCUACUAUCUCAGAGUCAAGUCCAUGUUUAGCGCUAAAAUCACAAAAAGUAUUUGUUUCAACGAAGGAUUUAACGCAAUCGAACAUAAUAUUCAUAACUGACUCCUUACCUUCAUCAAACUCCCAAUCUUCAGAGUUGCAUUUAAUUCUUUCCAAUAAAUUCCAUUUGAAGUCAAUAUCUCUCUUCAUAAAAGAACCGGUACAAGAAGUGUCAAGCAUGGUGCGAUUAUCAUGAGAAAGCUGAGCAUAAUAGUUCUGAAUAAUAAUUUCUCUCAAGAGCUCAUGGUUGGGGCAUGAAUAUAACAUUGACAUAAGCCUCCCCCAAGCUUGAGCAAUACUUUCUCUUUCACGAGGCCAAAAAAUAUAGAAAUAAUUCCGAUCACGAUUGUACCAAAUGCAUAGGAUAAACUUUUGAUGAAAUUCCAAUUUCAAUCGGUUGUAGUUCCAUGAUCCAGUAUCAUCACAUAGCCUAUACCAUGUCAAUGCUUUAUCCCCCAAAGAUAAGGGAAAGACCUUCUUAUUGACCUCAUCCUCGGGCAAACCUCAAGCUUAAAUAAAAAACAUACUUCAUCUACAUAGAUUAGAUGCAAGUCGGGAUGUGAUGUUCCAUCUCGUGUAAAAGGAUUAGCCAACAGUUUCUCUAGCAUACCCGAAGGAAUUCCAUAGAAAAUAUUUUCAAUAGGUGCAGAAGGUUGAGGAGCAACUCCUUGUGCUUCCAUUCGAGGUGAAGAUACCCCGAACAAGCUCCUCAAAGGAUUAGUUUCCAUAGUGACAAGUGACAAUAAAUUUCAGCACACUAUAUAAAUGUUUCCUUACCAAAUUCCACUUACCAAAGGCGCUUCACUCCUCGGCAACGGUGCCAGAAAAGAGUCUUGAUGACCCACAAGUGUAGGGGAUAUAUCAUAGUCCUUUUGAUAAGUAAGAGUGUCGAACCCAACGAGGAGCAGACGGAACUGACAAGUGGUUUUCAGCAAGGUAUUCUCUGCAAGCACUGAAAUUAUUGGUAACACAUAGUUGUGUGAUAAGAUGAUUCGUAGCAAGUAGCAAGUAACAAUAGUGAUAAAGGUGCAGAAAAGUGGCCCAAUCCCUUUUCCAGCAAGGGACAAGCCUGAACAAACUCUUAUAUGAGGGAAAGCGCUCCCGAGGACACAUGGGAAUUUCUGUCAAGCUAGUUUUCAUCAUGUUCAUAUGAUUCGCAUUCGCUACUUUGAUAUGUGGGUGGACCAAUGCUUGGGUUCUGCCCUUACUUGGACAAACGUCCCACUUAUGGUUAACCCCUUUCGCAAGCAUCCGCAACUACGAAAGAAGAAUUAAGACUAAAACUAACCAUAGCAUUAAACUAGUGGAUCCUAAUCAGCCCCUUACGAAACAACGCAUAAACUAGGGUUUAAGCUUCUGUCACUCUAGCAACCCAUCAUCUACUUAUUACUUCCCAAUGCCUUCCUCUAGGCCCAAAUAAUGGUGAAGUGUCAUGUAGUCGACGUUCACAUAACACCACUAGAGGAAAAACAACAUACAACGCAUCAAAAUAUCGAACGAAUACCAAAUUCACAUGACUACUUAUAGCAAGACUUAUCCCAUGUCCUCAGGAACAAAAGUGACUACUCACAAAGCAUAAUUAUGUUCAUGACCAGAGAGGUAUUGAAUAGCAUUAGAGAUCUGAACAUAUGAUCUUCCACCGAGUAAUCCAACUAGCAUCAACUACAAAGAGUAAUUAACACUACUAGCAACCUUACAAGUACCAAUCGGAAUCGCGAGACGGAGAUUGGUUACAAGAGAUGAACUAGGGUUUGGAGAUGAGAUGGUGCUGAUGAAUAUGUUGAUGGUGAUGAGUCCCCUCCGAUGAGAGGAGUGUUGGUGAUGACGAUGGCGACGAUUUCCCCCUCCGGGAGGGAAGUUUCCCCAGCAGGACGGCCCUGCCGGAGCUCUAGACUGGUUCUGUUCAAGUUCCGCCUGUGGCGGCGGCGAUUCCUCCCGAAAGCCUACUCUUGAUUUUUUAUGGAACGAAACCCUCCUUAUAGGAAAGAUGGGAGCCAAAGGGGCAACAGGGGCCCCAUAAGCCACCGAGGCGCGACCAGGGGGUAGGUCGCGCCUGGUAGGCUUGUGGCCUCGUGCUGGCUCCCCUCCGGUACUUCUUCUGCCCAGUAUUUUUUAUAAAAUCCAAAAUAAUCCCUUAUUGAUUUUCACGGCUUUUGGAGUUGCGCAGAAUAGGUAUCUCAAACUUGGUCCUUUUUCAGACCAGAAUUCCAGCUGCCGGCAUUCUCCCUCUUCAUGUAAACCUUAUAAAAUAAGAGAGAAAAGGCAUAAGUAUUGUACCGUAAAGUGUAAUAACAGCCCAUAAGGCGAUAAAUAUCAACAUAAAAGCAUGAUGCAAAAUGGACGUAUCACUAACCCCGACUGAUGCUCUUUUCAGCAGAAUUGCCAUGGUGUUGUUUUUGCGCAGAAAUAAAUGUUCUCGGAAUGACCUGGAAAUUUACGAGGAUUUUUGGUGGAAUAUAUAAAAAAUAUUGGCGCAAGAAUUACCUGGAGGGACGGAGCCAGGAGCCCACAAGCCCAGGAGGCGCGGGUCCCCCUGGCCGCGCCUGGCAGGCUUGUGAGGCCCUCGUGGCUCCGCCGCCUCCAACUUCAGCUCUAUAUAGUCUCUCUCGCCCAGAAAAAAUUAGGAGAGAAGAGUUCAUCGCGUUUCACGACACGGAGCCACCGCCACCGCCUGUUCUUCCUCUGGAGGGCAGAUCUGGAGUCCGUUCUGGGCUCCGGAGAGGGGAGAUCGACACUGUCAUCAUCAUCAACCAUCCUUCAUCGCCAAUUCCAUGAUGCUCUUCACCGUUCGUGAGUAAUCUCAUCGUAGGCUUGCUGGACGGUGAUGGGUUGGAUGAUAUCUAUCAUGUAAUCGAGUUAGUUUUGAUGGGGUUUGAACCCUAGUUUCCACUAUGUUCUGAGAUUGAUGUUGCUACUUCUUUGUUAUGCUUAAUGCUUGUCACUAGGGCCCGAGUGCCAUGAUUUCAUAUCUGAACCUAUUAUGUUUUCAUCAAUAUAUGUGUGUUCUUGAUCCUAUCUUGCAAUUUGUAGUCACCUACUAUGUGUUAUGACCCGGCAACCCCGGAGUGACAAUAGCCGGUACCACUCCCGGAGAUGACCAUAGUAUGAGGAGUUCAUGUAUUCACUACGUGCGAAUGCUUUGUUCGGGUUCUCUAUUAAAAGGAAACCCUAAUAUCCCGUAGUCUCCAUUAGGACCCCGCUGCCAUGGGAGGGAUGGACAAUAGAUGUCAUGCAAGUUCUUUUGCAUAAGCACGUAUGACUAUAUACGAAAUACAUGCCUACAUUACAUUGACGAACUGGAGCUAGUUACAUAUCACCCUAUGUUAUAACUGUUACAUGAUGAAUGUCAUUCGACAUAAUUAUCCAUCACCGAUCCAAUGCCUACGAGUUUUUCCUACCGGUCCUUGCUAAGUUACUAUACCGCUACUGUUGUCACUGCUGCUACUGUUACCGCUACUGCUGUCACUACGACUACUGUUACCGCUGUUACCGUUACUAUCACGCUACUUUGCUACUAAAACUUUGCUGCAAAUACUAAGUCUUUCAGGUGUGGUUGAAUUGACAACUCAACUGCUAAUACUCGAGAAUAUUCUUUUGCUUCCCCUUGUGUCGAAUCAACAAAUUUGGUAUGAAUACUCUACCCUCGAAAACUGUUGCGAUCCCCUAUACUUGUGGGUUAUCACUGGCAUGCUGUGACAACUUGGGUAGUGCGGACCAUUACAGGGACGAGCUGCUGUCGUCGGCAAGCCACCAGAGCUGCCAGGGCCGAAGCACUACGUGACACAGGGGCGACGACCAUUGGUCAGGUCUUGGCGCGGUGUUGCGCGGCCCUAGAAGGUAGCCAAGGGGCACGGGUAGAAGGACGUGACUGCUCAGGCGAGCGCAUGCAAAACGUGCGCUCUAGCCACGCACAGAGCACGCACAACACCCGUUCGACAGAUUUCCUGACAUAUCCAACCGUCUACAAUGCUGCUCAAACUCAAGAGGGUUAGUUUAGGUGGCAAGAAAAGGUUUCAAGACAUCCUAGUUUGACUAUACAAGCAAGUCCACCAUGCAAAGCUAAAACUAUGCCAAAUCUGCCUAUGCACAGAAGGUGUUCUACAGGAGGUUAAAGGCAUCAAAAUGAUUUUUUUAGUGGACAAAAACUCCAGAUCAGGGUCUCUUUAGGUGCUGGUAAAGAUGGUAGGGUUAGUUUGAGAAAAGAAGAAAUUUGUUGGUACAAAUUUUGGAGAAAAUCUUUUGUGGUCAGAAUCUUAGGGGCAUUAAAGCAUGGGCUAAAUUUAUCCCAAAGGCUCACAUCUCUUGGACUUAAGGGUGUGGUAGGCUCUACUACAAGUGGUAAAAAUCUCAACUCGAUUGGGGCAAUUUAAAAUAGGGAUGUAGUUCAAAAGAGCAAACUGGACGAGAAUGCAAAAGAGGUCAUGCUGCUCAAAGUUUUCAAAGGGCAGCUAUGGGUUUGUGCAUGAAGUGAGUCUCAUGCAUCCCUUGACAUCUCCAAAUUUUUGUGGAGUUUUUAAAAUAAUUUAUAAAAGGGUUGCAGUGCAAAUGAGUUUCUUAAAGAAGGAAAAAGUCUUUUAAAAGAGUUUAAAUUGGCAAGCUUUAUUAGAAAAAAUAUUCCCAUUAAAUUAAAUAAAAGAAAUAAAAUUAUCACAAGAAAUGACUUAAGCACACAAUGAUCUUCAAACUGCCACUUAAAAAUAAAAGGAUUUUGGAAAGGGGCUCUAAAAUAAGCAAUGGAAUAAUUUAUAUUUGAAAAUUUCAUUCUAGGCAAUAUUUUAAUUUAUAAAAAUAUGAUUAAAUUUUUGGGGCGUAACAAAAGGAUUUAGGGUACCUAGGGCUACAAUGGAUAUGAAAUUGGAGAUCAAAUGCCAAAUGAAUCUAUUAGUUCCUUUGUAAAUUUCUCGGGGUCAAGUGAUUACAGAAAAUGGUUUUGAUUAAAAACAGGAAAGGUAGUUGAACUACCUCAUAACUUUAAGAAUCUUCUUUUAAAUGAUGCCCUAAUGUUAGAGGGAAGUCAGGGUCAAGAAUUUAGUGAGAGAGGAAGAGAUAAAAUUUUUAGGGCAAAACUAAGUUUGCGAAAUAUCUCACACAAACCAUUAAAGAAUUUUCGAAAGAAGGGAGAGGGAUUUUCCAGUGGAAAAUCUUGGUAAAGAGGGGAAAUAAAGUAAGACUCUUUCCGAACCAGAAGUGUUGACAAGGAAAACCCAAGAAAAUUUGUCUCAAGGUAAAAAUUUCAAGAAGAUUCCAAAAGAUGUUUUUGUCAAAAUUUUGGAAAUUCACUUUAAAAAUAAAUGAAAUAAGAAAAUUCCAAAUUGAAAAUUUGAGGAUUUUACAUCAGCUCUCCAUUGCACGACGACCUACAACAGUAACACAUGUGCGCCCCUCUUCUGCUACCAGCACUAGAGUCGUGCCACUCUUCCAUGCUUCCUACAAGCACCGGAGAUGUGCCAAUUACGACUGGCAAUUACAAUGCUGGUAAACUUGUUCUCAAAGAUAACUUUGCCAUAUUCCAUUUCUAAUAUUUUAGGGCUGAUGCAUAGUACUUUCUAUUUUCUAUGAAUGAAGGGGAGUGGUGGGCAACUUAUGGACUACAAACUCCCACAUUGAUGCACAUGGCUUUGAGGAUACUGAACUUAACCACAAGUUCAUCUAGUGCGAAAGAAAUUGGAGAGUUUUUUCACAAGUAAGACUCAACUUGCAAAUAUUCAAUUGUGAUCCUUAUUUCAUUCAUGACAAGAUGUGAAUCACUAACCUUCACUAUGCACUUUGUAGGUAGAUGCAAAGAGCAGAAAUAAAUUAGAUGUGUGUCAUAGGGACUAUCUAGUUUACAUUUAUUUCAAUGUAAGAUUUCUAGACAAGAUAAAGAAAUAAUACUCAUCUUGUGAUGUUCUACUUGGUGAAUAUGCAUCCACAACCCAAGAUUGGAUAUGUGAAUAUGCUUACGAUUAUGAAGAGAUGGGAGCUAUCGGAGUUGACAAUACAAAAGAGCCACGUAGAAGUCUAAGGGUGAGAGAACUCCAUGAAGUGGAAGACUUUGUUUCCAGUGAUGAAGAUGACACUGUGCCUAUCAAUGCAGAUGAGAUAGAUUUUGAGUGUGAUUAUGAUAUGGCUCGGGUGAUAGAAGAAAUUGAUGAGGAAGACCUGAUGCAGCCUUGAGUCAUAGGCCUUUUAACAAUCUCAUUCCUAGUACCGUGUGUGUUUGCUAGCAGCCUAAUGCUUUAUUUUGGUUCUGAAUUGUUAGAGAAUUAUAGGGCUAAGAACUACCUUAUUUUGGUUGAUUGGUGUUUCACCGUUUGCUAGCAAAGUAGUAACUAGUAAGACUAAGAAGUUGAAAUAGAAGUGUAGAACUAAGAUUAUUUGUGUAUUCUGGACAUGUUAUGUUUUGUUGUGUUGUCUAUUCAGUAUCCACCAUGAUACUAUAUCAGUUUAUUUGUGGAUUAAGACUAAUAUAUUUAUAUAUGUACUGCAACCUAUCUACUGUCUCCGUUUAUUUGUGGACCCAUAUAGUUAUGUAGUUAUGUACUGUCGUUCUGCCUAUUGUUGCUUGUUAUGUAAAUGAGUAAAUCUAUGCACUCUUAUCCUAUUUGAAAAUGCCCAAACAAGAUAUGUGUUGUUUAAGUGUUGUCCAAUUUUUAUUUGUUAUGUCAUAUUGUAGUAUCCAUGUACUCCUAUCAUAUUUGAAUUUCAAACAUGCAAAAACAUGACAUGUGUUGUUGUUAUAUAUUGAUGUUGUGUUAAAAGCUUAGAGUGCAUACUUGUUGAUUGUUUACAAUUUUGCCUUAUUAAUUAGUGCUUGAAAAUGUCGGUCUUGAAAGAAAACUUAUCGAUUAAUAGCCGACCGAUAAAAUUGAUUAAUCGGUUGAUUUCCCGAUUAAUCUCUAAUCCCCAACCGAUCGAGACGGUAAUGACAAGCGAUAUCCCAAACAUUGUUGACGCCGAGGACAAACGCAUGUGCUAACCUACGGCAAGCAAGGCAUAGGCAUUGUCCUCCUUCACGAACGAGCCUGCCGACGACCACUUCUUCCCCUGCUGUCACGGCGUGCUCCGGGGCGAGGAGCUCCUCAUUCACCUCUCAACACUGCAUGGUGUGGAGGUAGAGCUCUUGGUCGAGGUGAUGGAAGUUGGCCCAAGGGGGCCAACCUCUACUGUAAGAGAGGCGGCCGCGCUCCCGCGCUUGCUUGGACCGCCAGGCCUCGAUCGCGAGAGGGGGAGUUACCAGCCUCCACGUUGUUAUGCGAGAUCUUGCGUCGCAGCUACCCGCCACGACCAUGGCCACCAUGCCCCGCGUGCAGAACCCGCCAUUGCUCGCGCAAAAAAGGAACUACGUGAGGUGGAAUUUCUUGCCAAAGAUAGGAAGGGAGAUAUCUUAGGAGGUGGAUCACGAGGAGCUUUCAUGGUAUGUCUACCCCUUUUAUCUUAAUGAUGAUUGGCUUGCACAACUACUUACUUUUAUGUGAAAAAAUCGCAUAAAGUUGUUAUUUUUUCAAUACUUUAAAUUUAGUGUUCUUAUUUGGGUUAAGAUAGUGGGUCAAUGUAGCUAGCGUUCUUAUUAAUAGUUAAUUUCCUUGAUCUUAGUGUAAGUAGCACAUGUUUACUCAUUAUUUUGGCCGUCUCACUGAUUUUCUCGCUUUGUCAUAUAUUGUCGGUGUACUAAAGAGCGGGUCCGUUAGUACCCUGACUUGUGCACAAACGGCAACAACCUUUGGCCCAACAAGCCUUGGCGGGAAGAUACUGCGUUGAGGAAAACAUCAAGCAACAAGGCGAAGCCAUCGACAAGCCUCCUUCCCAAUGAAGAAGACCUGACAACAAUCUCAGCCAUCGACAAGCCUCCUUCCCAGCAUGGCCCCACUACCACACCACCGCUCCACCUCAUAGGGCUGAUUGUCGUCGUCAAUGAGGUGUCGAGCAGGCAGGCUGUUAGGUAGGCCUUGUCGAGGCACGUGGUAGCUCAAGGGAAUUACAACAACUUUAAUGACACCCGUCCUAACGAAGUGGUGGGAUAAUAAGAGGUAGCCGGGCGAACGACUCAGAAGUAGAGGCAAUCCUUGUCGAGGAGCGACGCAAGCACGAAGCCUCACGAUGCAUUUAAUGCCUCCAUCCUAAUUCGCCAGGGUUAGGUAUUUCCCAAUGUAGUUUGUGUUGGUAGUUUGACCACUGUUUACUCUUGUAUAUGUACCAUUUUAGCCAUUGUGGUAAGCCCUUUUGCCUAUAAAAGAAGGUUCAUGGCUACCUUUACAAGGGUCAAAACCAUGUUCAAUUGAGUGUGUGGUAGUGAUGACCCACAGGUAUAGGGGAUCAAUCGUAGUCCUUUCGAGAAGUAAGAGUGUCGAACCCAACAAGGAGCAGAAGGAUUUGACAAGUGGUUUUCAGCAAGGUAAUAUCUGCAAGCACUGAAAUUAUCGGUAACAAGUGAUUGUAUGGUGAGGUGAUUCGUAGCAAGCAACAAGUAACAAAAGUAGAAACGGUGCAGCAAAGUGGCCCAAUCCCUUUUGUAGCAAGGGACAAGCCUGGACAAAGUCAUAUAGGAGGAAAAACGCUCCACAGGACACACGGGAAUUUCUUUCAUGCUAGUUUUCAUCAUGUUCAUAUGAUUCGCGUUCGUUACUUUGAUAGUUUGAUAUGUGGGUGGACUGGCGCUUGGGUACUGCCCUUACUUGUACAAGCAUCCCACUUAUGAUGAACCCCUCUCGCAAGCAUCCGCAACUACGAAAUAAGAAUUAAGACAAAGUCUAACCAUAGCAUUAAACUAGUGGAUCCAAAUCAGCCCCUUACGAAGCAACGCAUAAACUAGGGUUUAAGCUUCUGUCACUCUAGCAACCCAUCAUCUACUUACUACUUCCCAAUGCCUUCCUCUAGGCCCAAAUAAUGGUGAAGUGUCAUGUAGUCGACGUUCACAUAACACCACUAGAGGAAAAACAACAUACAACACAUCAAAACAUCGAACGAAUACCAGAUUCACAUGACUACUAUUAGCAUGACUUAUCCCAUGUCCUCAAGAACAAAAGUAACUAGUCACAAAGCAUAAUCAUAUUCAUGACCAGAGAGGUAAUGAGUAUCAUCAAGGAUCUGAACAUAAACUCUUCCACCAAAUAAUCCAACUAGCAUCAACUACAAGGAGUAAUUAACACUACUAGCAACCUUACAAGUACCAAUCGGAGUCGUGAGACGGAGAUUGGUUACAAGUGAUGAACUAGGGUUUGGAGAUGAGAUGGUGCUGAUGGAGAUGUUAAUGGUGACGAGUGCCCUCCGAUGAGAGGAGUGUUGGUGAUGACGAUGGCGACGAUUUCCCCCUCCGUGAGGGAAGUUUGCCCGGUAGGAUCGUCCUGCCGGAGCUCUAGAUUGGUUCUGCUCAAGUUCCGCCUCGUGGCGGCGGCGAAUCCUCCGAAAAGCUCCCUUCUAAUUUUUUUUCGACGAAACCCUUCAUAUAGCAAAAGAUGAGCGCCGUAGGGGCAAGAAGGGGCCCCCAAGGCCCCCAGGCCCUGCCAGGGGGGUAGGCCGGGCCUUGCAGGCUUGUGGCCUCCAGGUGGCGCCCCUCUGGUACUUCUUCCGCCCAGUAUUUUUUAUAUAUUCCCAAAAAAUUCCACGUUGAUUUUCACGGCUUUUGGAGUUGCGCAGAAUAGGCAUCUCGAACUUGCUCCUUUUUCACGCGAGAAUUCCAGCUGCCGGCAUUCUCCCUCUUCAUGUAAACCUUGCAAAAUAAGAGAGGAAAGGCAUAAGUAUUGUACCUUGGAGUGAAAUAACAGCCCAAAAAGCGAUAAAUAUCAACAUGAAAGCAUGAUGCAAAAUGGACGUAUCAACUCCCCCAAGCUUAGACCUCGUUUAUCCUCAAGCAAAAGCCUAGCUCAAUAAAUAUGUCCACAUGUUUAGGGAGAGAGGUGUCGACAAAACAAGAUACGAACAUGCAGGCAUCAUGAUCAUGAUUAGAACAGCAAUACCAACAUAUAAUCUCUCAUGCUAAAGUGACAAAUUCUUCACAAAGUAAAGCAUGGAUCAAGAACCUUACCGAGAAUCAACAACCGAUAGCCUUUAGUCAUUGAAGCAAUUGCAAUUUAUCACAACAUCAGAAAGAGUCAAAUAAGAGCUUGUAAGGAAAAUCCACAUACUCAAUCAUCUUUUCGUUCUCUACAAUUGCUACUACUCACGUGGUACUCAUGAGAUUAAAGUUUCAGCUGGACACAGAGAAAGAUAGGGGCUUAUAGUUUUGCCUCCCAACUGUUUACCUCAAGGGUAAUGUCAACAAUAAUAAUUCAUGAAUACUUACCUCCAAGUUGACAUAUGAAUAUAGAUCUUUCCCUAGCAUGUGACGUUAGCCAAGAUAAAGGCGAAACAAGGAAUUGGUGCAGAUCACCAUGACUCUUUCAAGGGCAAAAAGUAAAGGUACAAGAUAGGCCCUUCGCAGAGGGAAGCAGAGGUUGUCAUGCGCUUUUGAGGUUUGGAUGCGUGUCCUCUUAGUGCGGAGGAACGUCACUCUAUAUUGCCUCAUGUGAUAAAGAACUUUAUUAUGGAGUCUGUCGCUUUUAUGUCUUCCUCAUCACAAGUUCGUACAAAGCUUAUUUUCCACACACUAAUAGAUCAUACAUAUUAGGGAGGAAUUUUUUAUUGCUUGCACCGAUGACAACUAAGUUGAAGGAUCUUAUUCAAUCCAUAGGUUGGUAUGAUUAAUUCUCAUGGUGAAACUGGGUUGAAGGUAUGUGGAUGCACAAGUAUUAUCUCUACUUGGUGCGGGAGUUUUGUCUAAUAUGAGGUGGAAGCAAUCGUCACAUGCUAUGGGAUCUCUAAUCAUAUAACAUUGUUUGGAACCAAGCAAACACAAUUCAUUAUGUUUUCUUCUGAUACGUCUCAAACGUAUCUAUAAUUUUUGAUGGUUUCACGCUGUUAUCUUGUCUUCUUUGGUUGUUUUAUGUACCUUUUAUACCUUUUUUGGGACUAACUCAUUAAUUCAGUGCCAAGUGUCAGUUCCUAUUUUUUCCGUGUUUUUGACUCUAUCUAGAUCUGAUUUUGGAACGGAGUCCAAACGGAAGAAAAACCCCGAAAAUGAUUUUUUCCCGAACGGAAGAAGAUCACGGGACUUUUGGGCCAAGCCAGGUGGGCUCUAGGGAGCCCACAAGCCCCCACUCCGCCACCAGGGGGAGGCGGCGGUGGGCAGGCUUGUGGCCUCCCUCGCCACCCCCUGACCUAGGUCUUUGGCCUAUAAAUUCCCAAAUAUUUUGCAAAAAAUCAGGGGAGCCUCGAAAAUACUUUUCCACCGCUGCAAGCUUUCGUUUCCGCGAGAUCUCAUUUGGAGACCCUUCCCAGCGCCCUGCCGGAGGGGACUUUGGAGUUGGAGGGCUUCUUCAUCAUCAUCAUCGCCCCUCCAAUGACUCGUGAGUAGUUCACUUCAGACCUACGGGUCCGUAGUUAGUAGCUAGAUGGCUUCUUCUCUCUCUUGGAUCUUCAAUACAAAGUUCUCCAUGAUCUUCAUGGAGAUCUAUCCGAUGUAAUCUUCUUUGGCGGUGUGUUUGUCGAGAUCCGAUGAAUUGUGGAUUUGUGAUCAGAUUAUCUAUGAUAUAUAUUUGAGUCUUUGCUUAUUUCUUAGAUGCAUGAUUUGAUAUCCUUGUAAGUCUCUCCGAGUCUUGGGUUUUGUUUGGCCAACUAGAUCUAUGAUUCUUGCAAUGGGAGAAGUGCUUGGUUUUGGGUUCUACCAUGUGGUGACCUUUCCCACUGACAGUAGCGGCAGCAAGGCACACAUCAAGUAGUUGCCAUCAAGGGUAAAAAGAUGGGGUUUUUAUCAUUGGUUUGAUAUUAUACCUCUAGAUCAUGUCAUCUUGUUUAAGGCGUUACUCUGUUCUUAUGGACUUAAUACACUAGAUGCAUGCUGGAUAGCGGUCGACGCGUGGAUUAAUAGUAGUAGAUGCAGAAAGUAUUGGUCUACUUGUUUCGGACGUGAUGCCUAUAGAAAUAAUCAUUGCAUAGAUAUCGUCAUGACUUUGCACGGUUCUAUCAAUUGCUCGACAGUAAUUUGUUCACCCACCGUCUACUUUCUUUUAUGAGAGAAGCCACUAGUAAACACUAUGACCCCCGGGUCUAUUCACAUCCAUCGUUUACACCUCCGCUUUUACUUUGCUUUGUUACUUUGUUGCUUUCAGUUCUCAGUUGGCAAACAAUCUAUAAGGGAUUGACAACCCCUUCAUAGCGUUGGGAGCAAGUUUUUGUGUUUGUGCAGGAUCUUGAGAUACUCCUCCACUGGAUUGAUACCUUGGUUCUCAAACUGAGGGAAAUACUUACCACCGUCGUGCUACAUCACCCUUUCCGCUUCGAGGGAACACCAACGCAAGGCUCCAAGGCCACGGGGGAAAUCAUUUUCAUACUUGCCUAGGAAGUCCCUUAAGGCAUAGCCGCAGCAGAUGUAUCAAGCCAAGUAUCCUCCCGUCGACGUGCCUAUUGCUGGUGCCAUUGGAAGGUCUUUUAUUGCAGUAACAGAAGUAUUUCUGACGCCGUUGCAAGGGAAGCACAGCUGAUAUGAGAAGUAUUUCUGGCGCCGUUGCCGGGGAGGAGAAAUCAAGAUCUAUCCAAGUAGGUCUCAUAAACUCUUCUCUUGCAUUUACUUUUGUUGCCAGUUGCCUCUCAUUUUCCUCUCCCCCACUUCACAUUUGUCGUUUUCAUUCGCCUUUCUCCUUCGCCGUUUUCUUUCGCCCUUGCCGUUUUCCUUUGCUGGUUUCUUGCUUGCUUGUGUGCUUGUUUGUUUGUUGAAGACAUCAUGUCUAAAACACCAAACUUUGCGACUUCUCGAGCACUAAUAAUAAUAAUUUUAUUUGUACUCCGAUUGCUCCCGCCACUAGUGCGAAAUCGUAUGAAAUAAACGCAGCUUUGCUGAAUCUGUUAUGAAAGAGAAAUUCUCCGGCCUUCCUAGUGAAAAUGCCGCAUCCCAUCUCAAUACCUUCAUUGAGAUUUGCGAUAUGCAAAAUAAAAGAGAUGUGGAUAAUGACGUGAUUAAGUUGAAACUUUCUUCCUUUCUCGUUGCGAGAUCGCACAAAAACUUGGUUUUCUACUUUGCCUAAAAAUAGUAUCGAUUCUUGGGAUAGGUGCAAAGAUGCUUACAUAUCCAAGUAUUUUCCGCCGGCUAAGAUCAUCUCCUUACGUAAUGAUAUCAUGAAUUUCAAGCAACUUGAUCAUGAACGCGUUGCACAAUCUGGGGAGAGGAUGAAACUUAAGAUUAGAAAUUGUCCCGCUCAUGGCUUGAGUUUGUGGAUGAUUAUACAAAUCUUUUACGCUGGCUUGAAUCUUGCUUCUCGCAAUAUCUUGGACUCCGCCUCAGGUGGAAUGUUCAUGGAAAUCACGUUAGGAGACGCUACAAAACUCCUAGACAAUAUCAUGACCAACUACUCUCAGUGGCACACUGAAAGGUCGCCUGCUAGCAAAAAGGUGCACGCUAUAGAAGAGAUUAACUCGCUUAGUGCUAAGAUACACGAGUUGAUGAAUUUAGUUGCUAGUAGAAACGCUACCGUAGAUCCUAAUGACAUGCCACUAUCUUCUUUGAUUGAGAGUAGCAACGCUAGUUUGGACGUGAAUUUUGUUGGUAGGAACAAUUUUGGCAACAACAAUGCUUUUAGAGGAAACUAUGUUCCUAGGCCUUUUCCUAGUAACUCCUCUAACAAUUGUGGCAAUUCCUACGGCAACACUUGUGGAAAUCACAACAAAUUACCCUCUGAUUUAGAGAGUAAUAUCAAAGAGUUCAUUAACUCUCAAAAGAUUUUCAAUGCAUCCAUAGAGGGAAAACUACUCAAAAUAGACGAUUUGGCUAAGAGCGUUGAUAGGAUGUCUUGUGAUAUUGAUGCUUUGAAAUUUAGAUGCGCUCCUCCCAAGAUCAACUUGGAUGAAACUUUGAAAGCUAUGCGUAUCUCCAUGAAUGAGAGCAAAGAAAGAACCGCCCAAAUUCGAGCUAGACAUGAAUGGUUUAAAAGGGUGCGUUCUAGUGAUGCAAAUCACGAAGAUCUUAAAGUGCUUGGUGUGUCUCCCCUUGAAUCUUUGUUUUCGCGUGUCAAACCUACUUAUGGAGGGGCUGGAUAUGAAGCCACUUUGGUUGAAAAACACCCCAAUGAUUCGGAGUCCACCUAUCUUGAUGAUAAAGGUGUGGAGAGUGGAGUAGAAGAAGUCAAAAUUUUGGGUAGUAAUGAAACUCCCACUUUGGAUUUCAAGGAAUUCAAUUAUGAUAAUUUCUGCUUGUUUGAAUGCAUUUCUUUGAUGCAAUCCAUUGCAAACUCUUCACAUGCUUAUAGCCAAAGCAAAGCCUUUACCGCGCAUAUCGUAGAUGCUAUGAUGAAAUCUCUUGAAGAGAAGCUCGAACUAGAAGUCUCUAUACCUAGAAAACUUCAUGAUGAGUGGGAACCUACUAUCAAAAUCAAGAUCGAAAACUAUGAGUGCAAUGCUUUGUGUGAUUUGGGUGCUAGUGUUUCCGCGAUUCCAAAUUCUUUAUGUGAUAUUCUUGGUUUUCAUGAGAUUGAAGAGUGUUCUCUUAAUUUGCAUCUUGCGGAUUCUACUGUCAAAAAACCCAUGGGGAGGAUCGAUGAUGUUCUUAUUGUUGAAAAUAAGAACUAUGUACCCGUGGAUUUCAUUGUACUUGACAUAGAUUGCAAUCCUUCAUGUCCCAUUAUUCUUGGUAGACCUUUCCUAAGGACUAUUGGUGCUAUCAUCGAUAUGAAGGAAGGGAAUAUUAGAUUUCAAUUUCCUUUAAAGAAGGGCAUGGAGCACUUUCCUAUAAAGAAAAUAAGAUUGCCCUAUGAAUCUAUGAUGAGGGCUACUUAUGGUUUGAGCACCAAAGAUGACUAUACGUGAUUCCAUCACUUUCGCCUAGCUAAGGGCGUUAAACAAAAGCGCUUGUUGGGAGGCAACCCAACGAAUCUAUCCUUUUUCUUUAUGUUUUGUGUUUUCCACACUUUCAUAAUUCUGUUAUGAUUGUGUCUUUUGUGUUUCUUUUUGCGUUUGUGCCAAGCAAAACCGUUAUGAUUAGUCUUGGGGAUGAUCGUUUGGUCAUGUUGGAAAAGACAGAAAGUUUCUGCUGACGAAAAGAAUUUUCAUUUUUGUUAUGUAAGAGCUAUCGAAUUGAUUCUUUUUGCUGCUGAUUUCAAAGCAAAUUAUUCAGACUUUCGUAAUGUUUCAGAAUUGUUGAAGUACUAGAGGUAUGCGAAAUAUACAGAUUGCUACAGACUGGUCUACUGUUAACAUAUUCUGUUUUUGUUGUGUUGGUUGCUUAUUUUGAUGAAACUAUGGAUAGUAUCGGGGGGUAUUAGCCGUGGAAGAUUGAAAGUACAGUAACCCAACAUCAGCACAAGUAGAAUUUAAGUUUACUACAGUACCUAAGGAAGUGGUGGUUUGCUUUCUUGUACUAAUGUUAUCACGAGUUUCUGUUUAAGUUUCGUGUUGUGAAGUUUUCAAGUUUUGGGUGAAGUUCUUAUGGACAAAGAGAUAAAGAGUGGCAAGAGAUCAAGAUUGGGGAUUCCCAAGGCACCCCAAGAGAUUCAAGGAUGUCGUACAAGCCUAAGCUUGGGGAUGCCCCGGGAAGGCAUCCCCUCUCUCGUCUUCAAUCCAUCGGUAACGUUACUUGGGGCUAUAUUUUUAUUCACCACAUGUUAUGUGUUUUUGCUUGGAGUGUCUUGUAUCGUAGGAGUCUUUUAUUUUUGUUGUGUCACAAUCAUCCUUGAUGCACACCUAGAGAGAGAGAGACAUGCACACACCGUGAUUUUGUCGAGCUUUACUUAUACUUUUGGUAGACAAUUCAGCUCACAUGUGCUUCACUUAUAUCUUUUGAGCUAGAUACUUUUGCUCUAUGUGCUUCACUUAUAUAUUUUAGAGCGCAGCGGUGCGUGGCUUGGUAGUUGAUCUAUGCUUUGAAAGUAGUCUCAAAAGGGGUAUUUAUCCAUAGGGAUACGAAAACUUCCACCUUCAUGUGCAUUGAAUAGUUAGAUAAGUUUGAUUCAUCUCAAUUAGUUUUGAGUUGUGGUUAUGGUAAUAUUGAAGUCAUGCUAGUAAGGUGUUGUGGAUCUAGAAAUAAUUGUGUUGAAGUUAGUGAUUCCCGUAGCAUGCACGUAUGGUGAACCGCUAUGUGAUGAAAUCUGAGCAUGAUUAGUAUAUUGAUUGUCAUCCUUUGCGUGGCGGUCGGGGUCACACGAUGAUUUAUACCUACCAACCCUUCCCCUAGGAGUAUGCGUUGAAUGCUUUGUUUCGAUUACUAAUAAAACUUUUGCAACAAGUAUAUGAGUUCUUCAUGACUAAUGUUGAGUCCAUGGUUUAGAUGCACUUUCACCUUCCAGCAUCACUAUCUUCUUAGUGCCGUGCAACUUUCGCCGGUGCACAAAACCCACCAUUAGCCUCCCUCAAAACAGCCACCAUACCUACCUAUUAUGGCUUUUUCAAAGUAAUACCGAGAUAUAUUGCCAUGCAACUACCACCAUCACAUGUGCCACCACGUCUACUUUGCCUUUGCAUGAUCGUAAGAUAGCUAGCAUGAUGUUUCCAUUGAUGUCUAUGCCAUGCUAGAUCAUUGCCACGGUACACUACCGAAGUCAUAGUUGCUCUAAGUUUUGAGUUGAAAGUGUGAUGAUCAUCAUUAAUGGAGCAUUGUCCCAUGUGAGGAAAUAAAAGAGGCCAAAUAAGCCCAUAAAAAAGAGGCCAAAGAGCCCACCAAAAUAAAAAAAAUGAGAGAAAAAGAGAGAAGGGACAAUGCUACCACUUUUUCCACACUUGUGCAUAUUAAGCACCAUGAUCUUCAUGAUUGAGAGUCUCUCUUUUUGUCACCACCAUAUAGCUAGUGGGGAAUUUUCAUUAUAUAACUUGGCUUGUAUAUUCCAAUGAUAGGCUUCCUCAAAAUUGCCUUAGGUCUUCGUGAGCAAGCAAGUUGGAUGCACACCCACUAGUUUUCUUUAAGAGCUUUCACAUACUCAUAGCUGUAGUGCUUCAUUUGUAUGGCAAUCCCUACUCAUUCACAUUGAUAUCUAUUGAUGAGCAUCUCCACAGCUCAUUGAUAUGCCUAGUUAAUGUGACUAUCUUCUCCUUUUUUUUGUCUUGCAACCUCCACUACAUUCCACACCAUCUAUAGUGCUAUAACCAUGGCUCACGCUCAUGUAUUGCGUGAGAGUUGAAAAUGUUUGAGAAAGUAAAGGUGUGAAACAAUUACUUGGCCAAUACCGGGGUUGUGCAUGAUUUAAAUUCGUUGUGCAAUGAUGAUAGAGCAUAGCCAGACUAUAUGCUUUUGUAGGGAUAACUUUCUUUUGGCCUUGUUAUUUUGAAAGUACAUGAUUACCUUGCUAGUUUGCUUGAAUUAUUAUUGUUUCCACGUCAAUAGCAAACUAUUGUUUUGAAUCUAAUGGAUCUGAACAUUCACGUCACAUAAGAGGAAUUACAAAGUACACCUAUGCUAGGUAGCAUGAAAGCAUCAAAAAUUCAUUCUUAUCACUUCCCUACUCGAGGACGAGCAGGAGUUAAGCUUGGGGAUGCUUGAUUUGUCUCAAACGUAUCUAUAAUAUUUGAUGGUUUCACGCUGUUAUCUUGUCUUCUUUGCUUGUUUUAUGUACCUUUUAUAUCUUUUAUGGGACUAACUUAUUAAUUCAGUGCCAAGUGCCAGUUCCUGUUUUUUCCGUGUUUUUGACUCUUUUCAAAUCUGAUUUUGGAACGGAGUCCAAACGGAAGAAAAACCCCGAAAUGAUUUUUCCCGAAUGAAAGAAGACCAGGGAGCUUUUGGGCCAAGCCAGGUGGGCUCCAGGGAGCCCACAAGCCCCCACUCCACCACCAGGGGGGAGGUGGCGGUGGGCAGGCUUGUGGCCUCCCUGGCCGCCCCUUGACCUAGGUCUUUGGCCUAUAAAUUCCCAAAUAUUCCGCAAAAAAUCAGGGGAGCCUCUAAAAUACUUUUCCAUUGCCGCAAGCUUCCGUUUCCGCGAGAUGUCAUCUGGAGACCCUUCCCGGCACCCUGCUAGAGGGGACUUUGGAGUUGGAGGGCUUCUUCAUCAUCAUCAUCGCCCCUCCAAUGACUCGUGAGUAGUUCACUUCAGACCUAUGGGUCCGUAGUUAGUAGCUAGAUGGCUUCUUCUCUCUCUUGGAUCUUCAAUACAAAGUUUUCCAUGAUCUUCAUGGAGAUCUAUCCGAUGUAAUCAUCUUUGGCGGUGUGUUUGUCGAGAUCCGAUGAAUUGUGGAUUUGUGAUCAGAUUAUCUAUGAUAUAUAUUUGAGUCUUUGCUGAUUUCUUAUAUGCAUGAUUUGAUAUCCUUGUAAGUCUCUUCGAGUCUUGGUUUUUGUUUGCCAACUAGAUCUAUGAUUCUUGGAAUGGGAGAAGUGCUUGGUUUUGGGUUCUACCAUGUGGUGACCUUUCCCAGUGACAUUAGGGGCAGCAAGGCACACAUCAAGUAGUUGCCAUCAAGGGUAAAAAGAUGGGGUUUUCAUCAUUGGUUUGAUAUUAUCCCUCUACAUCAUGUCAUCUUGCUUAAGGCGUUACUCUAUUCUUAUGGACUUAAUACACUAGAUCCAUGCUGGAUAGCGGUCGACGUGUGGAGUAAUAGUAGUAGAUGCAGAAAGUAUCGGUCUACUUGUUUCGGACGUGAUGCCUAUAGAAAUAAACAUUGCAUAGAUAUCGUCACGACUUUGCGUGGUUCUAUCAAUUGCUCGACAGUAAUUUGUUCACCCACCGUCUACUUGCUUUUAUGAGAGAAGCCACUAGUAAACACUACGGCCCCCGGGUCUAUUCACAUCCAUCGUUUACACCUUCGCUUUUACUUUGCUUUGUUACUUUGUUGCUUUCGGUUCUCACUUGGCAAACAAUCUAUAAGGGAUUGACAACCCCUUCAUAGCAUUGGGAGCAAGUUUUUGUGUUUGUGCAGGAUCUCGAGAUACUCCUGCACUGGAUUGAUACCUUGGUUCUCAAAAUGAGAUAAAUACUUACCACCGUUGUGCUACAUCACCCUUUCCGCUUCGAGGGAACACCAACGCAAGGCUCCAAGGCCACGGGGGAAAUCCUUUGCAUACUUGCCUAGGAAGUCCCUUAAGGCGUAGCCGCAGAAGAAGGAUCAAGCCAAGUAUCCUCCCGUCGACGUGCCUAUUGCUGGCGCCAUUGGAAUGUCUUUUGUUGCAGUCACAGAAGUAUUUCUGGCGCCGUUGCAAGGGAAGCACAGUUGAUAUCAUCUUCCUUGUCCAACAUCUACUUCUAAGCAUGUAAUAGUUUAGUGAGUGUUCACAAUCAUAGAUGGUGUCAAGGAUGAUAUAUUUAUAUGUGAACCUCUCCUUCUUUAUCACUUCCCAUUAAUUGCAACAAUGACCAAGGUCUACGUUUGUCUACCCUCAACAAGUUUGAAUCAUCAUCCUUUUUAUAUAUGAAGCCAUCACUUCCCAUAAGAUCACUAUAUGAUCUCUCAUGGUUUUUUUCUUUCUCGAUCUUUUGAUCAUGGCAAGAGGCAAAGCCCUUCAACUAAGAUACUCCUUAUUAUAUGGCUCACGAGCUCGAAUACAUCAGGGGAGACGCAAAGCAAAACUCAAGCCUAAAACACUAAGACAUUUAUUCUACUAGAGAAAGAGAAAACUGAAAAGGAACAAACUAAAACAAAGGUAAAGGCAAAAGAUAUGAUGGUGAUACGAUACCGGGGCAACUCCCCCAAGCUUGGCACAAGCCAAGGGGAUUGCCCAUACCCAUGCUCAGUUGUCUUCCUUUGGAGGUGAUGGUGGUGGAGUUGUUGCAACCUUUGGUUCCAAGAGGGCCAUUAAUCUUUGAUUUAUACCUUGGAGAUCUGUGAUAUGUUUCUCGAGCAAAACAACUUCACGAGUGAGAUAAGUAUUGCGAGCACGAGUUGUUUCACAAAACCUCAAGAGUUCAAUCAAGGAUGGAGACUGUAGGUGGAGGUAGGGUUGGAUGAAAUCCACUUCUUCAACUUCUUCCUUGUUGAGCACAGAUUGCACUUCGUCCCAUGCCUGACUCUUCUCCUUUGUUUUGCCCUUGGUUUCUUUAGGUAGCCUUUCCUUGGCCUCCAUGACUUCCAUCCUUUUCAGAUCAACAUGUACUUCUCCAUAGACUUGAGGGAGAUUGUUCUCCCCUACAGAUUCCUGAGAUGACAUCUUGCUCUAAAUCUGUGGUAGAAAACAAGCUCGAAAUGAAAACAGAGGGAAUUUACGUGAUACAGAGGUCGAACAUUUCGGGAGAAUAUAUAAUGAUUUUUUUCCAGACCAGAGGGAGUACUCCGCACGAAAACGGAGUCCGGGAGGCACACGAGGUGGCCACAAGCCCUCUAGGACCGGCGAGGGGGUAGGUCGGGCCUAGGAGGCUUGUCGCCUCCUCGUGCACUUUCCGGACUGCUUUAAAAUUUUCUAUUUUUUCGAAAAUUCCAAAACGAAGGAAAACUGCUAAGGGAAAAGUUUUGGAGUCGUUUACUUACCGAAUCACAUACCUCCUCGUUUUCAGAGUCUCAAACAGGCUGAUAAAUAUCCCUUAUGUACUCCUCCGGAGUUAUGGUAUUGAUAAUGUUGCUCUCAACAUUUAUGGGAGUACCUGAGAUGUAAUGCUUGAUUCUCUGCCCAUUUACCACUCUCGGACAAUUACCUUCCGUGUUUUUGAUUUUGAUAGCACCGGAACAAUAUACUUCCUCAACAAUAUAGGGACCUUCCCAUUUAGAGAGAAGCUUGCGUGCAAAAAAUCUUAAACGAGAAUUGUAUAGCAAGACAUAAUCACCUACAUUGAACUCACGCUUUUGUAUCCUCUUAUCAUGCCACCUCUUAACUUUUUCUUUGAAUAACUUGGCAUUUUCAUAUGCCUGAGUUCUCCAUUCAUCAAGCGAGCUAAUGUCAAAUAACCUCUUCUCACCAGCAAGUUUGAAAUCAAAGUUGAGCUCUUUGAUUGCCCAAUAGGCUUUAUGCUCUAGCUGAAGAGGUAGAUGACAUGCUUUACCGUACACCAUUUUGUAUGGAGACAUGCCCAUGGGAUUCUUAUAGGCAGUUCUAUAAGCCCACAGUGCAUCAUCGAGCUUCUUAGACCAAUUCUUUCUAGACCUGUUGACAGUCUUUGCAGAAUCAGUUUAAUCUCUCUAUUGCUUAGCUCUACUUGACCACUGGACUGAGGGUGAUAGGGAGACGCAAUUCUAUGGUUGACAUCAUACUUAGCAAGCGUCUUACCGAAAGCACCAUGAAUGAAAUGUGAACCACCAUCGGUCAUUAGAUAUAUAGGGACUCCAAAUCUGGGGAAGAUAACUUCUUUAAGCAUCCUGAUAGAGGUGUUGUGAUCAUCACUACUAGUGGGGAUUGCUUCCACCCACUUAGUGACAUAAUCAACAACAACUAGGAUAUAAGUAUACCCGUUGGAUUUUGGAAAAGGUCCCAUAUAAUCAAAGCCCCAAACAUCAAAUGGUUCAAUGAGAAGUGAAUAGUUCAUAGGCAUUUCCUGACGUUUACCGAUAUUACCUAUUCUUUGACAUUCGUCGCAAGACAAGAGAAACUUACGGGCAUCCUUGAACAGAGUGGGCUGAUACGUCUCCGUCGUAUCUACUUUUCCGAACUCUUUUGCCCUUGUUUUGUACUUUAAUUUGCAUGAUUUGAAUGGAACUAACCCGGACUAACGCUGUUUUCAGCAGAAUUGCCAUGGUGUUGUUUUUGUGCAGAAAUAGAAGUUCUCGGAAUGUCCUGAAAAUUUACGGAGAAUUUUUCUAGAAUUAAUGAAAAAUACCUGUGCAAAGAUCCACCAGAGGGUGUGAACCAGUGGGCCACAAGCCCACUGGCCGCGGCCACCGCCCAGGCCGCACCAACCAGGCUUGUGGAGCCCACAGAGCUGCACCGCCUCCAAACUCAGCUCUAUAUAUUGCGUUUCGCCCGGAAAAAAAUUAGAGAGAAGGAGUCAUCGCGUUUUACGAUACGGAGGCGCGGCCACCUCCUGUUCUUCAUGUGGAGGGCAGAUCUGGAGUCCGUUCUAGGCUCCGGAGAGGGGAAAUCGUCGCCAUCAUCAUCAUCAACCUUCCUCCAUCGACAAUUCCAUGAUGCUAUUCACCGUUCGUGAGUAAUCUCAUCGUAGGCUUGCUGAACGGUGAUGAGUUGGAUGGGAUCUAUCAUGUAAUCGAGUUAGUUUUGACGGGGAUUGAUCCGUGGUAUCCACUAUGUUCUGAGAUUGAUGUUGCUACUACUUUGCCAUGCUUAAUGCUUGUCACUAGGGCCCGAGUGCCAUGAUUUCAGAUCUGAACCUAUUAUGUUGUCGCCAAUAUAUGUGUGUUUUAGAUCCUACCUUGCAAGUUGUAGUCACCUACUAUGUGUUAUGACCCGGCAACCCCGGAGUGACAAUAGCCGGAACCACUCCCGGAGAUGACCAUAGUAUGAGGAGUUCGUGUAUUCACCACGUCUUAAUGCGUUAGUCUGGUUCUUUAUUAAAAGGAGAACCUUAAUAUCCCUUAGUUUCCAUUAGGACCCCGUUGCCACGGGAGGGAUGGACAAUAGAUGUCAUGCAAGUUCUUUUCCCUAAGCACGUAUGACUACAUACGGAAUACAUGCCUACAUUAGAUUGACGAACGGGAGCUAGUUACAUAUCUCUUUGUGUUAUAGCUUUUACAUGAUGAAUCACAUCCGACAUACUCAUCCAUAACCGAUCCAAUGCCUACGAGUCUUUUACUACUGGUCCUUGCUACGUUACUUUGCCGCUACUGCUACCACUGCUGUUACUGUUGCUCUGUUGCUACUGCCGUUACUUGCUGCUGCUGUCACUACUGCUGUUACUUGCUCUACUACUUGCUAUUGCUGUCACUACUGCCGUUCCUUGCUACAGCUGUCACUACUGCUGUUACUUGCUACUUUGUUGUUACUCGCUGCAACACUUUAGUGGCACCAUUUAUACAACAAGUUAGGAAUAGUCUGCCGUCAACAGACCUUUUUCUGGCACCGUUGCUAUCAUACUACUUUGCUACUGAUACUUUGCUUGCAUACACUAAUCUUUGAGGUGUGGUUGAAUUGACAACUCAGCUGCUAAUACUUGAGAAUAUUCUUUUGCUUCCCCUUGUGUCGAAUCAAUAAAUUUGGGUUGAAUACUCUACCCUCGAAAACUGUUGCAAUCCCCUAUACUUGUGGGUCAUGAUGGGCCAAUAGAAACCUGAUUGCAAUACCUUGUGUGCAGUUCUAUCUCCCGCAUGGUGUCCUCCGUAGGCCUCGGGGUGACACUUCUGUAGGAUCUAUCCCUGUUCAUGUUCAGGUACACAACAUCUAAUAACACCAUCUACUCCUUCCUUAUAAAGGUGAGGAUCAUCCCAAAAGUAAUGUCUCAAGUCAAAGAAGAAUUUCUUCUUUUGCUGGUACGUGAAAGUAGGUGGUAUAUAUUUGGCAACAAUAUAGUUUGUAUAAUCAGCAUACCACGGUGCACUACGUGAAGCAUUGAUGACAUUCAAUUGCUCACUGUGAAAGCUAUCAUCAAUAGGUUGUGGGUCAUCAAGAACGUUCUCCAACCUAGACAAGUUAUCUGCUACGGGGUUAUCAGCACCCUUCUUGUCGACAACAUGCAAAUCAAACUCUUGUAGCAAGAGAACCCAUCUGAUAAGUCUAGGUUUAGCGUCCUUCUUCUCCAUGAGGUACUUAAUAGCAGCAUGAUCAGUGUGAAUAGUGACUUUGGAAUGAACUAUGUAAGACCUGAACUUUUCACAUGCAAACACGACUGCUAAAAAUUCAUUUUCCGUAGUAGCAUAGUUUCUUUGGGCACUGUCUAGAAUUUUACUAGCAUAGUGAAUAACGUUCAACUUCUUAUCAACUCUUUGCCCUAGGACAACACCAACAACAUAAUCACUAGCAUCACACAUAAUUUCAAAAGGUAAGUUCCAAUCAGGUGGUUGAACAAUAGGUGCAGUUAUCAAAGCCCUCUUAAGUAUUUCGAAGGCUUCCUCACAAUCAUCGUCAAAAACAAAAGGAAUAUCCUUUUGCAAGAGAUUGGUAAGAGGCCUAGAAAUCUUAGAGAAGUCUUUAAUGAACCUUCUAUAGAAACCAGCAUGACCAAGGAAACUUCUUAUACCUUUGAUAUCUGUGGGGUAUGGCAUUUUCUCCAUUGCAUCAACCUUGGCCUUAUCGACUUCAAUACCUUUUUCAAAAAAAUUAUGUCCUAAGACGAUGCCUUCAUUGACCAUAAAGUGGCACUUCUCCCAAUUCAAGACAAGAUUGGUGUCUUUACAUCUCUACAAGACUCGAUCAAGGUUGAUGAGGCAAUCAUCAAAAGAAGACCCAUAAACGGAGAAGUCAUCCAUGAAAACCUCAACAAUCUUUUCACAAAAGUCAGAAUAUAGCCAUCAUACAUCUUUGAAAGAUGGCAGGUGCAUUACAUAAGCCAAAAGGCAUACGUCUAUAAGCAAAGGUACCAAAAGGGCAGGUGAAAGUGGUUUUCUCCUGAUCAGAUCGUGCAACUGGUAUUUGGGAGAAACCAGAGUAACCGUCUAGAAAGUAGAAGUGUGUGUGUUUAGACAGUCUUUCUAGCAUUUGGUCAAUAAAAGGUAAAGGGCAAUGAUCUUUCCUAGUGGCUUUAUGCAAUUUCCUAAAAUCGAUCACCAUCCUGUAGCCAGUAAUAAUCUUCUGCGGGAUCAAUUCAUCCUUAUCAUUAGGGACAACGGUAAUGCCUCCCUUCUUAGGGACGCAAUGCACCGGACUCACCCAACCGCUAUGAGCAACAGGAUAAAUAAUACCUGCCUCCAGGAGCUUUAGUAUUUCUUUUCUGACUACUUCUUUCUUCUUAGGAUUCAAUCUCCUUUGAUGAUCAACAACUGGUUUGGAAUCAGGAUGAGUUUUAAUCUUGUAAUGGCAUAGAGUGGGACUAAUGCCCUUAAGAUCAUCAAGAGUAUAUCCAAUAGCAGCACGGUGCUUCCUCAGAGUUUUUAGUAACUUCUUUUCUUCAUCCUCUGAGAGGCUAGCACUAAUAAUAACAGGAUAUUUCUCUUUUUCAACAAGAUAAGCAUACUUAAGAGUAUGAGACAUCUGUUUAAGCUCGAACACAGGAUCACCCUUUGGUGGGGGUGGAUCCCCAAGGAGUUCAAUAGGCAGAUUGUUCUUAAGGAUAGGAUAUUGUUCUAAGACAACUCUAUCUAUCUCAUCCCUUUCAUCCAUAUGCAUAUCAUUUUCAUGCUCAAGCAUGUAUUGCUCUAAGGGAUCGGUAGGAGGUACGACAAUAGAAGCUAAGCUAAUAGUUUCAUCCUUACUAGGCAACUCCUUUUCAUGAGGUUGUCUACCAAACUUGGAAAAAUUGAACUCAUGUGACACACCUUCAAAGCCAAAAGCGACAGUUUGCUUCUCACAAUCAGUAUGAGCAUUGACGGUAUUGAGGAAAGGUCUGCCAAAUAUGAUGGGACAAAAGCUAUCCUGGGUGGUAGCAAGAAUGAGGAAAUCAGCAGGAUACUUCGUUUUACCACAAAAAACUUCAACAUCCCUAACAAUUCCCACAUGGCAGAUAGUAUCUCUAUUGGCAAGAUGAAUAGUGACAUCAAUAGGCUCUAUCUCAAAGGUGCAAUCUCAUCUUUGAUUUCAUCAUAUUAGGAUUGAGGUAUUGCACUAACACUAGCACCCACGUCACAUAAACCAUGAUAGCAAUGAUCUCCUAUCUUAACAGAAACAACAUGCAUGCCAACAACAGGCCUAUGUUUGUCUCUAGCGUGAGGUUUAGCAAUUCUAGCAGCAUCUUCUCAGAAGUGAAUACUAUGUCCCUCAACAUCGUCGGGCAGAAGAUCUUUGAUAAAAGUAAUGCUAGGUUCAACUCUAAUUUUCUCAGGGGGUGUAGGUGUUCUAAUGUAGCCUCUACGUAUCACAGUUGAAGCUUUAGAAUGAUCCUGCAUCCUAACAGGGAAAGGUGGUUUCUCAAUGUAAGCACUGGGAAUAACAGGAUCAUUAUAGGAAAUGACUCUCUCUUCAACUGGAUUGGGUUUAACUACAUUGACUUCUAAAGGAGGAUGAUAUUUAAACCACUUCUCUUUGGGGAGAUCUACAUGAGCAGAAAAUGAUUCACACAAUGACGCUACUAUCUCAGAGUCAAGUCCAUACUUAGCGCUAAAGUCACAAAAAGUAUUUGUUUCAACAAAGGAUUAAACACAAUCAAACUGGAAAUUCAUACCUGACUCCUUACCUUCUUCAAGCUCCCAAUCUUCAGAGUUGCAUUUAAUUCUCUCCAAUAAAUUCCAUUUGAAGUCAAUAUCUCUCUUCAUAAAAGAACCGGUACAAGAAGUGUCAAGCAUGGUGCGAUCAUCCUGAGAAAGCCGAGCAUAGAAGUUCUGAAUGAUAAUUUCUCUCGAGAGAUCAUGGUUGGGGCAUGAAUAUAAAAUUGAUUUAAGCGUCCCCCAAGCUUGAGCGAUGCUUUCUCUGUCACGAGGCCAAAAAUUAUAAAUAUAAUUCCGAUCACGAUGUACUAAAUGCAUAGGAUAAAACUUUUGAUGAAAUUCCAAUUUCAAUCGAUUGUAGUCCCAUGAUCCAGUAUCAUCACAUAGCCUAUACCAUGUCAACGCCUUAUCCUUCAAAGAUAAAGGAAAGACCUUCUUAUUGACCUCAUCCUCGGGAAAACCUGCAAGCUUAAAUAAACCACAAACUUCAUCUACAUAUAUUAGAUGCAAGUCUGGAUGUGAUGUUCCAUCUCCUGUAAAAGGAUUAGCCAGCAGUUUCUCAAGCAUACUCGAAGGAAAUUCAAAGCAAAUAUUUUCAGUAGGUGAAGCAGGUUGAGGAGCAACUCUUUGUUCUUCCGUUUGAGGUGAAGAUACCCCGAACAAGCCCCUCAAAGAAUUAGUUUCCAUAGUGACAAGUGACAAUAAAUUUCAGCACACUAUAUGAAUGUUUCCUUAUCAAGUUCCACUUACCAAAGGCGCUUCACUCCCCGGCAACGGCUCCAGAAAAGAGUCUUGAUGACCCACAAGUACAGGGGAUCAAUCGUAGUCCUUUCGAUAAGUAAGAGUGUCGAACCCAACAAGGAGCAAAAGGAUCUGACAAGUGGUUUUCAGCAAGGUAAUAUCUGCAAGCACUGAAAUUAUCGGUAACAUGUGAUUGUAUGGUGAGGUGAUUCGUAGCAAGCAACAAGUAAAAAAAGUAGCAAUGGUGCAGCAAAGUGGCCCAAUCCCUUUUGUAGCAAGGGACAAGGCUGGACAAAGUCUUAUAGGAGGAAAAAUGCUCCGGAGGACACACGGGAAUUUCUGUCAUGCUACUUUUCAUCAUGUUCAUAUGAUUCGCGUUCGUUACUUUGAUAGUUGGAUAUGUGGGUGGACCGGCGCUUGGGUAUUGCCCUUAAUUGGACAACCAUCCCACUUAUGAUUAACCCCUCUCGCAAGCAUCCGCAACUACGAAAGAAGAAUUAAGACAAAGUCUAACCAUAACAUUAAACUAGUGGAUCCAAAUCAGCCCCUUACGAAGCAACGCAUAAACUAGGGUUUAAGCUUCUGUUACUCUAGCAACCCAUCAUCUACUUACUACUUCCCAAUGCCUUUCUCUAGGCCCAAAUAAUGGUGAAGUGUCAUGUAGUCGACGUUCACAUAACACCACUAGAGGAAAAACAACAUACAACACAUCAAAACAUCGAACGAAUACCAGAUUCACAUGACUACUAUUAGCAUGACUUAUCCCAUGUCCUCAAGAACAAAAGUAACUAGUCACAAAGCAUAAUCAUAUUCAUGACCAGAGAGGUAAUUUUGUCUGGACGAAACCCUUCAUAUAGCAAAAGAUGAGCGCCGGAGGGGCAACAGGGGGCCCACAAGCCCCCAGGCCCGACCAGGGGGGUAGGCUGGGCCUGGCAGGCUUGUGGCCUCCAGGUGGCGCCCCUCUGGUACUUCUUCCGCCCAGUAUUUUUUAUAUAUUCCCAAAAAAUUCCACGUUGAUUUUCACGGCUUUUGGAGUUGCGCAGAAUAGGCAUCUCAAACUUGCUCCUUUUUCUGGCCAGAAUUCCAGCUGCCGGCAUUCUCCCUCUUCAUGUAAACCUUGCAAAAUAAGAGAGGAAAGGCAUAAGUAUUGUACCUUGGAGUGAAAUAACAUCCCAAAAAGCGAUAAAUAUCAACAUGAAAGCAUGAUGCAAAAUGGACGUAUCAGGUAGCACUCUCGAGCUUCUUGCCUAGUUGUUGUGCUCCUUGUAACUUCAGCACACAAGUAAUCCACAAGACAUAGGACAUAGGGUUUUACGCCUCCGAGCGGCCCGAACCUAUCUAAACCCAGGGCAUGAUUUGGUUGGUGUUGCUCUUUACACAUGUAGAUCCCCAUAGCUUAACUGGAAAGGGGCCUUGACGGUCCCAUAGAUUGCCAUACCUUCACAUCUUUGGUGCGCCAGGCAGGGGAUUGAAUGUAUGAAUCUUCACUAUCUUCUACACGUCUUCAUCAUCUUCUUCACCGACACCCAUGGCGCCCAAGAAGGACAAGGACACGUCGACAUUUGCCCUAUCUAUGUUCAAGAUGCCAUUGCACGUGGCGCUGGGCAACACCAACGGAGGCGAACACCAUACUCACCGUACCGUUGAGUGCAACAACAACACUACGCGGAGAUCCAUGAGCCGUGACCCGGACCCAUCCGUCAUGGCGUCCAAGGAUGCGCUGGAGACAUAUGAUAACCCACAAGUAUAGGGGAUCACAAUAGUUUUCGAGGGUAGAGUAUUCAACCCAAAUUUAUUGAUUCGACACAAGGGGAGCCAAAGAAUAUUCUUGAGUAUUAGCAGCUGAGUUGUUAAUUCAACCACACCUGAAAGAUUUUAAAUCUGCAGCAAAGUAUUUAGUAGCAAAGUAGUAUGAAAGUAAAGGUAACAGUGGCAAACGUGACAACAACAGUUUUGUAGUGAUUGUAACAAUAGCAACGGAAAAAUAACUGAGGAAAGAACAAUAUGUGGAAAGCUCAUAGGCAAUGGAUCAGUGAUGGAUAAUUAUGUCGGCUGGCAUUCAUCAUGCAACAGUCAUAACAUAGGGUGAUACAGAACUAGAUCCAAUUCAUCAAUGUAAUGUAGGCAUGUAUUCCAUAUAUAGUCAUAUGUGCUUAUGGAAAAGAACUUGCAUGACAUCUUUUGUCCUACCCUCCCGUUGCAGCGGGGUCCUAAUGGAAACUAAGGGAUAUUAAGGCCUCCUUUUAAUAGAGAAUGGACCAAAGCAUUAACACUUAGUGAAUACAUGAACUCUCAAACUACGGUAAUCACCGGAAAGAAUCCCAGUUAUUGUCACCCUCGGGGAUGCAGAUCAUAACUCGUAAUAGGUGUCUACAACUUGCAAGAUAGGAUCAAGAACACAUAUAUAAUCAUGAAAACUUAAUAGGUUCAGAUCUGAAAUCAUGGCACUCGGGCCCUACUGACAAACAUUAAACAUAGCAAAGUCAUAGCAAUAUAAUUCUCAGAACAUAAUGGAUACUAGGGAUCAAACCCUAACAAAACUUACUCGAUUACAUUAUAGAUCUCAUCCAACCCAUCAUCGUCCAGCGAGCCUAUGAUGGAAUUACUCACGAAUGAUGGAGAGCAUCAUGAAAUUAGUGAUGAAGGAUGGUUGGUGAUGACGAUGACGUCGAUUUCCCCUCUCCGGAUCCCAAAUCAGACUUGAGAUCUGCCCUCCCGAGGAAGAGCAGGAGCUGGCGGCGGCUCCGUAUCGUAUAAUGCGAUGAACACUUGUUCUUAAUUUUUCUCCCCGGAUAGGAAUAUAUAUAAGUGGAAACGAGGUCGGUGGAGCCUCAGGGACCCCACAAGCCAGGUGGCGCAGCCUGGGGGGCGCCCUACAGGCUUGUGGCCAGGGGGUGGCCCGUCUCAGGUAGAUUCUUUCUCUAGUAUUUUUAUUAAUUCUAGAAACGUUCUCCGCAAAUUUUUAGGUUAAUCGAAGAACUUUUAUUUCUGCACCAAAAUAACACCAAGGCAAUUCUGCUGAAAAGAACGUCAGUCCGGGUUAGUUCCAUUCAAGUCAUGUAAAUUAUAGUACAAAACAAGGGCAAAAGAGUUUGAAAAAGUAGAUAUGUUGGAGACGUAUCAACUCCCCCAAGCUUAAACCUUUGCUUGUGCUCAAACAAUUCAGUUGAUAAACUGAAAGUGAUAAAGAAAAACUUUUAGAAACUCUGUUUGAUCUUGUUGUUGUAAAUAUGUCUAACUUAUGUUCAAAUUUUCAGCUCACAUUAUAGACUAACCACAUUCACAAUAAUAUUUUGGUCUCAUGUUUACUUAUAUAAGUGGCAUAAUCAACUAGAAAGAAAUAACAAUAAGUCUCGGAUGACAACAAUUUAAUCAAAACAAUCAUAAUACAAUAUGAUAAACUAGUAUCUCGCUAGCCCUUUCCGAGACCGCAAAACAUAAAUGUAGAGCACCUCCGAAGAACAAGGACUGACUAGACAUUGCAAUUGAUGGUAAAAGAGAUCCAAUCAUACUCAUACUCAAUAUCAAUUAAUAACAAAGCAUACAAAUGACGGGGGUGCUCUCUAACUGGUGCUUUUUUAUAAGAAGACAAUGACUCAACAGUAAAGUAAAAUAGAUAGGCCCUUCACACAGGGAAGCAUUGAUUUGCAGGGGUGCCAGAGCUCGAGCUUUUAAAACUGGGAUGAAUCAAAAUUUUGGGUGGUAUGCUUUCAUCGUCAACAUAACAACUAUGAGAUCUCAAUAUCUUCCAUGCUAAAUACAUUAUAGGCGGUUCCCAAACAGAAUAGUAAAGUUUUUACUCCCCCUCCACCAAUCGAUCACCUUCCACAGCGGGCCGAAUCCGCGGGUUCCGUCUGUUGGGGAAGGUUGCAUGGGAAACAAAAAAUUUCCUACGCACACGAAGACCUAUCAUGGUGAUGAUCAUAUACGAGAGGGAGAUCGGAUCCACAUACCCUUGUAGAUCGCUAAGCGGAAGCGUUAAUAAACACGGUUGAUGUAGUGGUACGUCUUCAUGAUCCGUCCCAUGAACCGUCCCACGAUCUGUCCCAUGAACCGUCUCACGAUCCGUCCCGAUCAAGUGCCGAACGGACGACACCUCUGUGUUCCGCACACGUACAACUCGAUGACGAUCUCCACCUUCUUGAUCCAGCAAGAGAGACGGGGAUGUAGAUGAGUUCCCCGGCAGUGUGAAGGCGCGUCGGUGGUGGUGGUGAUCUAUUCCUGCAGGGUUUCGCCUAAGCAUCGCAGAAAUAUGAUCUAGAGGAAGAACUACGAAGUAGAGAUUUAGGGUUGCACGUGUCAAAGUUGUGUCUCAAAAAUCCCUAAACCUCUAGUAUAUAUAGGAGGAGAGAGGGAGGAGGCUUGGCCUCCAAGGGAAGCCCCUAGGGCUUCUGCUGAACUAAGGAGGAGGAUUCCACCAAGGGCUAGUCUACCUCCUCUCACAGCCCAUGAACCCUUUUGGGUGGUCACACCCCUCCCGGUGGUUCCGGUACCCUCCCAACACUCCCGGUACACUACCGAUGAACCCGAAACUUUUCCGAUGACCAAAACAGGACUUCCUAUAUAUUAAUCUUCGUUUCCGAACCAUUCCGGAAACCCUCAUGACGUCCGGGAUCUCAUUCGGGACUCCGAACAACCUUCAGUCACCAACACAUAUAACUCAACUGUCGUGGUUUUAUCACGGCAGAUGUCCUCGUGAAAGGACUUAAAGAUGGAGCUAUCGCACCUUGGUGGCGACUCGAAGGGGGUGAGCGAAAGCAAGACUCAGAUUUACCCAGGUUCGACCCCUCGUGAGGAGGUAAAAGCCUACGUCCUUCUUUGUGUGGAUUGAUCAUGGUUUUGAUUACAAGGAGGGCGUAAAUCGCCUGACCUAGCUCAAGAUUCUCUCUAACUCGCGUGACCUUUCCCCGGGACUCACCUUUAUAUAUAGGUCGAGGCCCUAGGGUUUUACAAAAGUCCUUCCAUGCUACUCUUCGUAGAUUUCCCUAUCUCUGAGUUACCGUGCCCUCCAAGAUUGGGAACUCCCUUGGUUAUCUAUCAUCUACAUAACCUCUCGAACCGCCAUAUAGCUUCUGGGCCACGAGACACGCUUCGAAUGGUAAGUCGCCCAUUUGAUGACCCGGCUCACUAAGGGCGGGUUAUUCGCACGUAAUAUCCCCAACAUUAGCCCCCCAGAUUGUCUUCAAUUCAUUCAUGUCAAUAAACCUUCACCCAUUUGGGGCGACUCAUACCAUCUCUGUCUUUCGACGCACGAUAAGUCACCACUCGUUGUAAUUUAUCUAACCCACCGUGUAAUCUUUGAUGACAUCACCUUAUCUCCUUAAUUCCGGGGUUUUUAAUGCCACAACCACCCAAUGGAUCUUUAGUUCCAUAUUCACUUAUCCCGAAAACCUAGGCGCCAUCAUUACAGAUUCUGACUUGUCGCCUCGAUCUCCGCCCUGACCGCCUCGAUUCCCGUUCUGGCCGCCUCGAUUCCCGUUCCGGCCCUUUAAAUAACCGCAGGAGAAAUGGGGGGGGAGCUCCGUCACCUACCCCCAUCUUUGGCUUCGUCUGCCUCACACACUUCCCCUUCGUGCACCAGCACCUCGGCGUCGUCACCGGCUCUGAAGCUCCUUCGUCAACCGUGCUCUUCCGGGGGCCUUCAAGUCGACAAGAGGCACGAAGUCCUCUGCUUCCGUCCCCGGCGCUAUUCUCCUUCCCUCAGGCACACGCAUUCCCUCAUUAGGGUUAAACCAAGAACGCCAUGGCCAUUGUCCCAGCGAGCUAGCUUCAUGACGCGACAAACGUCCCUUCCUGCUUCAGAUCCGCCUUAUAUCUUUAUAGUAGAUUCCGACAGUAGCAAUCCAUGGUCGCUUUAUGGCGUCCUUUCACUACCUUAAGCUCUCACACUGUAGAUCCAGGCGAUAGUACUGUGGCUGCCUUAUAUUUAUAGCCUUCAUCAUUUUACCGAGCAUUAUUCCAUUAUUUUGGUCCACCGUAGAUCCAUAAUUUACUGCUUGUUUUUAGAAACAUGUUUGUUUGUCCCCGUGAAUAUCCCUAAGGAAAAAGGACCCUUGAGAGUCGCCGUUUAGCUCCUGCUUCCCUGGCGACUUAAACCUAUCAUCAUAGCUACGCCCCCUUCUUUUCCGGUUGAAGGGCGAGUUACAAUACUUUAAAGAUAUUUCCAUGAACCGCCCAACUAGCGAGUUAUGCCAUAUGCCACCAGUUGGCGAGUCAUCAAAUCCUUCUCGAACAUACUGUAGACCCAUACUGGCGAGUUAGAACACUUCAUAGUCUUCACUGAACCGUCUUGUUCCCCGUUCUUUUGUAGUCAUGGCUAUUUCGAAGUGCAAUUGGUUACCAACCAAAAUCGAUGAUGCUACUCUCGAGAAAUUUGUCAAGUUGGGUCAUCUGAACAAUAAGGAAGCCAUUGUUUAGAGAAUCGCCCCAGGCGAGUUGAUUCCCAAUCCUGUCGUAGGAGAAGUAGUCAUUUUCACCGACUACCUUGAACGAGGUUUUAAACCGCCCGGGUCAAAGUUUUUUCGAGAUGUCUUGCAUUUUCUUAACGUCCAUCCUCCAGACUUGGGACCCAACUCCAUCAGCAACCUUUGCCAGUUCCAAGUGUUUUGUGAGGUAUACUUACAAAGAGAGCGCACAGUUCCUUUAUUUUGGAACUUCUUCCAUCUGAAACGCCAGACUGAGUUUACCAACGGCCCCAAUCAUGAGCUUGGAGGAGUCAACAUUCAAAGACGCCACAAGCAUGGAUUUCCAUCAGUUCUUGUGCCCAGCCAUCCCAAAGGCUGGGCCGAGUCAUGGUUUUAUUGUCGAGACACCUCUCCACCUGGUGAGAACCCACUUCCGGGUUUCAGAGAGGAUCACCUGCCCAUGGACUUCAAACUUCCCGCGAAACUCACAGAAGAGGAAGAGUCUGAAUUUAUCCCCAUAUUCUCCAAGUUACGAUCUUUGACAAAUAACGGGCUCAUUGGGAUUGAUCUGUUCUGCUGCUGGGUGGAGUGGAAUAUUCUUCCCUUGAGUCGCCGACACGGGUUAAUGUAUGAAUAUGAUGGCACGGUAAACCAUCCGCAAUGCUUCCACCAUAAAAGACUUACAGAGAGUGAUAUUUUUGGAAUAAUCAAGAAGCUAACUGGUGAGUCUUUGGAAGAAUGUGCUAAGAUUGGGCUCAAGGCCUUCUGCCGCUCCAACCCGGUUCCGCUAGUAAGAGUCCAAGACGCCUUUCAUUUCUUUAUAAAUAUACUUACCAAUGAUUUUGGUUUGAAUUUUACUUCUGUUCAUCAGAAAAGUGAUCCAUUUUGGCGAAUGGGUCCAAAAGUGACCGCCCAAAAGAACACCAAGCCACCGCCAAAGAAGAAAAAAAACAAGCAAAGGUAAAGCUGCCGCCAAAGAUUCAUCUGUUGUCGGCGAGUCACGAGCUGUCGAAGAGCAGUCAGAGGUAAAACUUCCCCCUCACUCAUCACCUGUGUAUUCGGACUCAUGCUCAUACCAUGCGUCUUUAUGUGUAGGGCGAGGACAAUGAGAGCCAAGACGAUGCGGUCGAGGUAAUUUCUAUUUCUUCCGACUCACCUUCCCCUUCUCCUAGACCAGCCAGACGGAUCUGUGGGAAAGUGCCCAAGUCUCACCCAUAUGCUUAUAUGGACCCUGAUUUCCUUUUGAAGAAAGUAAGAUAUAUUCCCAAGCGCAAAACCCGUAGUCACUCUCGCGACUUAUUUUCCAGGCUGCCUGAGAAGACAACCGGUCGGAAGUGCACCAGCGAGGUACACUUUUGUUUUACCAUACUCUUCCUUGUGGUAAAUACGAUUCACAACUUCCUUAGCUUUUAAGCUUUUAUUCUACCAGACUUCUCCCCCUUCAUCUGGCGACUCAGCAAUGUCAGCUCUCCCACCGAUGAUUCAUGUGCAAGGGUGAGUCCCUUUGUUAACUCAAUUUCUUCUACAUAACGAUAUGUGCUUUAAUCUUGGUGCCUUUGUCUCAGAGCACAAGCGAACAAAAGGAAAACUGGAGACUUAUCUUCUGCUCCUAAGACAACUGAAGCCUUAGGCACGAGCGCCUCUGUCCCAGAGAUUGAUGAGGAGCAAGCUGCGGCUCACGACAUUCCUGUGUAUGAUAUUCCUGAUGUCCGGGAUGACUGGCCCGUAAUUUUGAAGGAACCUGUUGACAAGGUUAACCCGCCAAGCCCUCUCAAGGCGACUGAAGAUCCAGAUGCCGUCAUGAUCACCGGUACUGGCUACUCCCCACCUUCAGCCGCGAUACUAUCCAAGCAUACCUCAAAGGAAUCUCAUCCUUCCACUGAUCAAGACACUAGUAAGUUCAAGCUUCCCCAGUAUGAGACACUGGAAUUUGACCAACUUUGCUCUGGCUUUGCAAGUCGCCUAGAGACGAGUUAUGAGAUGAACAAAAGCUUGAUUCACCUUUUGAAGGUUAAGUAUGAGGUACGUCUAUUUAUGUAUUCUCUUCCACCCAUUAGCCUUCCAAGGGCUGGGUCAUCUUUUGAAAGAUGAGCCGGGUCUUGAAUAUAGUUAAAAUCUUCAACCUGUAGCCCCCAAGGGCCGGGUCAUCUUUUGAAGUAUAUAGUUAAAAUCUUCAACCUGUAGACCCCAAGGGUCGGGUCAUCUUUUGAAAGAUGAGCCGGGUCUUGAAUAUAGUUAAAAUUUUCAACCUGUAGCCCCCAAGGACCGGGUCAUAUUUUGAAAGAUGAGCCGGGUCUUGAAUGUAGUUAAAAUCUUCAACCUGUAGCCCCCAAGGGCCGGGUCAUCUUUUGAAAGAUGAGCUGGGUCUUGAAUAUAGUUAAAAUCUUCAACCUGUAGCCCCCAAGGGUCAGGUCAUCUUUUGAAAGAUGAGCCGGGUCUUGAAUAUAGUUAAAAUCUUCAACCUGUAGCCCCCAAGGGCCGGGUCAUCUUUUGAAAGAUGAGCCGGGUCUUGAAUAUAGUUAAAAUCUUCAACCUGUAGCCCCCAAGGGCCAGGUCAUCUUUUGAAAGAUGAGCCGGGUCUUGAAUAUAUUUAAAAUCUUCAACGUGUAGCCUCCAAGGGCCGGGUCAUCUUUUGAAAGAUGAGUCGGGUCUUGAAAUAUUGUAUGGCUUUGAAUAAAAUCAUACAUUGGCCCCCAAGUGUCAGGAGUAUUGCUUGCAAUAAUUUUGAAACUUGUCUCCUUAAAUUUUAUUUGCAGGAGUCUGUGACCCAGACUGAGUCAACUUUAGCCGAUUUAAGGAAGAAUCUGGAUGAACAACAAGAUGCACGAUCUGAGUCAGAAAGGAAAUACCACUUGAUUCUAGCUGAACUGGAGAGGAUGAAGGCUGAUCAUCAAAAACUAGAGAAGAAAGCCAAAGCUGACCAAGCUGCCAUCCUUAAGCGUGAUGAGCAAGCCGAGGAAAAAUUGGAAGCCGCCCAACAAGAGCUUUCCGUCUUGAAAAAACACAUCUCCAACAUGACUGUAGCUAAGUUUGGUAAGCAUUAACCCUUGCUUUUUGAAGAAAUAAUCUGGUCUCCCAAAACUAUCAAAUACUGAUGUGUCCUUUGUAGGUUCACGAGCCACCAAUCUCCCAGACGACUGCAUGCUGAAGCUAAAGGCUAUAUAUACCUUCACCGAGAAGCUAUAUACCGGGGGCAUGCUGACAAUUAAGGCGGUGAUGGGAAGCAAGGAGCUAGUCAAACCCAUCAACACCAUGCUCAGCUAUCUGUCCACAUUGCCUCCUAAAAUAGAGGAACUGAAAAGAUCAGCCGCCCAGAAAGGAGUCCUGAACACCCUGAGUCGGUGUUUAGCCUAUGCUCCGGAGCUCAAACCAGAAGAAAUAGCCGCUGGCUACCCUGAGCUGAAGGACGACGGGUCAUAUUUCAUCGAGGAGGACUACCACCGAGUUAUCAAAGAAUCCCGCAUCUUGGCGACUCAACUGGCAGCCAACUUGGAUUUGAAUAAAUUCCAAGCCGCAUAUGACAAAAAGAACAAGAAGGUGACGUCUCCCUCGUACGAAAUUGCUAGCUUCGUUCCUCAUCGGCCCAAGAAUCCUUUUGACCUUGACAUGGACCUAUGCCUCUUCCUUGAUGAUGAAGAUGAGUUCGUCGCCCUAUCCAGGUGUAACUGGAAACUGGGCGACUUACAAAUCGAAGUCGGAGAGAGCUCAAGGCAAGGUGACUCGGAGGCGGCUUCAGUCUUCCCAAGGUGUGAGUGUGACCUUAAAAAGACAAUCUGAUCAUUUCUUCACUUGGGGAUGAUGCCCGUCUUGGCCAUGUGAGCCAUGUAAUAGCUUGUUAGAUUUUGUGGAACAACAAUUGGUCAGUAGUGCCUUUUGAUGUGACCUUUCCUGAGCCACUUUAUUCCUUGAGUCUAUGCGUGAAUCGCCCGUAACUUUGAUGAACAAGGGAGUGUCAUAGUUUGACAAAAAAAAAGUCUUCACCAUAUGUGUCAGGAAAAAACAUAAGCCGACUCAGUGAGUUUACGGCAAAGAAUAGACCAGCCCCCUGGGUUAUGGCAAAAAAUAAAUCAGCCCCCUGGGUUAUGGCAAAUAGUAGUUAAAAACAAUGAGCCGGGGCGAGUUAUAACGAGAGGCCGACUCAAAGAUAUUAUGAAACCUUGUGGUCUUGCCAUCAAGAAAUAAAUUUUUGUCAGCUCAAUGAGCUACGACAAGACAAGACGAUUUUGCAAAACUCUAGUGUUAACCUUAGAAGGCUUUUUGUAAAAAAGCCUUGUUGUUUUAGACUGGCUAAUCAGGCGCGAGUCAAGCUUCCGUGAAGCAGGUUCAAUGAACCAAUGGUUUCUCUAUUCUCCACGUGUGACUCCGGCCGGUACCUUUUAUGUUUUAACCAAGGCGAGUUCACGGUCCAAAUGACGGAUUGACUCGCCCCGAGUACAUAGGUCCAUGUGGCGACUUGUUCAACACAGUACAGUAUAACCAUUUGUAAUGCGGUAAUUUUUCGCUAGCCAAGAGGGUAUUCAGACUGAACUCAGUGAGUAGAAGCCCCCAAGUGACCUAUGAUUUAGGAAAAAGCCGGGCAUAGGAUCACAGAAGCGUGUACGCUCUUACUGCAAAACGACUUGGGGACUAGUAGCCCCCAAGUAAGCCGGCUUAGUUCUCAAAACCAUAUACGGCGCCCAUGUUUGAACCGUGCAACGUGGCAACUUUGGUCCUCUUUGGCUUUAUCAAGGCCCAAUUUUGAAGUAAGUGCAGCAUGGCGGCUUACGCUCUUUGACCCUGAUAGCGUCCAUGUUUGGACGACUUAUAGAACAAUAAAGACUCAUGCUUUCAAAAGCUGAAAAGGCAAAAGACCCCGAAAUUCAUGGGUGCCGGCUUUAUUGCUUUCAUCAAUAAUGAAUUACAAUCUUCUGAAAACUGGUAAAAAAGGAGCCCAUAUCUCUAAGUGUAGUAAGGCCGCAGGUGGGCUAUGUUCCAGGGGCGAGUUGUCUCAACAUCUGUAGUUGGCCGAUCUGGGCGAAGAUCCACCAAGUAGUAUGAGCCGUUGCGAAGAUUCUUGCUGAUGACAAACGGUCCUUCCGACGGAGGUGAUAGUUUUUGCAUACCAGUGUGAUCUUGAAUCAAACGGAGCACCAAAUCGCCUUCUUGGAAAGUCCCACUCUUGACACGGCGGCCGUGGUAGCGUCGCAAGUCUUGUUGGUAGAUCGCCGAUCGUGACGCGGCCAAGUCACGUUCUUCCUCCAAGGCGUCCAACGAGUCUUGCCGUGCCAGCUCAUUGUCUUGUUCCACAUAGGCGACGACUCACGGUGAAUCGUGUCUGAUGUCACUUGGUAACACUGCUUCUGCCCCGUAGACGAGAAAGAAAGGAAUAAAGCUCGUGGAGCGAUUUGGAGUUGUCCCGAUGCUCCAUAAUACUGAAUGCAACUCCUCCACCCAACACCAUGUUGUACAUUCCAAAGGUACCAGGAGCCGAGGCUUAAUCCCCCGCAAUAUUUCCUGAUUCGCCCUUUCCGCCAGCCCAUUGGACUGGGGAUGUGCAACCGCGGAAACGUUAAGCCGGAUAUGCUCUCGUGAACAAAACUCUUGCAUUGUACCUUUGGGUAAAUUAGUACCAUUGUCAGUAAUGAUGCUAUGAGGAUAUCCAAAUCUGAAAAUUAGUUUCUUCAAGAAUUUGACGGUCGUAUCUGCAUCACAGCUGCUAACGGGCUCCGCCUCAACCCACUUGGUAAACUUGUCAACCACCACCAAUAGGUGAGUCUUUUUAGUGGAAGACAUCUUUAAAGGGCCAACCAUAUCAAGCCCCCAGACUGCAAACGGCCAAGUAAUUGGUAUCAUCCGCAAUUCCUGAGCCGGCACGUGCAUCUGACGUCCAAAUUUUUGGCAUCCAUCAGAUCGGUGAACGAUCUCCUGUGCGUCUGCGUGAGCCGUCAGCCAAUAGAACCCAUGUCUGAAGGCUUUGGAAACCAAGGAUCGUGACCCAACAUGAUGACCACAGUCGCCAGCGUGAAUCUCAUUAAGGAUCAUACAUCCUUCUUCAGGGGAGACGCAUCUUUGAAAUACCCCUGAGGUGCUUCGUUUAUGCAACUCGCCAUUGUGUAUGACCAUGGAUUUACACGGGCGGACGAUUUGGCGAGCCAAUAAUUCAUCAGCAGGUAACUCGCCUUUGGUGAGAUACGCCAUAUAAGGAGCCUCCCAAUUCGGAGUAGCACGAAGAGCCGCCACGAGUUGAGACUCGGGGCCCGACACUACUAAGUCUUCCUCUGAAGGCGGUCUUACCGAGGGGUUAUGUAAUACAUCCAAAAAGACAUUGGGAGGAACUGGCUUGCGCUGUGAACCAAGACGGUAAACAGCGUACGUUGCUUCAUUAAGUCGUCGAUCGAUGUGAUCCACUUGAUAGCCAUGUAAGUGACCCGCCACAUCUGAAACAGCACGUCUGUAAGCCGCCAUCAAGGGGUCUUGGGAAUCGCAGGUGCCAGAAACCUGUUGUGCCACCAAAUCUGAGUCGCCCAGACAUCUGACUCGCGUGAGGUUCAUCUCUUUGGUGAGUCGCAAACCAUGGAGCAAAGCUUCAUAUUCUGUAGCAUUAUUGGUACAUGGAAACAUGAGCCGAAGGACAUAGCAAAACAUGUCACCUUGAGGCGAAGUUAUCACCAUGCCAGCCCCCGAGCCUUCCAAUUGCGUGGAUCCAUCGAAAUAGAUGGUCCCAAUAAGUAUGAUCGGGCCUGUCCUCUGGAAUUUGCAACUCGGUCCAAUCAUUGAUGAAGUCCGCGAGCGCUUGAGAUUUGAUGGCCGUCUGAGGCGUAUACCACACAUGAUGGGGCCCUAACUCGAUGGCCCACUUAGCAAUCCGUCUAGUUGCUUCUCGAUUCUUUAUGAUGUCGCCAAGGGGGGCGGAACUGACGACCGUGAUCGGAUGUUCCUGGAAGUAGUGUUUCAGCUUCCGAAUUGCCAUAAACACCCCAAAGACCAACUUCUGACAAUGCGGAUAACGUUGCUUGGAGAGGGUUAGUACCUCACUGAUAAAAUAUACCGGUCGCUGGACCGGAUACUCCUUUCCUUCUUCCUUCCGCUCGACGACCGCUGCCACACUGACUGCCUUGGAAUUGGCUGCGAUGUACAGGAGCAUAGGUUCCUUGUCAGUCGGAGCCGCCAACACUGGAGGGUUAACUAAUUGCCGCUUCAAGGCUUCAAAAGCUUUGUUGGCUUCGUCCGUCCAUACGAAACGACCAGUUUUCUUGAGCAACUGAUAGAGCGGGAUGGCCUUCUCCCCGAGGCGACUUAUAAAGCGACUCAGAGCUGCGAUUCGACCCGCCAUACGCUGGACCUGGUUAUCGUUGGCCGGUUUCCCCAACGAGGUAAUUGCCUCAAUUUUGUCUGGGUUAGCUUCGAUGCCACGUUCCGACACCAAAAAACCCAAUAACUUCCCCACAGGAACACCAAACACGCACUUAGUGGGAUUAAGCCUCAUCUGGUAAACACGCAGGUUAUGAAAGGUUUCCGUGAGAUCCUCCAAGAGCGACUCCUUUCAUUGAGAUUUGACCACGAUGUCAUCCACAUAAGCGUGGACAUUACGACCGAUCUGGUUGUGCAAACAAUUUUGGAUACAACGCUGAUAAGUCGCCCCCACACUCUUGAGCCCAAACGACAUAGGCACGUAACAGAAGGCUCCGAAUGGGGUUAUGAAGGAUGUCUUCUCCUGAUCCACCACCGCCAUCUUGAUCUGAUGGUAUCCCGAAUAAGCGUCCAAGAAACACGGACGCUCACAACCCGCCGUCGAGUCAAUAAUUUGAUCAAUGCAGGGAAGGGCGAUGGGAUCCUUCGAACAUGCUCUGUUGAGGUCAGUGUAGUCGAUGCACAUACGGAAAGUGCCGUUCUUUUUUACCACCAGGACCGGGUUAGCCAGCCAUUCAGGAUGGAAAACCUCGAUGAUAAAUCUGGCGGCUAGAAGCCGGGUGACUUCCUCUUCGAUCGCCUUACGACGCUCUUCAUUAAACCUGCGAAGAUAUUGUCGAACUGGCUUAACUUUGGGGUCAGUAUUAAGAUGGUGCUCAGUGAAUUCUCUCGGUACACCUGGCAUAUCAGAAGGUUUCCAUGCAAAGAUGUCCUGAUUCUCACGGAUGAAUUCGAUGAGCGCGCUUUCCUAUUUGGGAUCCAGACCCGCCCCAAUAGUAAACUGCUUGGUGCAAUCGCCAGGCGUGAAAUCUAUGACCUUGGUAUCGUCCGUCGGCUUAAACUUGAGGGGCGGCUCAGAAUCGAUGGUUGGCCUUUUGAGCGGCGUCAUGUCUGCCGGGUCAACAUUAGCUUGGUGAAAUUUGAGCUCUUCGGCCGCGCAAGCCGACUCAGUGUAAGUUGCGUCUCCUUCUUCACAUUCUUGAGCUAUUUUCCUAUCUCCGCUGAUGGUAAUAGGUCCCUUAGGGCCGGGCAUCUUGAGUUGGAGAUAAACAUAGCAUGGGCGAGCCAUGAAUCUGGUGUACGCCGCCCGCCCAAACAACGCAUGGUAGGGGCUCUUGAUUUUGACCACCCAAAGGCCACGUUAAGUUUAAUCCGCCCAAUUAGAUACGCCGACUUAUCGGGGACGAUGCCGUGGAAGACCGUGGACGACGGCAUCAAGUCUUUCUCCAAGAGAUUCAUCCGUCGGAAGGUAUCGAAGUAUAAGAUGUUGAUGCUGCUGCCCCCAUCCGUUCGGACCUUGGAAAGGGUGUACCCUCUGACUUGGGGAGCCACGACCAAAGCCAAGUCGCUAGGGUUGUCUACUCGGGGCGUGUGGUCUUCCCUGCUCCAGGUUGUAGGCUGUUCAGACCAGUGAAGGUAUCGGGGGAGCGCCGGCUCGGCUAUGCUGAAGGUUCUAUGCUUCACCCUAUGAUCCCGUUUGGAGGUGCUGGUGGUGAACACAUGAUACUGCUCGCUGUUCAGUUGCUUAGGGUUAUUCUAAAACCCGCCACGAUCUUCCUGUCACUGGGGAUCUCCUUGCGGGGGUGGUUGCUGAAACACUCCCGGCGGAUGGUAUUGCUGAUUGUGAACUUGGUACUUCCCAGUGUUUGGGUGUGAUCCGCCAUGUGGUCCCGGGUUAGGAAACUGCCGAACUGGAUCUGGCAUGACCCGGACGCGCCGGGCUAUUCCUGUCGCUGGAACUGGUCAUGACCCUGACCUCUUAUGAGCGCCUUGGCCCGGAAUUCCUGCAUCACGUAGCAGUCCUCCGAGGAGUGAGUCGCCGGGCCCUCCACCAUGGCAUGCUGCGGACAAGGGCCUUUGAGCAUCUCGUGAUAACUGCACGGUUUCGUCCCACUGAAGCCCCGCUUCUUCUGGCGCGGGUGUCCGUUGCUGGUAUUAGUAUUAGCGACAAAAUCUGUAGGACCUUCCUGUUGUCUCCUUUUGCCGUGUCCACCAUGGUGGGCGCCAACUGUCGUGGUUUUAUCAUGGCAGAUUUGCAGACCCUGCAGGUUCGAGAACUAUGCAGACAUGACCUGAGACACUCUCCGGUCAAUAAUCAAUAGCGGGACCUGGAUGCCCAUAUUGGCUCCUACAUAUUCUACGAAGAUCUCUAUCGGUUGAACCUCUAUGUCAAGGAUUCAUAUAAUCAUGUAUACUAUUCCCUUUGUCCUUCGGUAUGUUACUUGCCCGAGAUUCGAUCGUCGGUAUCUCCAUACCUAGUUCAAUCUCGUUACCGGCAAGUCUCUUUACUCGUUCCAUAAUACAAGAUCCCGUGACUAACUCCUUAGUCACAUUGCUUGCAAGGCUUGUUGUUAUGUUGUAUUACCGAGUGGGCCCCGAGAUAAAUCCCAGUUUUGAUCCAUGCCAACCCGACAGACACCUUUGGAGAUACAUAUAGAGCACCUUUAUAGUCACCCAGUUACGUUGCGACGUUUGAUACACACAAGGUAUUCCUUCGGUGUCUGGGAGUGGCAUGAUCUCAUGGUCAUAGGAACAUAUACAUUGACAUGCAGAAAAACAGUAGCAAUAAACUGACACGAUCAUAUGCUACGUUUAUAGUUUGGGUCUUGUCCAUCACAUCAUUCUCCCAAUGAUUUGAUCCCAUUAUCAAGUGACAACACUUGUCUAUGGCCAGGAAACCUUGACCAUCUUUGGUCAACGAGAUAGUCAACUAGAGGCUCACUAGGGACAAUGUGUUGUCUAUGUAUCCACAAUUGUAUUUGAGUUUCCAAUCAAUACAAUUCUAGCAUGGAUAAUAAACGACUAUUAUGAACAAGGAAAUAUAAUAAUAACCAAUUUGUUAUUUCCUCUAGGGCAUAUUUCCAACACCGUCCAUACAAACAACAAUCCUGUGGGAGUUUUAUUUCAUUAAAUUUAUUUGACUUUUGAGCAUGGAACCGGGCAUCCCGAUUACCAACCACUUUCUCGUGAAUGAUAUUGAAUCAACACAUAUCUUGAGAAUAACCCACCUAGCGUGGAAUAUAGUAAUAGCCCCUAGUCACCACAUGAGCGAUUCGGGCAUACAAAACAGAAUAUUUAUUUGAAGGUUUAGAGUAUGGCACAUGCAAAUUUACUUGGGACGGCAGGUAAAUACCGCAUAUAGGUAGGUAUGGUGGACUCAUAUGGAUCAACUUUGGGUUUAUGGAAAUGUGUGCACAAGCAAUAUUCCCGCUUAGUACAAGUGGAGGCUAGCAAGAGACUGGGAAGCGGCCAACUAGAGAGCGACAACAGUCAUAAACAUGCUUUGAGACUAACCAACAUUGAGUGCAAGCAUGAGUAGGAUAUAAAUCACCAUGAAUAUAAACAUCGUGGAGGCUAUGUUGAUUUUGUUUCAACUACAUGCGUGAACAUUUGCCAAGUCAAGCCACUCGACUCAUUCGGAGGAGGAUACCAUUCUAUCAUACUACGUCACAACCAUUUUAAUAUGCAUCUUGGCACUCAAUACAAACCAUUAUUCACUCCUAGCUAAUUAAGCAUGUCAUAGGUAACUAUAAUCUCUAAUUUUCAUUGCAAACAUGUUCAAUCCAUAACGUGCUGAAUCCAGAACAAUGAGCUAAUCAUAUUUACAAAAACAAAAUAGGUCGAGUUCAUACCAGCUUUUCUCCAUCUCCGUCACUUCAUCAUAUAUUGUCAUUAUUACCUUUCACUUGCACGGUCGAACAAUGUCAAUAAUAAUAAUAAGAGUUCACGUGCAUGGGACUAAGCUGGAUCUGCAAACAAUAACUCAAAGGAGAAGACAAGGUAGUAUGGACUCUCUGAUAGAUAAACGAUAAUGAAUAUGAGAGCCACUCAGCUUGUCAUCGUGGUCUUCUCCUUACGAGCCCAAAGAAGAAAGAAAAACUAUUUGCACGGGAAAGCCCACAACAAGCAAAAGAAGAACGAAAAAUCUUUUCGGGUUUUCUUUUAACUCUACAACUAAACAGACUAGAAGGUAAAGCUAGAACUAUUUUUUUGGAUUUUCUAAAGCUUAAUGAAACACACAAGAAGAAAACAAAAGGAACAAAUAAACAACCAUGGAUGAUACAAGGGAAAAGUAUGAACACCGACGACUGGAAUGAGUGUGUGAACACUAAUGUAAUGUCGGUGAGAAAUACGUACUCCCCCAAGCUUAGGCUUUUGGCCUACGUUGGUCUAAGGCCAUGGCUGGCCCGGAUAAUAUCAAAGUCAUAGUUGGGGUUGUACAAGGCUGCGGCAGCUGCCGCCUGAACGGCUUCAACGUGGAGGCGAGCGGCUUUCGCCUCUCUCUCGUACUCGCCUCCCUCCUCUCUGGUUAUGAAGUACCUUUGUUUUUCCUGAAAGUUAAAGAAGGCAGGAGCAGGAAGGGUAAUAUGGACAGCAUGUUGUUUAUAAAAAGUUAGUUUAUAUAGGAGAUUUUGUUCAUUUCUCUUGAGGAAUUGGUAGCGCACCAUAGCCUCAUAAUCAAGAAAAGCAGGUGCUCAAUAUCAUUCUCCUUUAUAGGUAUCCUAAGAUAAUUGGCUACACAUGUGGCAUAAAUUCCACCAAAGGAAUCUCCGUCCUUAGCAUUUUUGUGUAGCCUUCUAGCAAUAAUAGCUCCUAAGUUAUAUGGUCUAUCACCGAUGACCGCACUCUUAAGAAUACUAAGGUCAGGUACACAAAGGUGGAUGUGCUCAUGCUUACCGUUAAUACACCUACCUAUGAAGAGAGCAAGAUAAUGUAUGGCAGGAAAGUGAAUGCUCCCCAAGGUAGCCUGUGUAAUAUUUCUAGUUUCUCCCACGGUGAUGCUAGCAAGAACAUCAUUAUAUUCGACUUUUUGAGGAUCACUAAAGCUACCCCAUUGUGGAAUUUUCCAUGCAUAGUUAAAACCUUCAAGUUCCAUAGUAUACGAUUCAUCAUAAAGAUUAAAUAGAAUGGAAUGCGUAUUACGCCUAGAUGAAAAUUCAAACCUCCGCACGAAGGAAUCACUGAGUUGAUAAUAUUGCCUGCAUUAGUCUGAAACAAAAUCUUCAAGGCCAGCAUUUCGUAUGUAUGCGUAAAAUUCUUUCUUGAAUCUAGCCUGGACCAUGAAUGAUUCCGAUGGCCAUUCACAAGGCCGCACUUGAGCUUCCCUUGGGUGUUCAAGCCCGGGCUCACGUAUCGCGAGUCUCGGGGUCUUCUUUCUCGAGGAACCACUUUGGUAUAUUUUCCUUAACAUUUUUAUUUCUCUUAAAAAUAAAUCUGAAAUUUUUAGUGACUCCACAUAAAAAUGAACAAAACUCAAUCAAAGCUUAUAGCAACUACUCCCACAAGUGCCUAGAAGCUAUAUCAUGCAUCAAAACUACUUAGGACCCUACAAAUUUUACAUUCAAGCUCAAGAACAAGGUCACCACAGCAGCAAGAUUUUGCAAAAUAUAAAGCACUAGAACAAAAACUAAUUGGACCAUUGGAGGACUCACAUACCGAUGAACAAUCCCCUAAAAUAGUUUUGCAAAUGAAGCUUUAAGCAAGGAGAUCGAAAAUGGCAGUAAUAUGAGCUAAAACACGGGUUUGAGCAAUGGUGUGAUUUUUUCUGGAGGAAGAAGGAGUGGAUGGGUACUAGAAUUAGUGAAGGUGCCCCACGUGGGACCCACAAACCAGAGGGUGCGCCCCGGGGGGAGGGGGGGGGUAGUCGCACCCUGCAGGCUUGUGGCCCACUAGUGCAGUCCCGUGAUGUAUUGUUAGUGCUAGAAAUUCUUAAAUAUUCCAGAAAAAAUCAUACUAAAUUUUCAGGGUGUUCUGAGAACUUUUAUUUUCACGUCAUUUUUCUAUUGCACGGAUAAAACGGGAAACAGAGAAAUAAUAACUUUUUUACUAAACUGAAACUAAAGAACAAAAAAUAAAAGAUUGGGUACAGAAGUUUGUGCUUUCUAAAUUCAUCCAUCUCAUGCCGUCAAAAAGAAUCCACCAAUAAGGUUGAUGAAGUCUUAUUGACAAACUUUUUCGAAUGACAUGGAACCGGAGAACUUUCGAAUAACACUAGGUUACCUCAAUGGGGAUAUGCAUGUCCCCAACAAUAAGUAUAUCAUAUUUCUUCUUUAGUGUAGGAAGAGGGAAUUCAAAGUCUCCAAUAGUGAACGUUGGAAUUUUUUCAAUGGAGUUGAUGCUAUGAACUUGAGAUUGUUUCUUCGGAAGGUGUACCGUAUGCUCAUUACCAUUGACAUGAAAAGUGAUAUUGCCUUUGUUGUAAUCAAUAACAGCCCCUGCAGUAUUCAGGAAGGGUCUACCAAGGAUGAUCGACAAACUGUCGUCCUCGGGAAUAUCAAGAAUAACAAAGUCCGUUAAGAUAGUAACGUUUGCAACCACAACACACACAUCCUCACAAAUACCGAUGGGUAAAUCAGUUGAUUUAUCAGUCAUUUGCAGAAAGAUUUCAGUAGGUGUCAAAUUAUUCAAAUCAAGUCUAUGAUAUAAAGAGAAAGGCAUAACACUGACACCAGCUUCGAGGUCACAUAAAGCAGUUCUAACGUAAUUUCCUUUAAUAGAGCAUGGUAUAGUAGGUACUUCGGGAUCUCCUAACUUCUUUGGUAUUCCAUGCUUAAAAGUAUAAUUAACAAGCAUGGUGGAAAUCUCAUCUUCAGGUAUCUUUGUUUUAUUUGUAACAAUAUCUUUCAUGUACUUAGCAUAAGGAGACAUUUUCAUAAUAUCAGUUAAGCACAUACGUAAAAAAUACAUGUCUCAGCAUUUCAGCAAAGCACUCAAAAUCCUCAUCAUCCUUCUUUUUGGAUGGUUUAGGAGGAAACGACAUUGGUUUUUGAACCCAUCAUUCUCUUUCUCUACGAUGCUUCCUAGCAACAAAAUCUCUUUUAUCAUACCUCUUAUUCUUAGGUUGUGGGUUAUAAAGAUCAACAAUAGGUUCAAUCUCCACACCAUUGUCAUUACUAGGUUGAGCAUCGACAUGAACAUCAUCAUUAAUAUUAUCACUAGGUUCAUGUUCAUUACCAGAUUGUGUCUCAACAUCAGAAAUAGAGAUAUCAUUUGGGUUUUCAUGUGACUCUAUAACAGGUUUACUAGCAGCAUGCAAAUUCCUAUCAUUAUUAUUUUUGCUUUUAUUAGAACGACCAGGUAUGUCAAUACUAACUCCCUGAGAAUAUUGCUGAACUCUCUUAGGAUGGCCCUCAGGAUACAAAGGUUCCUGAGUCAUUCUACCACCUCUAGUUACAACUCUAAAAGAAAGAUCAUUUUUCUUACUAGUCAUCUCAUUGAGCAAAUCAUUUUGUACCUUAAGUACCUGUUCUACUUGAGUAGUUACCAUGGAAGCAUGUUUACUAAUAGGCCUAAGAUCAUUGGGAGUUCUACUCAUAUAAUCACCCAAGCGAUCAAGCAUGUAAGCAUUAUGCUUCAAUUGUCUACUAACAUCAGUGUCGGUGAAUACUCACAACAUAUGCCAUAGGUAGGCUAAAGUCGGUGAGAACUGAAGGGACAAAGGUGGGCACAGGGAACGAGGUUGGUACACGCAUGGGACGCACGAUGUACCCAGGUUCAGGGCUCUCCGUAGAGAUAAUACCCCUAAUCCUGCUGGUGUGUUUGAUGUAUGGGAAUAGUGUACAAUGUUGUUCCUGGAGCUGUGUUGGGAGGAGGAAGAGGGGAGCAGCCGGCUCGUCUCUACCUCGCUCUCUGUUUGUUGGUGAGUGUGUAGUGUUGAAUGACUGGCAAGUCAUCGGCCCCCUUGCAUGGGGGCGGCCGGGGGGUUUUAUAGGCGAACCCGCCGACCUACAAUAUGGAUAAAAGGUACAGGCGUGGGACCCGGCUGGCGGCUUCGCCGGCUGGCCAGGGGCCCACAGGGGCCUUGUCUUGUCGAUGAGGGGCCCGCCGGCUGCAUGGUCUCGAUUGCUGGUGGGACCCGCCGGCUGGCCGAUGGGGCUCCCGCGUAAGGUUGACGAUCUGAUGUGACUGGUGAUCCUUGGCCGGCUAGCCUGCUUGGUUAGCCGGCUCGCGGGUGGCCGCCUCCUCCCCAGUCCGGCUGGCGGGACCAGGCCGGCUCUGAAGGGGAGGCCGCCUGCAUUCUAGCCGGCAGGGGAUGCCUGGACGUCUAGAAAGGUGGCCGCCUCGUCUUCCAGCCGGCAGGCGAUGCCUAGCCGGUCAGAAGAGUUGGGCCUUGGGAAUCUCCAUAUCUUCAUGUCCAUUGGGCCGGAAAUGAAGGAGGAGGCUUGAUGAGCCUACCCCGGGGUUAUCCCCCCGACAGUACUCCCCGAAGCUGGCGAGGUCUACCGCCUGCGGGCGGGCGGCCUCACCGGCUUGUUGUCUUGUCUUGAUAUUUUGGCUGUUGUUUGCGGCGAAGGGCGCCGGCUCCGGAGCCAGGCAGCUUCGAAGCGACGCUUCGGUCUGGUCGCAACUGCCUGGAGGACGCCACGUGCCAGGCCCCGCCUGGCCUAAUGAUGGCGAUUACUACUUGACGGGACCGGGCCUGGGCCCUGGGUCCCGCCACGACACCCCCUCGGCCUCUGCGCGGGAGAUCUUCUAUGGAUUUACUCCGCGACGGUUGGGCUUAGGGAGGCGUUACCGCCCGUAAUACACGGAAUUAAUGGGGUCCGGCACGCACCGGAUCCCCUCCCCACGAUGCUUCAUGGGGUUUUAAAUGGGAUGCGAGGGUUUCGACGAGGCCAUUCGCCCCCUCUUCUGGCCCUGCUCCAUGCUCUCUUCCUCCUUGUGCCUCGAGAAAGAAGAGCUCGUGCCUUCGUCGUCUUCAUCUUCGCUGUCGUGACCUCCGUCGACCGCUUCGAGCUUUCGCCACCCGCAAACAUGGCCGGAGGAUAUUCUUCGAAGAGGUCGUCGGCGCAGCAGGCGUCCUUGCAAGGGGCCUGGCUGGGCAGCGAUGUUGACGAGGAGCUCAUCGAUGCGCUCCGUCAUCAUCGACUUCUGCCCCCGGCCUCCCAAGUGUCGGUGCGCCUUCCUGGCUCCGAGGCCUCUCCCGCACCUGUCGCGGGAGAGGUUGUGGUCUUCGUCGAGCACUUCUACCGGGGUUUCGGGCUCCCGGCUAGCUCUUUCUUCGCCGAGUGGCUCCAGUUCUUCGGCCUGCAACCGCAUCAUAUGGUGCCGAACGCCAUACUGCAGCUGGCCGCCUUCGUGGUCCUGUGCAAGGGCAUCGUGGGGAUCGAGCCUCGCGUCGAUCUGUGGCGCAGCUUGUUCUUCUUCAAGUAGCAAUCCAUCGCCAUGGAGAAAUCCGAGGUGGAGAAGCUCAAGGGGCCGCGGCCCAUGACGCCGUGCGGGGCCGCGUUGGUGCAUCACCGCCCGAAGUCCGGCUUCCCCCAGAUGCCUUUGCAAGACUCCGUCAAGCAUUGGCAGAAGGGGUUCUUCUACGUGAGGAGCACCGACCCGACCCAGGACGCCCUCAACAUGGCCCCAUUCACCAUCGCCCCUCCGAGACGGCAGAACUGGGAUGCGAAGACUCCCAAGCCGCAUCCCGAGGUGGCGCUCAUUCGCGCCCACCUCGAUAUCUUGAGGGAGAGCGGCCUCCUCGGCCGCGACCUUCUCGCCGCCAUGGUGGUUCGUUGGAUUCUGCCUCUGCAGAGGCAGCCGCAUCUGGUCUGCCAGAUGAGCGGCCGGCUUGAUCCGUGCCGGCUGUCCAUCAAGAGGUUCACCCCGGGCGUUGUAGCGCGAAGGGUGAACCUGAUCUCCACCGCCUGCAUGGAUGAGGGAGGGGAAUGGACAUGGGGGAUGUCCCCGUUCAACCGGGCUCAUCUGCCUCCGAUGGUAGCCUUACUCCCUUCUUUUCUAUCGUUUUGUUUUGAAGUCGGUGGCGUUUGCUGAGCCUGGCUGAAUUCCUUUCUUGUAGAUGUUCAAGACCCUGCAGGGGUCCCUCCCCCAGCCUGCUCCUAACAUGGAGGCGUCCGGCGUCUCCGAGAUGGAGGAUGAGGACGCGAUGGAGCCUCGCUCAGACUCCUCCGCCAGCACGUUAGAUCCCUUGGAGUUGGAAGGGACCGAGCCGUCUGGUGAGUACCCGCAGCGCACCCUAGCAGACUGGAUGGACGAUGAUGAGGAAACCUCAUUCUGCUCUGAUGCAGCCUUCGAGGGAGAUUCCGACGAGGUGGAGGAGGUCACCGACCCACUACCGUCGUGCAGCCGGUGUUAAGGUGGCGGAGUGACCGCUGCUGACGAGGCAGCCGGGAAGAAGGGCAAGGGUGCCACAGCUUCCCGGCCGGCCUCUAUGCGACCGGCGCCGGGUCCUCCAGCCGGGCAGCGAGCAGACGGCGCCAAGACGUGCCGUGGCGGUGGCCGGAGGUAGGUCCCGGUAGUUGUCGGGUAUGGUUUCCUCCUCUUCUCCCUUCCACAUUUUGAGAUGAACUUUGUUCCUGAGAAGCUUAGCUUGACAGGGAGGUGGAGGAUGCGGAUGAAGACACCACCUCCGCAGCCGAGCGGGCCGGCUGGGCAACGGCUGAUGCUGCCGAUAGGGAGCUCGAGAUAGAAUCCAAGCGCCGGUGGGACACGACCGCAGGGAAGACCGCCGUGGGUCAGCCUUGCCCCAGCCGGGUCGAGAGGCCGGCGGAGAAGCGUGUGAAGGCUAGACAGGACCCCUCCGCACAUGCUCGUGUGGAGGAGCUAGCUAGCGAGGCCGCCUCCAGGCCGGACCCAAGGACGGAAGGGGCCCAGCCGUCUGAACCGGCAGCCCCGGAGCAGGUGGACCUGGAGACGAUCCCGGUUUCCCCGAGGGCCGAGGCGGCUCUUGACGCGCCGAUGCUGGAUCUGACCGCGCCGGACGUGGCCCCUGAUGCUCCAGGGGCGACCAUGGAUGCGUCGGACGCGGCUCAUCCGCCUCCUGCGGAGGAGGUAGCGCCGGCUGGGACGGCACCCGAGCCGGCCCUCGAGCCGGCACCAGGAGCCGGCGCCAUCGUCAUCCCCCAGCAGGGCCCUGUUGCGCCAAGGGCAGGGGGCCGGCCUGGGAGCCGGCCUAUGAGCGGGAGGCGAAUGCGGCCCGCCUGCGAAUGCCCGCCGACACCGUUCUUUCCGGCGUGCCGGAGCUGGUGACGCUGUUUGACAGCGGCCGGUCGAAGGUGGAGCAGGCGGCCCGCAUGGUAUGCAGCGACAUGGAGCGCCUGGAAGCCCGCACCCAGGUAGGCCUUGCCUUUUUUGGUUUUUCUUUGCGCUUUUUUCUCUUCUCUUGACGUCAGUGGGGGCGCGACAGCGCACCCACUGGGUGUAGCCCCCGAGAAUCGGGCGGGUUGAUUGCCAACCGGUCCGAAUCUCUUGGAAGCCUUUUUCUUCUGCAUAUUUUUCUUCAGUGGGGGCGCGCAAGCGCACCCACUGGGUGUAGCCCCCGAGAAUCGGGCUGGUUAUGCUUUUAACCAGGUCGAAUCUUAAUCCUGUUCCCUUUCUUUCUGCUUUGGCAGGCGCUUUACGAUGCUCAGGUACAGGAGUACAAUGAGCUUCAGGACCAGCACCUGGGGGCUGAUAGCCGGAUCGCCGAGCUUGAAUUCCGGCUAGGUGAGGCUGCCGUGGAGCGUGAUGCCCUUCGUGGAGCUGCCGGCCGGCUCCAAGAGAAGCUGGACCUUCUUCAGGCGGAGAAGGAGCUCGAAGCGGCCGGUCGGGUCGAGCUGGAGCGGUUGCGGGCCAUGCUGCAGGAGAAGGAGGCCUCCUACUCUGCUGACAUGAACCGCCUUGCGUCGCUCCAUAUUGAGGAGGCGAACCUCGAGGACGCCGCCUUGAGGGUGAAGGACGAAGCCCUUACCCAGAAGCAAGCACAGUUGGGUAAGGCGCUGGAGUCCGCCGCAACCCUCCAGGAGGAAGUCGCCCGCCUCACUCAUGCGAGUGAGGUGCGGGAGCGCGAGGUCCUCGAGGUCUUUCAUGAGACCGAUGACGCGUUCCAGCGUAGGUUUCCUUUCCUUGUUUUGCGUUUGGUUUUUUGGCCGUCUCCUCCUCUUGUUGUGUUCUUACGUCCCGGCUGUCUUUACCCCAGAUCUGUUCUCCGAGACCCAGGUCGUAGUCGACACCGCUGUUGAGGUGUGCCGCGAGGAGCGUCGCGCGGCCGGGCAGGAGGUAGAUACUACCUCCGGCUGGAGCGUCGAGGAGAUUGGUGUGGGCCUUCGGGCCCGCCUACACGUCCUGGGCGAGUCUGUGACUUAGCUCCAGGUUGCGGGUUCGUCGAUGGUGGCGGCCCUGUGGCCGGAGGGCGUGGAGCCAAUGACCAUGAGCCGUCUUGCACGUUGGCUCGCGGCGGGUGGAGAGCGCCUGGACGUCUGGCGAGCCUCUGCCGCGCGGUCUGGGGCUUAUAUGGCCCUGCGCUUGACCAAGUCGUGGUAUCGCAACCUGAACUUGGGCAAGAUGCCUGCCAAGCGCGACGGCUCAGAGGCGGAGUUGCAAGGCCUGGAGGAGGAGCUCCGGGUGAGAGCCAGCGCCAUUGCCAAGUACGCCGCCUGGGAUGACUUCGUCUUGGAGCGGGGUGAAGACGGCGGCGUGAUCGCUGAAGAUCUGCAUGGCCUUCAGCCCUACGACGCCGAUGGUAGCUCCAACGAGGCGGCCCGGGCUGCGGAAUCUGCAUCCGCCUCCAGCGGUGGGGCAUAUGCCGACUCCAGGAUCAGCGGAGCCGGGGGCCGCAACGGGGGAGACGGCGCAUCCACCUCGGGAGGAGCCGGAGGCGGCGACGCUACCACAUCGGGAGCAGCAGGCGAGACGACCACUGAGGUCGCUGUCCCGUGACUGAUGUCCUUUUGUGUUUUUGGUUCUACCCUCGGAGGGAUGUAACGAACACGGGCCGUGGGCCAAUGCUUUUUAUGAAUGUAUAUAUUCAGCAUUAUAUUCGUCACCAAGCGUGUUGUCGUAUGAUCCCGUCUUUUGGUUCCUGGUUGACUUCUCUUAUCCGAAGCCAUCAAGACGUAAAGAACAAGACAUAAGCCAAUCAGAGGCCGGCUUGAAUGAACCAACUCGAGCCGGUCGUCACUAGUAUAGCCGGAUUGUGCAUGUAUUCGACCUGACCCGGCGUCACAUCGCGAACCGAGCGACCGGAGCCUGCCCGCAGGUUCAAGCAAUGGACCGGGAAUCAGCCGGUACACUAUGUGCCCGACUACAAGGAUUGACCGUCCGAGUGGCUGGUGAGCCCCCAAGCUUGUUUAAAGCUAGCAAGGGGCCGCGCUGCGUAGCCCCCGAGCUUGAGCAAGCCAGCAAGAGGUGGUACGCGGUGUAGCCCGUACACUGAGUGAAAACUCUUUCAUCAUAUUUGUUGUUCUCGGCAGUCAGAUGCCGUCUUGAGUCUCCGCAGUCAGAGGCCGUCUUGAGUCUUGAAGGAGAUCGUAUAUACGAUCAAGCCGGCCCGAGCCGGUCGUCCCAAGUAUAGCCGGACUUUGCAUGUAUUCGACCUUACCUGGCGUCAUAUCGCGAACCGAGCGACCGGAGUCAGCCCGCAGGUUCAAGCGACGGACCAGGGGUUAGCUGGUACACUAUGUGUCCGUUAUAAGGGUUUGACCGUUCAGGCGGCUGGCGAGUCCCCGAGCUUGUUUUAAGCUAGCAAGGGGCCGCGCUACAUGGCCUCCGAGCUUGGUUAAGCCGGCAAGAGGUGGUACGCUGUGUAGCCCGUACACUUGAGUGAGAACUCUAGAUAAAAAGAAACAUGGAGCAUGUCCUUUUUAUUGCCUUCUUUGUUCCCUGAAGAGGGAGGAAGAUACAUGUGCAUGUUCUUUCCUUGCUUGUCUUCUGCUUUUUAGCAAUAGAACGGGCGAAGCAACGCCGCGUUCGAUGGGCGCUCCGUUUCUUGGCCGGAGUCGUCCCUCUUGCGCUUCCUUGGCUUCUGGGCAUCAAUCAGGUAGUAAGCAUUGUUGUGUAGCACCCUACUGAUGAUGAAGGGUCCCUCCCAGGGGGUGAGAGCUUGUGCUGGCCGGCAGUGCGCUGGAUUCUUCUAAGGACCAAGUCUCCCUCCCUGAAAGAGAGAGGCCUGAUCCUUUUGCUGUGGUAGUAUCUCAGCUUCUGCUGGUAGAUGGCCGUCCGACUCAAAGCCAAGUCCCUUGCUUCUUCGAGGAGAUCCACACUGUCUUCUCGGGCCUCCUUCGCCUCUGUCUAUGUGUAUAGGGUAACCCAAGGCGAGUCGAACUCGACAUCCGUGGGGAUAAUAGCCUCAGACCCGUAUACCAAAAAGAAUGGAGUGAAGCCGGUCGACCGGUUGGGCGUGGUGCGCAGGCUCCAUAGUACAGCCGGCAGUUCUUCGAUCCAGCAGCCGGCUGACCUGACCAGUGGUGCCACCAGCCUUGGCUUGAUGCCGGCUAGGAUCAGGCCGUUGGCCCUCUCCGCUUGGCCGUUUGACUGGGGGUGUGCCACUGAGGCCAGGUCGAGCCGGAUGCCUACCUUGGAACAGUAGAGCGCCAAGGCGCCCUUGGCGAAGUUGGUGCCGUUGUCGGUGAUGAUGCUGUGGGGAACGCCAUAUCGGACAGAGAUGUAUGUGAUAAACUUGACCGCAGUGGGGCCGUCAAGCUUCCUGAUAGGCCUGGCUUCGAUCCACUUGGUGAACUUGUCGACGGCUACCAGAAGAUGUGUCAUCCUUCCGCGAGCCGUCUUGAAGGGCCCAACCAUGUCCAGUCCCCAGACGGCGAAUGGCCAUGAUAAGGGAAUGGUUUUCAGCACUAAAGGCGGCAUGUGGCUUUGUGCACUGAAGCGUUGGCAGCCUUCACAUUUGUCCACCAGAUCCACAACCUCCUCGAGGGUCGUGGGCCAGUAGAAUCCAUGGCGGAAAGCUUUGGCCACCAGGGUUCUGGAGGCGGCAUGAUGCCCACACUCCCCCUGGUGGAUGUCUCUGAGGAUCUCCUGCCCUUUUUCUGAUUCGACACAGCAUUGGAACACGCCGGUCGUGCAGCGUCGCCCCAGCUCGCGAUUGAUGAUGGCGUAAGCGGCGGACCUGCGCUGGGUCUAUCUCGCCUCCGCCUCAUUCUGAGUAAGUUCGCCGCGAAGGAGGAAGGCCAGAAUGGCCUGAGCCCAUGAUGGAGCCGACACAAGGGUCGCCUCUGCUUCGUCUUGACUGUUGGGCGCUUCCGCAGCCCCCGAGCUUGAUGGCGUCUCCGGCGCUAUUGUUGCAGCCGGCUCAUCGUCUAUCUCCAUGACGCCCACCCACUAGGAGGAUUCGAGCCCGGGCAGAGCCGGGGUUGUCAUUGUUGGAGUCGGGUGGACCAAUGGAGCCGGAUUAGGAUCCGAAGCCGGCGUAGUUGGUGGAGCCGACGACGCUUGCACCGUAGACUCAGUCGGUGCCGCAUUUGGAGCCGGAGCCGUCAGUGCAGCCGGCGUGGGGUCCGCAGCCGGCAUAACUGGCGGAGCCGGCGACGCUUGUAUCGUGGAGUCGGACGGUACGAAGAUUGAUGCCGACUCGGGAGACGGCUUGAUAGACGUCUUGUGGAGUUGCUCGAGGGAGACGCUGGCUGGGAUGGCCUGCCUUGUGGAGCCGAUCUUUGCCAGCGUAUCUGCCGCCUCAUUUUCCGCCCUGGGAACAUGGUGGAACUCACAACCCUCGAAGGGGCCGCUAAGCUGCUGGAUGAGGAAGCGGUAGCUUGCCAUGUUGGCGUCCCUGGCGUCCCAUUCGCUAGAGACCUGCUGCACCAGCAGGUCCGAAUCGCCGAAGCAUACGAGCCGCCGGAUGCCAAUCUCCUUGGCCAGCCGGAGGCCGUGAGCCAGUGCUUCGUACUCGUCGACGUUGUUGGAUGCGGCGAAGUGGAUCUGGAGAGCGUACUUGAGGUGGUCCCCUUUCGGGGACGUCAAGAUGAUGCCGGCUCCCAGUCCUGUCCGCAUCUUCGAGCCGUCGAAGUGCAUCCGCCAAUGCGUGGAGUCUGGAGGCGGUGGCUCGAACUGGGUCUCGGCCCAGUCGACUAAGAAGUCACCCACCACCUGUGAUUAGAUGGCAGUGCGAGGCUCGUACCGAAUAUCGUGGUCUGCCAUGGUGAUGGACCAUUUGGCAAUUCUGCCUGUGGCAUCACGGUUGCCCAUGAUCUCUGAGAGCGGAGCAGUGCUCACCACAGUGAUGGCAUGCUCUUGGAAGUAUUGUUUUAAUUUCUUUGCAGCAAGUUAAACACCAUAACACAUUUUUUGAUAAUGAGGGUAGUACUGCUUAGAGGCGGACAAGACCUCACUAAGGUAGUAGACAGGGCGCUGCACUGGCAGGGCCUUGCCUUCCUCUUUGCGCUGAACUACCAACACUACGCUGACCACGCGAGUGGUCGCCGCGAUGUAUAUGAGUAUGGGUUCCCUUUCAGACGGGGCUGCCAAGAUUGGUAGGCUCGAGAUUACCCGCUUGAGGUCGCGGAAGGCUUCGUCCGCCUGGUCGUUCUACUCGAACUUCGUCGUUUUCUUCAUGAGCUGGUAGAGUGGAAGGGCCUUCUCGCCAAGCCGGCUGAGGAACCGGCUGAGGGAUGCCAAGCAGCCGGCGAAUUUCUGGACAUCGAGGAUCCGAGCCGGCCGCACCAUCCGCUCGAUGGUGCUGAUCUUCUCAGGGUUCGCUUCGAUGCCGCGGGUGGAUACGAAGAACCCCAAGAGUUUGCCGCGUGGGACCCCGAAGACGCACUUCUCCGGAUUGAGCCAGAUCUUGUACUCGCGCAGAUUGGCGAAUGUCUCUCGCAGGUCGUCGAGGAGGCUGAAGUGCUGCUUCGUCUUGACGAUGAUGUCAUCCACAUAGACGUGGAUGUUUCUGCCAAUCUGUGGCAGUAGGCACUGCUGCAUGCAGCGUUGGAAUGUCGCACUUGCGUUCUUCAGACCGAACGUCAUGGUGGUGUAGCAGUAGGCCCCGAAGGGCGUGAUGAAGGAGGUCUUCAGGCGAUCAGCUGGAUCCAGCUUGAUUUGAUGGUAGCCUGAAUAAGCAUCCAAAAAUGACAGCAGUUCGCAGCCUGCAGUGGAGUCGAUCACUUGAUCUAUCCUAGGCAAUGCGAAAGGGUCUUUCGGACAGGCCUUAUUCAGGCUAGUGUAGUCGAUGCACAUUCGCCAUGUGUUGUUCUUCUUCAGCACCAGGACUGGGUCCGCCAGCCAGUCCGGGUGGAAAACCUCCAUGAUGAAGCCAGCUGCAAGGAGCCGGGUGAUCUCUUCUCCGAUUGUGCGCAGCUUCCCCUCGGCGAAGUGGUGCAAAGGUUGUUUCACCGGCUUUGCAUCCGGUCGCACGUGAAGUUUGUGCUCGGUGUACUUCCUCUGAACACCCGGCAUGUCCUUGGGGGACCAUGCAAAGAUGUCCCGAUUCUCAUGGAGGAAGUCGACGAGCUCGCCUUCCUAUUUGGGGGUGAGGCCAGCCCCGAUGGUGAUGCACUGCUUUGGGUUGGCAGGGUCGAGUGGGACCUGCUUGGUCUCUUUAGCCGGUUGAAAGAGCCCUCGCCGGCCGAUUGGGAUGGAGGAGAAGGAAUCGCCGGCUGCUCGGUAGCCUGGGGCACGAGCCGGUCGAUCUGCCGCUUCUCCUCGGCAAUCACCAAGGCGUCGGCGAGGCGGCUGCUAUCUUGGGCGCACUCGAGUGACUUCUUGUAGUCGCCAACAACAGUGAUGAUGCCCUUGGGACCCGGCAUCUUCAUCUUUAGGUAGGCGUAGUGCGGAAUAGCCAUGAACUUGGCGAGAACCGGUCUCCCCAGCAGCGCGUGGUACGGGCUACUGAGGUCCACUACCUCGAACCAUAUGGACUCUCGGCGGAAGUGAGCCUUGUCGCCGAAGAGGACGUCCACCUGGAUCUUGCCGAUGGGCGAGCAUGACUGCCCAGCACGAUGCCAUGGAAUACAGUGCUGGUUGGCAGGACGUCCGUCUCCUUGAGCCUGAGCUUGCGGAGAGUGUCGAGGUAGAGGAUGUUGAUGCUGCUGCCGCCAUCAACCAGCACCCGGGAGAAUCGGCAGGUGAGCCUCUUGGAGGCGAAGGUGGGGUCGAGGACGAGUGCGUAUGACCCCGGGUUGGGCAUCACCGCAGGGUGGUCCACCCGGCUCCAUGUAAUUGGUUUGUUAGACCAAUGCAUGUACUGGGGAACCGGGGGGACAGUGGCGUUUACCUCGCGCCGUCUUUGGCGUAGGCCGUGCUUGUCAUCGCCUUCACUGGUGAAGACGACGAACGCUCCGUCUUGAUGCGGGUAGUCGUCAGGGUGUGGGCCGUUGCCGCGAGGCGGCGGUGGCGGAAGCAGAGCAUGAUUGGGAGCCGGUGCACGGGGCGCCGCCUGCGCACCCGGAGGAGCUGGCAGGCCCUCCCCUUGCGACAGCCGACAUGCAACGGUGCACUGUCGAAGGGUAUGGGUAGACGGCACCUCCCCCGAAUGUAUCUUGUAGGGGGCAUCGAGCAGCUGCUCGAGAGACUGCUUGGGCAGCCAGUUGGGGUUGCCCUGAUUGCGAUGCUUUCGUGGAGGGCCGGCUUUGGAAGCCGACGCCUCGCCAUCCAUGUUGGCCACUAGCUUGUUGUUGGCCAUCUGAUCCGCCUUGCGCUUGUAGUUGUUCUGGCCGCCUCGGUUGUCCCCAGCCGGCUUGGCAGUAGCCGACGCAGGCACAACCUUGUCCGAGGCGGUCAUCUUGAUGCCCAUUGCGGAGUCGGCCGUGGCGUACUUGUCCGCCUUGGCCAUGAGCACCGCCAAGGAGGUGGGCUCGGCGCACAUGAGCUUGUGCUUGAGGAGGGUGCCGUCUCGGCAUCCGUCGAUGAAGUACUGUAUGGCUUGUACCUCAUGCACCCCCUCACAGGAGUUGCGGAGCUCGGUCCACCGGGUGACGUAGUCGCGGAGGGGUUCGUCGGCCUUCUGGACGCACAUGGCCAGCUCGCGAGGCCCGCGAGGGCGCUUGUAGGUGCCGGUGAAGUUGCGGACGAACGCCUCCUCGAAGUCCACCCAGGAGUUGACACUGCCGGCCGGGAGGCUGUUAAGCCAAGUCCGGGCCGAGCCGGCCAAUAUGAGUGGCACGUAGCGAACCGUACGCGCUUGUUGCCCCUGGCGAUGCCUACGGCCGUAGUGUAGUCGAUCAGCCAGCCUUCUGGCUUGGCCGUGCUGUUGUACUUCGACGUAUCCCGAGGCAGGGUGAAACCUCCGGGGAACGGCUCCCCUCGGAUCCGGGGGCCGAAAUAAGCCGGACCGACGGGUCCGUCUUCCUCUAGGAGGGUCAAAUGGGCCAGGGCGAUGAUACGCUGGCGGGCGUCCCGCUCGUCCUGGGAAGCGGGAGCACCAGCCCCGGUGGCGAGAGGGGAGGCUCCUCGAGAGCCGGAGGCAUGAGUUCUUCGCGGGGGAAGAUCCCCGUACUCCGAGUCGCCCUCGUCGCCUCCGCGACGUAAGCCCGAGGUUUGCUCGCUCUGGUGCUGCGAGCGCCGUCCUUGGCUUCCCUCGCCCGUCCAGCCGGAAGGGUGAUGCGAGGAAGAUCCUUCGGCGUGGUGCUGGCCGCUAGGGUCGCGAUGAGCCCCCGAGUUCGGCCUGGGGGACUCUGAAUAAGCCUGGCCGGGGUCGAACCGAGCGUGCUGCUGGUUAGCGUCGUCAAGGAGAUCCUUGACAUGCUUCUCCUGGAAGGCGUGCUCCUCGCCCUCCAGGAUUGCCAUCUCCUCCGUGGCCGCCUGCGCCGCCCGCAUGUUGGCCGCAGGAGUCUCGUAGGUGGGCAGGUCCCCGCCUAGAACCUCAGCGACGAACUGUCCGCGGCUGCGGACCGAUCCAAGCCGGCUGGGGUCUCGGGAAUCGGAGUAAGACCGUAUGCGGAGUUAUACUCACGAUGUGUGGCCUCCAACCGACGUUUCGCCGAGGCCACGGCGAUGCCCUCCUCCAAGAUGCGCUUGUGAGCCUCCACAAGUGAGGCCCGAGCGUCUGUUGGAUCGGCGGAAGCGGCGACCGGUGUCUUCAGGCCGGCGAUGGCGUCCUGAAGAGUGUCGGCGGCGGCCGCAGCGGGCUCGCCAGCACCUGCGGAGGCCUUGCCGGGAGCCGUGCUGGUGCCAGCGCCGAUAACCAUCACCUCCACGGUGUUGGAGACGGCAGCGACGUGGUGUGGGGUGAAGAACCCCACCGACGGUGGAGGGCCGUCGAAGAUGAGGACGUUACUGGGGUAAACGUCGAGGGCAUGCAUCUCUGCGAUAGAGAGCCCGCUGAAGCUGGCGCAGAGCGCCUCAACGUCGUAGUCCUCGCCGAAGUAGCGCGGGCCGUCGUUGAGGCGAAGGUCGCUGAAGAGAACGCAGAGGUUGUCCAUAGCAGCGACGACGAUGCUAGGAAGUGCCUCGUCAUCAGAACCUUCUUCCGAAUCCGCAUGGCGGACGGGGACGUCGAUCAUCAUGGGCGUCGCCUCGUCGAAAGAGAGGUUCACGGGCAUGCAAACUGAUCCGGAUGCGGUGCAUCCGGUGGUGUAGGUGCGGGGCCCCGCCCAGCGCGUGAAGCCAGCCGAUGUCGCGAUCGGCCCCACGGUGGGUGCCAAAUGUCGGUGAAUACUCACAACAUAUGCCAUAGGUAGGCUAAAGUCAGUGAGAACCGAAGGGACAAAGGUGGGCGCUGGGAACGAGGUUGGUACACGCAUGGGACGCACGAUGUACCCAGGUUCAGGGCUCUCCGUAGUCGAACCCGCCGACCUACAAUAUGGAUAAAAGGUACAGGCAUGGGACCCGGCUGGCGGCUUCGCAGGCUAGCCAGGGGCCCACAGGGGUCUUGUCUUGUCGAUGAGGGGCCCGCCGGCUGCAUGGUCUCGAUUGCUGGUGGGACCCGCCGGCUGGCCAAUGGGGUUCCCGCGUAAGGUUGACGUUGAGCACGCGCUGUACGUCGAGCGUCACCCCGCGAGAUUCUUCAUGGGCAGGCUGUACGACCACCUCCACUGUUCCCCACACCGACUGCAGUAAUGGAGUGGGAGUGUGACGGUCCGACAUCAAGCUAGGUGAUGGAUCAGAGCCGCGGUAGGUCAGCGGCGUGGCCGCCAACGCUCGUACCUGUCGGGCGCCCCGAUCCAGUACCUUUGCUGACGUGUAGCUACCUUUAAUCGUGAUGUCCUUUCCUGACCUAUGAUCUGAUGUGACUGGUGAUCCUCGGCCGGCUAGCCUGCUUGGUUAGCCGGCUCGCGGGUGGCCGCCUCGUCCCCAGUCCGGCUGGCAGGACCAGGCCGGCUCUGAAGGGGAGGCCGCCUACAUUCUAGCCGGCAGGGGAUGCCAGGCCGUCUAGAAAGGUGGCCGCCUCGUCUUCCAGCCGGCAGGAAAUGCCUAGCCGGUCAGAAGACUUGGGCCUUGGGAAUCUCCAUAUCUUCAUGUCCAUUGGGCCGGAAAUGAAGGAGCAGGCUUGAUGAGCCUACCCCAGGGUUAUCCCCCCGACAAUCAGCAUUGAAAUUUUCUUGUUCAAUAACAAAGUUAUCAAAUUCAUCCAAGCAUUGGCUAGCUGACUUAUUAUAAGGAAUAUCACCUUCAUCAAAUCUACGAAGAGAAUUUACCUCUACUACUUGUGUUGGGUUAUCAAGACCAUGUAUUUCUUCAAUAGGCGGUAGAUUCUUAACAUCUUCAACUUCAAUACCUUUUUCUUUCAUAGAUUUCUUUGCCUCGUGCAUAUCUUCAUGACCGAGGAAUAAAAUACCUAUUUUCUUCAUAGUUGGUUUUGGAGGUGGUUCGGGAAUAGUCCAAUCAUUAUCAUUGCUCAAUAUAUUAUUCAGUUGCAGUCCAGCUUGUUCAACAGUCCGUUCCCUAAAAACACAACCAACACAACUAUCUAGGUGGUCCCUAGAAGCAUCGGUUAGUCCAUUAUAAAAGAUAUCAAGUGUUUCAUUUUUCUUGAGAGCGUGAUCAGGCAAAGAAUUAAGUAACUGGAGAAUCCCCCCAAGCUUUUGGGAGACCCUCUUCUUCAAUUUGCACAAAGUUAAAUAUUUCAUGCAAGGCAGCUUGUUUCUCAUGGGCCGGAAAAUAUUUUUCACAGAAGUAGUAAAUCGUAUCCUGGGGACUACGCACACAAUCAGGAGCAAGAGAAUUGAACCAUAUCUUUGCAUCACCCUUUAAUGAGAACGGAAACAACUUGAGAAUAUAGUAAUAACGAAUUUUUUCCUCAUGAGUAAAUAGGGUGGCUAUAUCAUUCAAUUUAGUAAGGUGUGCCACAAUAGUUUCAGUUUCAAACCAUAAAAAGGAUCAGAUUCUACCAAAGUAAUUAACUCACGAUAGACAGAGAAUUCAUAAUCCUUAUUAGUAACAUAGAUAGGUGAAGUAGCAAACUUGGGAUCAUAUUGCAUUCUAGCGUUCAAAGAUUUUUCCUUCCACUUGCAUAGAAAUUUCUUAAGAUCAUCUCUAUCCUUACAAGCAAGAAAGUCCCUAGAUACUUAUCCUUCCAUAACAUAACCCUCACGUAUAUCAAGCAAUUCAUAUCUAGGAGACCUAGGUCUAGCGGGUGAAUCACAGUGUUCAGUUUCAGCAGAUUCAACAAUAUUAUCAGUUUCAGCAUUCACUCUAGGAAUUUGUUCAUCAAGAAAUUCACCAAGUGGCACAAUAGUAUCAAGAAAAGUAUCAUCAUAAGCAUCAUGCAUAGCAGAAGUAGCAUCAUCAGUUACUAGCGACAUAUCAGAUUCAGUAGCAGGUGGCGGUGUCGCAAAUUUACUCAUAACAGACGGUGAAUCAAGUGUAGAGCAAGAUGACAGUUCUUUACCCGCCCUCAUAGUUGAGGAGUAGAUCUUGGUCUUAGCAUCUUUCAGAUUCUUCAUUGUGAUCAACAAAUAUAAAUUCCAAGUGACUCAGAGAGUAAGGCUAUGCUCCCUCGCAACGGCGCCAGAAAAAGGUCUUGAUAACCCAUAAGUAUAGGGGACCGCAACAGUUUUCGAGGGUAGAGUAUUCAACCCAAAUUUAUUGAUUCGACACAAGGGGAGCCAAAGAAUAUUCUCGAGUAUUAGUAGUUGAGUUGUCAAUUCAACCACACCUGAAAGAUUUAAUAUCUGCAACAAAGUAUUUAGUAGCAAAGUAGUAUGGAAGUAACGGUAACUGUGGCAAACGUGAGAGUAGCUGUUUUGUAGUGAUUGUAACAAUAGCAACAGAAAAGUAACUUAGCAAAGACCAAUAUGUGGAAAGCUCGUAGGCAAUUGAUCGGUGAUGGAUAAUUUUUUCGGGGUGCAUUCAUCAUGCAACAGUAAUAACAUAGGGUGAUACAGAACUAGCUCCAAUUCAUCAAUGUAAUGUAGGCAUGUAUUCCAUAUAUAGUCAUACGUGCUUAUGGAAAAGAACUUGCAUGCCAUCUUUUGUCCUACUCUCCUGUGGCACCGGGUUCCUAAUGGAAACUAAGGGAUAUUAAGGCCUCCUUUUAAUAGACAACCGGACCAAAGCAUUACCACUUAGUGAAUACAUGAACUCCUCGAACUACGAUAAUCACCGAAAAGAAUCCUAGUUAUUGUCACCCUCGGGGAUGUGGAUCAUAAAUCGUAAUAGGUGUCUACAACUUGCAAGAUAGAGUCAAGAACACAUAUAUAUAAUCAUGAAAACAUAAUUGAUUCAGAUCUAAAAUCAUGGCACUCGGGCCCUAGUGACAAGUAUUAAGCAUAGCGAAGUCAUAGCAACAUCAAUCUUAGAACAUAAUGGAUACUAGGGAUCAAAACCUAACAAAACUAACUCGACUACAUGAUAGAUCUCAUCCAACCCAUCACCGCCGGGCAAGCCUACGAUGGAAUUACUCAUGAACGAUGGAGAGCAGCAUGAAAUUGGUGAUGAAGGAUGGUUGGUGAUGAUGACGUUGUCGAUUUCCCCUCUCCGGAGCACAAAUCAGACUCGAGAUCUGCCCUCCCAAGGAAGAACAGGAGGUGGCGACGACUUCGUAUCAUAAAACGCAAUGAACUCUUCUCCUUGAUUUUUUUCCAUCCUGGAUAGGAAUAUAUAGAAGUGGAAACGAUGUCGGUGGAGCCUCAGGGACCCCACAAGCUGGGGGCGCAACAUAGGGGGGCGCCCUACAGGCUUGUGGCCAGGGGGUGUCCCCUCUCCGGUAGAUUCUUUCGCCGGUAUUUUUUACUAAUUCCAGAGACGUUCUCCGUAAAUUUUCAAGUCAAUCUGAGAACUUUUAUUUCUGCACAAAAAUAGCACCAAGGCAAUUCUGCUGAAAACAACGUCAGUCCCGGUUAGUUCCAUUCAAAUCAUGCAAAUUAAAUUCUAAAACAAGGGCAAACGAGUUUGGAAAAGUAGAUACGUUGGAGACGUAUCAACGUACAAGGACAAUGCUGCAGUGACAACACCGGCAACAAUGACAGCGGCGGCGACGGCGGUGAAACAUUAGCCGCGUCCUUCACAAGACAACCAUGGCAAACACAUGUGGGACAACAACGACCCCGGGCGAUGUGCGGACAAGACCCUUGUGCGUCACUCCCAAGACGCACAGGGCCAAUCUCAUCACCAACCUCCUGGCAAAAUUAGACAACGUACAUCAGGAAGGGGCAGCACUCGUGCUGACAGUGUGAGAAGCAAGAGCGAUUCCCACACCUCACAUCACACCAUGCCAAAAACUAUGGAGGAGGCUAUAGCGCAAGCCCAAGUGUUGCUCGACUUUCUGCCUGCACCGGAGAACAUGGAGGGUUGGAGGGACACCAUCCACAGCCAGCUAAGCUUCACUAACCGUGACAAGCCAGAUGCAUCGGCGCCCUCAUGGAAACGCCAUACAGAGCCAACAAAACGUGCUACUGGGCGCACCGCUGGCAGAGCACCCACAUUGUAGUCACCUCUAGAGCAUCAACAACCAUCCCGCCAAAUGGAUGUGCAAGACGAGAUGUCUUGUGAAUUAUUGGACCCAUGACAACAACAAUAUCAGCAUCAAGUCUUGAAGGAAUGAUGGAAGGACGAUGCCCACACCACCACCGAACGGCGACUGGAGGCCCAACAUCAAUCGAAUGACCGUGUCAGACCAAGCAUCGACGACCCUGCGCUAGACGUUCCCGGUAGCCUACCUUACGAGAUAGGCUUCUCAACAUUCAUCCGUCGGCUGCGGCAGGUCCGCUCACCCUCCACCAAGGCCUUCAAUCCUGACUUGCUAGAAAAGUAUGACAGAAAGAUCAGCCCCUUAGAGUUCCUCGGCAUUUACACCAUCGUGGUGCAGGAUGCCAGGGGACACGACGAGAAAGUGUUUGCCAACUACUUCCCAUUGGCGCUCAAGACCAAUGUGAGGAGUUGGCUGAUGAAAUUGUGAGAAGGAUCCAUAUCUUCUUGGGUGGAUCUAUGCAACAAGUUUGUUGGCGCAUACCAUGAGGGCCACAAGUUCCCGGGGCAGCCGAGCGACUUGCAUGUGCUUCCCUAGAGGGAUGGUGGAUCCCUUCGCAAGUAUAUUAAAAGGUUUAGCCGUGUGCAUCACAACAUCCCCGACAUCCAUCCUGCCGCAAUGUCUGUCGUGUUCCAUACGAACAUGCGCAAUGGGCGGAUGCAUGAGGACAUGAGCAUCAACAAGGUGCGUGAUAUCGUUGCUAAAUGCGCACAUGCUGAGGUAGGGAGAAGACUUCUCAGAGAGGAUGCUGGUGUAGAGGUUAACACAAACGAUGAAGACGCGUCCAAAUCCAAGAAGAAGGACCAUAAGCGCAAUCGCAAGCGCAAAGGCAAGACCGUUAUGGCAAUCGAAGGCUCUGGCAACUCAAAUGCCGACAAGAAAGCCAAGACCGAGGGCUCUGGCACAGAGGUUGUCGCGUGCUCCGGCGAUGACAAAGACGCAACAAGAGAGAAGAACGACAUGCCAUACUGCAAGAUCCACCUCACCAAGGGUCACAACAUCACCUAGUGACACCAAGUUGAGUAGCUUGCUGAGAAGCAGAAGCAAGAGUAUGAGAUGCAGGACAAGGAGAAGGGCCAAGAUGGUGCCGGUGAUUCUGGUAAGAAGAACCAUGGCGGACGUGGUGGUCGUCGCGGCAAGGCCAAGCAACAGAAGGAGAAGCCUGCUAGAGGUCGCAAUAAGAAGUCUGCUGAUGAGGACAGUGUGGACGAGGAUGAAGAAGGAUGUGAGGGCCAAGAGUUCCAGAAGGCAGUAGAUACCAUGUGCAUUGACGGAGGCGCAUCUUUGCACUCCUCUCACUGGUAGUUCAAGCAAUGCACCCGUGAGAUCAAUGCAGAAGAACUGGCAUUGGAGGUACAGAAGCCCCUCAAUUGGUCCAACACACCCAUCAUCUUCGAUGCCGAAGAUCACCCUGGUCGUAUUAUUGCCAUCGGGUGUUUGUUGUUGUUGGUUUCACGAAUGGUUCUCAAUAUCCACGUGACAAAGAUGUUGGUUGACAGUGGGGUCGGCUUGAACUUGACAUCGCCUAACAUGAUCAAGAGGCUACAGAUCCCUCACACAGAUCUCAAACCCAUGGGGAUAUUUCAGGGGAACAACCCCGGAAGAAGGCAACCAAAGGGAAAGAUCACCAUGCUGGUGAUGUUCGGCAGCAAGCUCAAUUUCAGGAUAGAGAAAGUUACAUUAGAUGUCACUAAGAUACCACUCUCGUGCAAUGGAUUCCUCAUCCGCCUUGCACUGGCGAAGUUCAUGGAGGCCUUGCACUACGCCUACAAAACAGUGAAGAUGCCAGGGCUGAUGGGCAUCAUCACAGUCCAUGCUGACAAGAAAAACAUAGUACCCUCCAUCGAUAAACUCUACCGGGAGGCAGUGGCAAUAUCUGCCGACAAGGAACCUACUCCUGUCAUUAAAGCUCCCGGGGGGGAUAAGAACAAGAGUUCGGGCAAGACCUCUAGCGAGGACCCCGGGAUGCACACUACAGAGUGCAGCACGCCCGACGAGGAUUUUUCUGAGAGCUUUGCCACCAAGAGAAAGAAGAGCAAGCUGACCAUCCCCAAGACGAAGCAAGUGGAUGCACACGAGGACGUUGAGGGAGGCACUUUCACCAUAAGUGCCCACCUCAAGAGCAAAUAGGAAAGCACGAUCAUCUCCUUCGUGCGGGCGAAUGUCGAUGUGUUUGAGCAGAAACUAUGUGACAACCCCGACGUUCCCAGGUAGGCGAAUGAGCACCACCUUGGUGCAUGUCCUCACGCACACCCCAUAAAGUAGAAGAUCAGGAAGCAAGCUCUUGAACAUCAAGAGUCUAUUGCCAAAGAGAUCAAGAAACUAGAGGCAACAGGCUUGAUUAGAGGUGUGAUCCACCCCACGUGGUUGGCAAAUCCAGUGGUAGUGCAGAAGGCAAACGGAAAGUGGAUGAUUUGUAUUGACCUUACUGAUAUCAAUAAAGCUUGUCCAAAAUACCACUUUCCCUUGUCGCGCAUUGAUCAAAUAGUGGACUCCACCGCCGGCUGCAAUAUGCUUUCCUUCCUUGAUGUCUACUCUAGUUAUCAUCGGAUUUUCAUGACGAAGGAAGAUGAAGAUAAAACCGCAUUCCUUGCCCCGUGUGGCACAUACUACUUUAAGCGUAUGCCUUUCGGGUUGAAGAGUGCUGGUUCAACAUUUCCAAGAUCCAUCCAGAUUGGUUUUGAACUACAGCUACACAGAAAUGUGGAAGCAUAUAUGGAUGAUAUAGUGGUCAAGACCAAGGACAAGGCUACACUAAUUCAAGAUUUAGAAGAAACAUUUGCAAAAUUGAGAAAGAUCAACUUGAAGCUCAACCCCGAGAAGUGUGUGUUUGGAGUCCCAUCCGGCAAGCUCCUCGGGUUCUUUGUGUCGCAGCAUGGGAUUGAAGCUAACCCCACCAAGAUAGAGCAAUUGAGCAGCUAGAGGCACCAAAGCACGUCAAGGAUGUGCGUCGCUUGGCGGGUUACAUCACCGCCCUCAGCAUAUUCAUUUCUAAGUCUACGGAACACGCCCUGUCGUUUUUCAAAAGUUUGAAAAAGGCAGGUCCAAUGAAAUGGACUUCGGAAGCGGAGGCAUUGCUGCAGGAGUUGAAGAAAUACAUGUUCUCAAUGCCAGUACUAGUCGCGCCUAAACCGCAAGAAUAGUUACAACUAUAUUUUGCGACAACGAAUCAAGUAGUUAGUGCUACACUCAUGGCAGAGAGGGAAGGUGAAGCUGAAGAGGCGGCAACCCCCAAACUGGCAAUCGACAAGCCCGAUUCAACCCUCGCUAACCAAGGAGUCGCUCACACAAGUACAACGCAAGAAGCAGACCAAUAUAUUGUGCAGAAGAACAAGAUGGUGGAGCCCCUAGUAUAUUUUGUCAGCUCUCUCCUCCAUGGUGCUAGAUCAAGAUAUCUAGGUGCACACAAGUUGCUUUUUGGCCUUGUCAUGGCCUCCCGGAAACUGCGCCACUAUUUCCAUGCACAUCACAUUACCGUCGUCACUUGCUUUUGUUGCAAGGCACCGAUGCCGAUGUGCUGCUUGUCGCACCCACUGGAGAGCACCUCAAGUACGUAACCAGAUGGAUUUUCCCCGGGAGGUGUGGACAAACAACACAAUUGAAUACGAAGGAGUGCUUGCCGGCCUGCGGAUAGCAGUUGAUCUUGGCAUUAGAAAGUUUAUAGUCCGAGGGGAUUCACACCUGGUUGUGUGUCAAGCGAACAAAUAUUAUCAUAUCCCUAUGUUGGAAGCAUAAGUAGAUGAAGUGAGGAAGUUAGAUGAGCAUUUUGACGAUCUACAAAUAGAGCACAUCCCACGUGCGGAAAAUAGCAUUGCUAAUGACUUGUCAAAACAAGUUGCAUAAAAGCUACAUGUGGAGCUAGGUACUUUUGUACUUCAACUGAUUGAACCGUUCAUCACACCAUCACCUCGACAGGCAGAGAAAAGAAAAUUAGUUCUGGUGACUACUUCCCGGCAAAGCUACUAGCCGGCCCCAGGAAGGUUGCCGAGGACAAUGAAGCGCUUGCCAGAGGGCGGCAAGCUCUGACAAGCCCCAUGGACCUUGCUGUACAAGCUAGCGCUCCCGCGGCGGAAGAGAUGCCUUUUGUCCUUGUCAUGGAGGCACAAGCUCUGGCAUGGGCACAACUAAUUGUCGAGUACCUUCAAACAGGAGAACUUCGCGAAGAGCAGGAAGAAGUUGAAAGAGUAGCCCGACAGUUGAACAUGUACCAAUUUGUGGACAAAAGUGUGUAUAAGAGGAGACCAAAUGGGGUGAAAUUGAAGUGCAUUUCCCGGGAAGAUGGACAAGAGUUGUUGAUGGAGGUACGUGAAGGGAUCUCUGGCUCCCACAUCGAGUCGUGUGCUCUCAUCGAAAAAGCAUUCCUUCAAGGCUUCUAUUGUUUGACAAUCCUUCAAGAUGCCUUGGUGGUGAUAACUGAUACGUCUCCAACGUAUCUAUAAUUUUUCAUGGUUCCAUGCUAUUAUCUUGUCAACUUUGGAUGUUUUUUAUGCAUGAAUGUGCUAUUUUAUAUCUUUUUUGGGACUAACCUAUUAACUCAGUGCCAAGUGCCAGUUUCUGUUUUUUCCGUGUUUUUGACCUUUUUCAGAGAAGAAUAUUAAACGGAGUCAAAACGGAAUAAAACCUGCGGAAUGAUUUUCUCCAUAACAGAAGAUACGCAGGGGACUUGAGAACCAAGGCAAAGGACCCCGGGGGAGGUCACAAGCCCCCUAGCCACGGCCUGGGGGCCGCGCCUAGCAGGCUUGUGGGCCCCCAGUGGCUCCUUUGCCCUACUUCUUCCAUCUAUAAAUUCUCUAAAAAUCCAAAACUGCCAUAGAGAGCCACAAAAAUACUUUUCCGCCGCCGCAAGCUUGUGUCUCCGCAAGAUCCCAUCUCGGGAACGUUCUGGUGCCCUAUCAGAGGGGGGAUUCGGACACGGAGGGCUUCUUCAUCAACACCAUUGCCUCUCCGAUGAUGCGUGAGUAGUUCACCACAGACCUUCGGGUCCAUAUCUAGUAGCUAGAUGGCUUCUUCUCUCUCUUGGAUCUUCAAUACAAAGUUCUCCAUGAUCUUCAUGGAGAUCUAUCCAAUGUAAUCUUCUUUUGCGGUGUGUUUGUCGAGAUCCGAUGAAUUGAGGAUUUAUGAUCAGAUUAUCUAUGAAUAUUAUUUGAGUCUCCUCUGAUCUCGGAUAUGCAUGAUUUCGUAUCCUUGUAAUUCUCUUUGAGUUGGGGGUUUUGUUUGGCCAACUUGAUCUAUAAUUCUUGCAAUGGGAGAAGUGCUUGGUUUUGGGUUCAUACCGUGCGGUGUCCUCACCCAGUGACAGAAAGGGUAGCGAGCUACACAUCGUGUUGUUGCCAUCAAGGGUAAAAAGAUGGGGUUUAAAUCUAUUGCAUGUAUUUAUCCCUCUAUAUCAUGUCAUCUUCCUUAAGGCAUUACUCUGUUUGUUAUGAACUCAAUACACUAGAUGCAUGCUGGAUAGCGGUCGAUGUGUGGAGUUAUAGUAGUAGAUGCAGACAGUAUCGGUCUACUUGUCUCGGACGUGAUGCCUAUAUGCAUGAUCAUUGCCUUAGAUAUCAUCAUGACUUUGCGCGGUUCUAUCAAUUGCUCGACAGUAAUUCGUUCACUCACAGUAAUACUUGCUAUCAUGAGAGAAGCCUCUAGUGAACACUAUGGCCGCCGGGUCUACUUCACAUCAUAUUUUCAGCUCUACCCUUUUACUUUGUUGCACUUUCCACCUUGAGAUCUCACCUUGCAAUUAAUCGUGAAGGGAUUGACAACCCCUUUUUUGCGCAGGUACAUUGGUGACUUGUCUUGAUACUCCUACUGGAUUGAUACCUUGGUUCUCAAACUGAGGGAAAUACUUACUGCUACUGUGCUGCAUCACCCUUUCCUCUUCAAGGGAAAAACCAACGCAAGCUCAAGAGGUAGCAAUAACCACAUGUGAAGCAUGCGUGUUCCACACCAAGAAAAUAAAUCAGCCAACGCAAGCCCUUCAAACAAUACCACUCUCCUAGCCCUUCUCGGUCUGGGGCCUUGACAUUGUCGGCCCUUUUCUUUGUUCUAUCGGAGGCUUCGAAUUAUUUUUCGUUGCAACUAUAAGUUUACAAAGUGGACUGAGGUGGAGCUGCUGAGAAAGGUGACAUCACAAGCAGUCGUCAAGUUUUUCAUAGGAAUAGUUUGUCGUUUCAGUGUACCCAACAUGAUCAUCACAAAUAACGAGACACAGUUCACUAGUAACACCUUCAUGCGUUGCCCCGAUAUCGGAGCCAAAAUUUUCUUCAAAUUAGUUGCUCACCCCAGAAGCAACUAUCAAUUAGAGAGAGCAAAUGUUGAAGUGUUGGAUGGCCUCAAGGCAAGAACUUUUGACAAGCUACAUAAGCAUGGAAGGCACUGCAUUGAUGAGUUGUCGGCAGUUCUUUGGUCAAUCAACAAGACACCAAAUCAAGCCAUCAAUGAGACACCCUUCUCCUUGUUUUAUGGUUCAGAGGCGGUGCUAACCACAGAACUCACCUACGGGUCACCUCGAGUGCAAGCCUUUGAUGAGGAACUACAAGAGCAAUUGCGGCAAUACAAUGCCACGCUCCUUGAGGAAGAUCGUAUUCAAGCUGCACUGUGUGCCGCUCGGUACCAGCAAGCCUUGCACCACUAUCACAACCGCAAGGUGCAUGCGAGGAGCACUGAGGAAGGCGGCCUUGUUCUUCAUCGGAUCUAGUCCACAAAGCGAUCAAACACGUUGACGCCAAAGUGGGAAGGCCCUUACCGGGUGUACGAGUCACUAGGCGUGGCGUGGUCUGCUUAAAGACCGAGGAUGGCACUCCGGUGCAAAACUCCUAGAAUAUCGAGCAUCUUCGCAAGUUCUACCGGUGAGUCGCGAUUGUCGGGCCUCCUAACAACCUCUUUUGUACAAGUGUGCCGGCAAGGCAUGUAAUCCUUUCUACAAAGCCAGGCGAAGACCCUGUGCAUAAUCAAUAAAGCUAAGUUUCCACAACUUUCUGUUAGAGUACAUAUUUAUCUUAUGUAUAGUGCAUGAAAUGUUGUGAUUAUUUUAACUUGCAUGAAAUGAUCAUUGAACCGCCAAGGUUCUUAGCCUCCUCUUUUCUCUUCUUUCUUUUUCUCAAGAGAUAGGAGGAACCCUCGUGUACAUGUCUUCUCGGGGGGAGUGAUGGUAUGGAUACCUACAAAUGCGUUCAAGGUUGAUCGUUUCGCGAUCAACAUUUGUAUGAGAAACUUUCAAAAAUCUUUGUUAGAGUACAUCAAAGAAAAGCUAAGUUACAGAAACUUUCAAAAAUCUUUUUUAAAUCCAUUUUACCUUGAACGAUGUCAACAUUUGUAUGAGAAAGCCUGUACACAAAGGACCCUUGUUGAAAUUGUUUGUGCUCCUAGGUCAUUUCGAGUCUGCUCAGCAACCGAAGUAGCUGCGGCAAGGAGGACAAGGUGGUCUUACUGAUAGCAACAUCAUCGGUAGGCUGCUGAGGACCUAUUCCUAAAGCGCUCGUGGCAAAUAUGUGCGCACCAGCAAGCGUUUUUUGGCAAGCGUAGGGAUUGAAAAUUAAGUGUGAAAUUAUACAUAAGGGAAAGUAGCCAUUCAUUCUAGCAAAUUGAAUAUAUUAUAUUCAAAAGCAAAGUUGCGGUGCUAAUUCAAGACAAAUGUUUUCAAUACAUGCGCCACGGUGAUAGGAAAUUACUUGCUCAAGGUCACAUAGCCCGCCCUCUCGGAGAUAGGAGCGACAAGGGUGUUAAGGGCGUUGGUGUCAAAGCAUUUCGGUAGCUUGGAGAACGCCUUGCUCACGUAAUGGUCGGGGUUUUUGUAGGCGAUCUUCACCAAGACUUUAUGGAGAACCCCGUGGCAGAGCACUCGAGAAUCUUGAAGGAAGUUGUUCGCUCGACCUUCCUCAUGCUUCGCUAGUGCCCCGACAAGCUUCUUGAAGAAGAUGGACCGUCUUGCGCUCGCCACCUCCCUGUCAUUGUUGGAGAAGGCACAUUCCUCCAAGCCUAUAGUCGCAAGCUGGGCGGAGAGCCCGCGGAUGACGUUCACAAGUUAUUCCGUCCACAACCCAACAUUCUUCUGCAGCUCAUUGGAAGUAUAUAUGCGUGGUGGAAGCGAGAAGCUCCUUCUCCUUCUAGAGCUCUUCAAGAAGACCCCACUCCUUAGUCCCGACAGCCUUGAGGUUGUCCUCGUAGGUGCUCACCUUCACCUGUAAAUCAAUGUUGACGUCUGUGGCAGCACUCAUCUCCUUGGUGUUGUCAAAGAGCCCCACUUGUUUAUCUGCCAAGGUCUAGAGCAUUUUCUCGAUGUCAUCCUUCAGUUUCAAGACCUCCUUGUCGGAAGCGGUGAGGUUCAAUUCUAGCUGCUACAGUUUUCCUUCAAGCUCAGUCUUGGCGGACUGAGUGGCCUCGGCAACACUAAUGGCUUCCUCGAUCUUGACCGCAUGCUCCGUCGCCUCCUUCUCUAGGACAUCGUGGUGCUCCAACUUCAUCUCUUGGAUCUGCUUCUCCAAUUCAGUUCCAAGCUUGGCGGCAAGGGUCUUUUCCCAAGCGGAGAGUUCCUCUUCAUGGGAGUCCAAGUGAGCCUUGCGCACAACAAGUCCGUGUUGGCAACGAUAAUGCUCUCGUUGGUUUCCUCCAAAUCUUCUAGACCUCGAACUUCUGAUUGAUGAAUUCAGCUACAACCUUCGUAAGACCUGCUUGCCACUUGAUGAGAUCCUUGUAGCUGUAAGUAAACCAGUGAUACGUCUCCAACGUAUCUACAAUUUUUGAUUGUUCCAUGCUAUUAUAUUAACAACUUGGGAUGUCUUAUAUGCAUUCAUAUGCCAUUUUAUAUCAUUUUUGGGACUAACCUAUUAACUCAGUGCCUAGUGCCAGUUUCUGUUUUUCCGUGUUUUUGACCUUUUUCAGAAAAUAAUAUUAAACGGAGUCCAAACGGAAUAAAACCUGCGGCAUGAUUUCUUCCAUAACAGAAUAUACCCAGAAGACUUGAGAACCAAGGCAGGAGGUCUCGUGGGAGGACACAAGCUCCCUAGGCACGCCCUAGGGGGGCGCCUAGCAGGCUCGUGAGCCCCCUUGCCUCCUCUUCCCUACUUCUUUUGCUUAUAAAUUCCGAAAAAUUCCGAAACCUAAAGAGAGAGCCACGAAAAUACUUUUCCGUCGCCGCAAGCUUCUGUCUCCGCAAGAUCCCAUCUGGAGACCGUUCUGGUGCCCUGCCGGAGGAGGAUUCAGACACGGAGGGCUUCUUCAUCAACACCAUUGCCUCUCCGAUGAUGCGUGAGUAGUUCACCACAGACCUUCGGGUCCAUAGCUAGUAGCUAUAUGGCUUCUUCUCUCUCUUGGAUCUUCAGUACAAAGUUCCCCAUGAUCUUCAUGGAGAUCUAUCCGAUGUAACUUUCUUUUGCGGUGUGUUUGUCGAGAUCCGAUGAAUUGUGGAUUUAUGAUCAGAUUAUCUAUGAAUAUUAUCUGAGUCUCCUCUGAUUUCUUAUAUACAUGAUUUCGUAUCCUUGUAAUUCUCUUCGAGUUAUGGGUUUCGUUUGGCCAACUUGAUCUAUAAUUCUUGCAAUGGGAGAACUGCUUGGUUUUGGGUUCAUACCGUGCGGUGUCCUCACCUACUUACAGAAGGGGUAGCGAGGCACGCAUCGUGUUGUUGCCAUCAAAAAUAUGGGGGUUAUAUCAUAUUGCAUGAAUUUAUCCCUCUACUUCAUGUCAUCUUGCUUAAGGCGUUACUCCGUUUGUUAUGAACUUAAUACACUAGAUGCAUGCUGGAUAGCGGUCAAUGUGUGGAGUAAUAGUAGUAGAUGUAGACAGUAUCGGUCUACUUGUCCCGGACGUGAUGCCUAUAUGUAUGUUCAUUGCCUUAGAUAUCGUCAUGACUUUGCACGAUUCUAUCAAUUGCUCGAUAGUAAUUCAUUCACCCACCAUAAUACUUGCUAUCAUGAGAGAAGCCUCUAGUGAACACUAUGGCCCCCGGGUCUAUUUUACACAUCAUAUAUUCAGAUCUACAUACAAAAAUACCAAAAAUACCUUGCUGCCUUUUAUUUAUAUUUACCUUUCAUCACUAUCAGAUCUCACCUUGCAAGUAAUCGUGAAGGGAUUGACAACCCCUUUAUUGCAUUGGGUGCAAGUUUGUUUGUUUUUGCGAAGGUUCACUGGUGCCUCAUCUUGAUACUCCUACUGGAUUGAUACCUUGGUUCUCAAACUGAGGGAAAUACUUAUCUCUACUUUCCUGCAUCACCCUUUCCUCUUCAAGGGAAAAACCAAUGCAAGCUCAAGAAGUAGCAAGAAGAAUUUCUGGCGCCGUUGUCGGGGAGUAUUCAAGUGAAGCAUCUCUACCAAGUAAAUAUCGCAAACUCAUCUCUUGCAUUUACAUUAUUUGCCAUUUGCCUCUCGUUUUCCUCUCCCCCACUUCUGAAAAACAAAAUUUACAAAAAUAUUUGCCUUUUUCGUUCGCCCUUUCUUUUGCUUGCUUUCUGUUUGCUUGUGUGCUUGUCCGCUUGCUAAGUCACCAUGUCUGAAAAAACUAAAUUGUGUGACUUCUCCAAUACUAAUAACAAUGAUUUUAUGUAGCGACCCGACUCAAGACGAGUCAAGCCUCUGUGUUUCUGUGCCAUCCCUGGAUCAGUAUGCUGGCACACACAGUACAUCAAUGUAUAUAUCAAAGUGCAAUCACAUGUAAAAUAGCGUAAAACUGAUAUAUACCUUAAAUAUCUCAGUGGAAGCGGUCAAGGGAGUGGAGUCCCAAUAAACACCAACGGCAAGUUGAGUGUAGACCGUAACCCUGAAUCGUACUCUUACUCGUCGAAGAAAAUAUCUGCAACAUAAGACGUUGCAGCCGUGUAGGUCAGCAUAUUGAAUAUGCCGGCAAGUCACAUAAGAGAGGGGUGAAAAGUAAUCAUCUAUACUAUAUGCAUAUAUGGCAGGUGGGGCUAUAAGUUUUUAGCGAAAAGCAAGUUUUCUCCUACAUCAAGAGGGGCUAAAAGAAAAAUGUUACUACAUUGUUGGUUGUUAACGAGAUGGUUCCGCCAACCAGUUCUCGUACCCGAGUUGUCAAUAAUUACCCUCAUCAAAUAUAUUUAAUGGUGUUGAGAAAUCCAGAUAACUUCAGUUCCUUUGGCUCAAGUUGUCCAUGACCGUGGACACGGCUAAUCGAUUAGGUUUGAGUACUCUGCAGAGUUUUGCACACGUUCCCCACAAGAUUUGAUCGCCUCCGAGUAUGUCCUCGCACUUCAGGGUGUUUGAAGACCGGAUGAUCAAAACAUGGUCUUUCAACGGGUCCCUCUGAAUCCCUGUCGGUGCCCAUCCAAUCCUACCGUUCUUCUACAUCUGCUAGCACCGCCUGUCCAGAGUCGCCGCGUUGUCCAACCAAGCCAGAGCCCAUAAUGACUUGUGGCUGUGCAGGUAAGCCUUGGGUCUUGAAAAUAUCCGUCCGUCUCUUUGAGCCUGGGUGAAGCUUUCCGCAGGAUGACAUGGCCUCUCCAGCAUCCCGGGCAUCCACUGGGUUUUCCAGGGAGCCGAUCAACCGUCCUUCACCCAGUGUUGCAUUGCGUCCGAGGUCUUGAAAAUCUUGUCUUAGUCCGGUCUUGAUUAUUAUAUCAACCUCGCAUCACUCGUGGUAUACACUCAACCGAUAACCCGUCUACUUAAGCAUAGCAAAUAUAACAUUGUCGUCCCGGGGCCAAGUGUCGGGGUUGUUGUGUUCCUACCACAUGAUACUACAACUUACACUAAAGUUUCCAAGUACCUAGGCAGCAUGCAAUUGGGCAAAGAAGGUGAUCUACCAUGCAAUGAAAACAUAGGUAAAAUAUGAUCAAAGUGACUUGCCUGGUAUUACUUGAUGAAGAUAGUCGCUCUCAAAAUCCUGAUAAUUCUACUCGCCACACUCCGAGCAAUCUAUCGUAAACAAAUAGCAUUCAAUAAACAUUCAUGCCAAAAAGGAAGAACCAAGAGAACAUAAGAACAAAGCAUGUCUUGGUACAAAAUAACAACGUACUAAGGUUUAAUAAAAAAAUAUAGGGCCUUAUGGUGUUGUAAAAGGUACGAUGAAAGGGGUCAACUCAAAAGAGUCAAAGGAUGAUCAACUAUCGGUAUAUAAGCUCGACUUGCAUACACUAUGGGAGAUGAUAAAAAAUAUUGGGAGAACAACAUGAAUGUUGUUUGACAAAUAGUAUAAGACAUAAGAAUUUAUUUGUAGAAAGAAUUUCUUGAAAUGGAGCACUACAACGCAAGUUAUAGCGAAUUGAAGUAUGAAUUGAAUUUGCAUUCAAAAGGUCAAGAGAAGUUGAACUGAAGUACGAUGGUUACGUACAAAAAUAUAUGACAUGAGUGUUUAGGGGUAAAAGGAAUCAAUUGAAAAGGUGGUACGAUUUGCAAGAUAAGAUCAAAUGAAUGUUCGAAUACAAAUUUGAAUCGCUCAAAUUUGUAAGGUUCAAAGGUCGAAACUAAUGAUGCUACUGGAUAUAGGAGAUCAAUAUGAGCGUGUAGAAAAAAGAAUUACUAGAUUUGAACUAGCGGAUCAAAAGAUACAAAUACGUCAAUAUAACAUUGAAUCGGCUUAGAACGAUGUGAAAACUUUUGGGCACUAAUAGAUAAAUCUGAUUUGAUCAAAAUUAUAAGUUGAAAAGUUAAAACUAAUGAUACAAACGGAAUGAUUACUUUGAUACGAAUCCGACGCAAUUGAAUUCAUCUAAGACGGAGCUACGGAUAAAAAGAUAUGAUCAAAAGAAGUUUGAAUAUGAAUAUGAACAAAUUUCGAAAUUUGAAAAUUUCGAAAAAGUUGAUAUGAUAGGUUCAUCGGAUAGGUGGGAUCAAGACGAAACUCUAGGCGUUGGUUUCAUCUAAUUCGGAUAAACGAGUAAAAAGUUAUGGCUAUUUGAAAAAUCAGGGCCAAGCUGUUUUACGGAAGAAAAGUGCUAUGUCUAAAAGAAUUCUAGUACUAAUGUGGAAAUACAAAGACUAAUUAAUAUAUCUAAUUACUCUACCGUAUACUAGUGUAGGAAUACUAAUCUAGAAAUAAUAAACUACGGGAGUAUAUAAAAAAAAAUACGAAGAAAAAUACCUUUAGAAUGCAGAGUAAGAAUUAAUUCCAAUGAGGAGACGACUUCGAGAAAUCCCGCCGAAGAGAAGAAAAAUAUAUUUUUAUUUAAUAAAUCUAGUUAAACCAAAAGAUUGAUUUAACCCGAAAUAGAUGAUUUUUUGGAUGCUCCUAUGGGUCUAUAUUUAUAGGUGGAAGGGAGGUCUAAUGGUCCAUAGAUAGGCAAUGUGGGACUAAACAUAUACGUAACGUGGAGAGAAAAUAAAAAGAAAGGAAGAGGGGUGCCGCAUGGGCCAAAGAGUUUCGGCCAGCCACAUGAGCAGGUUACCGCCGGCCGUGGCCUUUUUUUUUUGCGAACGAAUUUUUUUUAAAACAAAGAAGAAAAACGUAUAAAUGAAAAAGAAAGAACAUUUUAUAUAGACAUAUUAUAUAUCAAAAUUUUCAGAAUAAAAUUUUCUAAAACAUGAACAUAUUUUUAAAACCAAAAAAAUACUUUUUAAAAAAAUAUUUUUUUGCAAUAACUUUAAAAUGAAAAGGAAUUUGAAUUUCAAAUAAAUUGCAAAUACUUAAAAUUUGAAUCAAGACAUUGUCUCUGAUUUUGGAGGGUCAUUUUCCUCCUCUCGUUUGAUUUUUUUUUAAUCAAAGGGUUUGAAAAUAUUCAAACUCAAAAUUGAAAAGGGAUUCAAAAUAGAAAAUUUUGGGAAAGUCAUUUUAUUCCCUCUCAUUUGUUUGAGAAGUUUCAAAUUCCACUCAAGUUUCAAUCACUCAAACAAACAAACAAACAAUCUAAUAAUUAUAUUAACAUUCCAAAAUUUAUUAUUUUGGGAUGUUACAUUUUAUUAGAACUCCAAUUGCUCCUGUCACUAGUGCGGAAUCAUAUGAAACUAAUGCUACCUUCUUGAAUCUUGUUAUGAAAGAGCAAUUUUCCGGCCUUCCUAGUAAAGAUGCCGCAUCCCAUCUUAAUACCUUUAUUGAGUUAUGCGAUAUGCAAAAGAACAAAGAUGUGGAAAAUGAUAUGAUUAAAUUGAAGCUAUUUCAGUUCUCAUUACGAGAUCGAGCAAAAACUUGGUUUUCAUCUUUACACAAAAAUAGCAUUGAUUCAUGGAACAAGUGUAAAGAUGCCUUUAUUUCCAAGUAUUUUCCACCAGCUAAGAUUAUCUCUCUCCGUAAUGAUAUCAUGAAUUUUAAGCUACUAGAUCAUGAACAUGUGGCACAAUCUUGGGAGAGAAUGAAAUUGAUUAUUAGAAAUUGUCCCGCUCAUGGCCUGAGUCUUUGGAUGAUUAUACAAAUUUUCUAUGCUGGUUUGAAUUUUUCUUCUAGAAAUAUCUUGGAUUCCUCCUUUGGUGGAACUUUUAUGGAAAUCACACUAGGAGAAGCUACAAAACUCCUAGAUAAUAUCAUGACAAAUUAUUCUCAAUGGCACACUGAAAGGUCACCUACUAGUAAAAAAGUUCAUGCUAUAGAAGAAAUUAACUCUUUGAGUGCUAAGAUGGAUGACUUAAUGAAGUUGUUUGCUAGUAAAAGUGCUCCUCUAGAUCCAAAUGAUAUGCCUUUAUCUUCCUUGAUUGAGAAUAGAAAUGAAAACUUGGAUGUUGAUUUUGUUGGUAGGAAUAAUUUUGGUAACAACAAUGCUCAUAGAGGUAACUUUAAUCCUAGCCCUUUUCCUAGUAAUCCCUCUAAUAAUUUUGGCAAUUCCUACAACAAUGCUCAUGGAAAUUAUAAUAAAGUACCCUCUGAUCUUGAGAGUAAUAUGAAGGAGUUUAUUACUUCGCAAAAGAUUUUCAAUGCUUCCAUAGAAGAAAAACUGCUUAAAAUUGAUGACUUGGCUAGGGCUGUUGAUAGAAUGUCUCUUGAUAUUGAUGCUUUGAAAUCGAGAUGUGUUCCUCCCAAGAUUAAUAUGGAUGAAACUUUGAAAGCUAUGUGUGUUUCCAUGAAUGAGAGUAAAGAAAGAACCGCCCAAAUUUGUGCUAGACAUGAAUGGCUUCAAAAGGCAUGUUCUCUUGAUGAGAAUCACGAAGAUCUUAAAGUGCUUGGUGUGACUCCUAUUGAAUCCUUGUUUUCUAAUGUCAAUCCUAAUGAUGACGGGGCUGGAUGUGAAUCCACUUUGGUUGAGAAACACCCCAAUGAUUUGGAGUCUAUUUAUCUAGAUGCUAAAAACACCAUAAGUGGAGUAGAGGAUAUCAAAACUUUGAGUAGUGAUGAAACUACUACUUUGGAUUUCAAGGAAUUUAAUUAUGAUAGUUGCUCUUUGAUUGAAUGUAUUUCCUUGAUGCAAUCCAUGCUAAACUCUCCACAUGCUUAUAGCCAAAAUAAGGCUUUUACCAAUCAUAUCGUUGAUGCUAUAAUGAAGUCUCUUGAAGAGAAACUUGAGUUGGAAAUAUCUAUUCCUAGAAAACUUCAUGAUGAGUGGGAACCUACUAUACAAAUCAAGAUUAAAAAUUAUGAAUGCCCUGCUUUGUAUGAUUUGUGUGCUAGUGUUUCCACAAUUCCAAAAUCUUUAUGUGAUGUUCUAGGUUUCAGUGAGAUUGAUGAGUGCUCUCUUAAUUUGCAUCUUGCAGAUUCUACUAUUAAGAAACCUAUGGGAAGGAUCAAUAAUGUUCUUAUUAUUGCAAAUAGGAACUAUGUUCCCGUAGAUUUCAUUGUGCUUGAUAUUGAUUGUAAUCCGACAUGUCCCAUUAUUCUUGGUAGACCUUUCCUUAGGACUAUUGGUGUUGUUAUUGAUAUGAAGGAAGGGAAUAUUAAAUUUCAAUUUCCAUUAAAGGAGGGCAUGGAACACUUUCCUAGAAAGAAAAUAAGAAUGCCCUAUGAAUCCAUUAUGAGAGCUACUUAUGGUUUGAGCACUAAAGAUGAUGAUACUUGAUUCUAUUGCCUUAUGCCUAGCUAAGGGCGUUAAACGAUAUCGUUUGUUGGGAGGCAACCCAAUGAAUAAAUUUAUUUUUUCUUUUCACUUUCUGUUUUGUUGAGUCCACACCAUCAUUAUUCUGUUAUGAUUGUGUUUUUUAUGUUUCAAUUAGUGUUUGUGCCAAGUAGAACCUUUAUGAUUAGUUUUGGUGAUAGUUGUUUAAUCAUGCUAAAAAAGACAGAAACUUUGUGCUCAUGAAAUUAUUUUUAGUUCCUAUCAAUAAAAAGCUUUGGAGUUGAUUAUUUUGCUGCUGAUUUACAUGCAAAUUUCCCUAAUUGACAUAAUUUCACAGAAUUUUUGGGAUAGCAGAGGUAUACGAAAUAUACAGAUUGCCUCAGAUUGUUCUGUUUUUGACAGAUUUUGUUUUUGUUGUGUUGAUUACUUAUUUUUAUGAAACUAUGGUUAGUAUCGGGGGGUACGAGCCAUGGAAAAGUGAGAAUACAGUAAUAUAACACCAAUCUAAAUGGAAAUCAAGUUUACUAUAGUACCUAAAAAGUUGGUGGUUUGUUUUCUUAUGCUAAUGAUAUCACGAGUUUCUGUUUAAGUUUUGUGUAGUCAAGUUUUCAAGUUUUGGGUGAUGUUCUUAUGGACAAUGGAAUAAAGAGUGGAAAGAGCCUAAGCUUGGGUAUGCCCAAGUCAUCCCAAGUUCAAUUCAAGGACACCAAAAAGUCUAAGCUUGGGGAUGCCCCGGGAAGGCAUCCCCUCUUUCGUCUUCAAUCCAUCAGUAACGUUACAUGGAGCUAUAUUUUUAUUCACCACAUGAUAUGUGUUUUGCUUGGAGCAUCGUGUAUUAUAGGAUUCUUUGCUUUUUGUUUUAUCACUAUCAUCCUUGAUGCACACCUUUUUUAGAGGGACAUGCACUCAUCGUGAAUUUGUUAGAAUGCUCAAUGAGCUUCACUUAUAUCUUUUGAGCUAGGCAAUUUAGCUCCCAUGAGCUUCACUUAUAUCUUUUGAGCUAGAUAAUUUUGCUCCCAUGAGCUUCACUUAUAUCUUUUGAGCUAGAUAAUUUUGCUCCCAUGAGCUUCACUUAUAUAUUUUGAGCUAGAUAAUUUUUCUCUAGUGCUUCAUUUAAAUCUUUUUAGAGCACGGCGGUGUCAUAUUUUGUAGAAACAAAAACUCUCGAUCUUCACUUAUAUCAUUUUUAGAGUGCUCUCUCUAAGUAACUUGGUAAUUGGCGUGUGUUAUGAAACUAGUCCUAAAUAUGAUAGGCAUCCAAAGAGGAUAUAAUAAAAACUUUCAUAUUCAAGUGCAUUGAUUAGUAAGAGAAUUUUGAUUCCUCACAAUUAGUUUUGAGAUAUGGCUAUGGUAAUAUUAGAGUCAUAUUAGUAGGGUGUUGUGAAUCGAGAAAUACUUGUGUUGAGGUUAGUGAUUCCCGUAGCAUGCAUGUAUGGUGAACCGCUAUGUUAGGAAGUCGGAGCACAAUUGAUUUAUUGAUUGUCAUCCUUUGUGUGGCGGUCGGGAUCGCGCGAUGGUUAACACCUACCAACCCUUCCCCUAGGAGUGUGCGUUUAGCACUUUGUUUUGAUUACUAAUAAAACUUUCGCAAUAAGUAUAUGAGUUCUUCAUGACUAAUGUGAGUCCAUGGUAUAGAUGCAGUUUCACCUUCCACCAUUGCUAGCUUGUCUAGUAUCGCGCAACUUUCGCCGGUGCACAAACCAACCAUAUACCUUCCUCAAAACAGCCACCAUACCUACCUAUUAUGGCAUUUUCAUAGCCAUUCCGAGAUAUAUUGCCAUGCAACUUCCACCGUUCCGUCUAAUGACAUGUGCCGUCAUUUUCAUUUUGCCAUUGCAUGAUCGUAAGAUAGCUAGCGAUAUGUUUCAAUGUCAUAUGCUAAGCUAGAUCGUUGCACAUCCCGGUACAUUGCCGGAGGCAUUUCACAUGGAGUCAUCAUUGCUCUAAGUAUCGAGUUGUAAGUAAAUAAAAGUGUGAUGAUCAUCAUUAUUAGAGCAUUGUCCCAUGUGAGAAACUAAAAUAAAAGAGGCCAAAGUGCCCACCAAAAAAAAUGAAAUGAAAAAAAAAGAGGCAAGAGAGCCCAAACAAAAAAUGAUGAGAGAAAAAGAGAGAAGGGACAAUGCUACUAUCUUUUUCCACACUUGUGCUUCAAAAUAGUAUCGUGUUCUUCAUGAUAGAGAGUCUCUUGUUUUUUCACUUUCAUAUACUAGUGGUAAUUUUCAUUAUAUAACUUGGCUUGUAUAUUCCAAUGAUGGGCUUCCUCAAAAUUGCCCUAGGUCCUCGUGAGCAAGCAAGUUGGGUGCACACCAACUAGUUUUAUUUUUGAGCUUUCAUACACUUAUAGCUCUAGUGCAUCCUUUGCAUGGCAAUCCCUACUCAUUCACAUUGAUAUCUAUUUAUGGGUAUCUCCAUAGCCCAUUGAUACACCGAGUCAAUGUGACCAUCUCCUCCUUUUUUCCUCACAACCUUCACCACACUCUAUUUUACCUAUAGUGCUAUAUCCAUGGCUCACGCUCAUGUAUUGCGUGAGAGUUGAAAAAGUUUGAGAAAGUAGGAGUGCGAAAACAAUUACUUGGCCAAUACCGGGGUUGUGCACGAUUCAAAUUCGUUGCGUGGAGAUGAUGGAGCAUAGCCAGACUAUAUGAUUUUGUAGGGAUAACUUUCUUUGGCCUUGUUAUUUCAAAAGUUCAUGAUUACUUUGCUAGUAUGCUUGAAGUAUUAUUGUUUUCAUGUCAAUUUUAAAAUAUUGUUUUGAAUCUUAUGGAUCUGAGAAUCAUGCCACAAUAAAUAAGUUACAAAUAACAAAUAUGUUAAGUAGCAUUCCACAUCAAAAAAUCGGUCUUUAUCACUUCCCUACUCGAGGACGAGCAGGAGUUAAGCUUGGGGAUGCUUGAUACGUCUCUAACGUAUCUAUAAUUUUUGAUUGUUCCAUGCUAUUAUAUUAUCAACUUGGGAUGUCUUAUAUGCAUUUAUAUGCCAUUUUAUAUCAUUUUUGGGACUAACCUAUUAACUCAGUGCCUAGUGUCAGUUUCUGUUUUUUUCGUGUUUUUGACUUUUUUCAGAAAAAGAAUAUUAAACGGAGUCCAAAGGGAAUAAAACCCGCAGGAUGAUUUUUUCCAUAACAGAAGAUACCCAGAAGACUUGAGAACCAAGGCAGGAGGUCUCGUGGGAGGUCACGAGCCCCAUAGGCGCGCCCUAGGGGGGCGCCUAGCAGGAUCGUGGGCCCCCCUUGCCCCCUCUGCCCUACUUAUUUCGCCUACAAAUUCUCAAAAAAUGUGAAACCUAAAGAGAGAGCCACGAAAAUACUUUUCCGCCGCCGCAAGCUUCUGUCUCCGCGAGAUCCCAUCUGGGGACCGUUCUGUUGCCCUGCCGGAGGGGGAUUCAGACACGGAGGGCUUCUUCAUCAACACCAUUGCCUCUCCGAUGAUGCGUGAGUAGUUCACCAUAGACCUUCGGGUCCAUAGCUAGUAGCUAGAUGGCUUAUUCUCUCUCUUGGAUCUUCAAUACAAAGUCCUCCAUGAUCUUCAUGGAGAUCUAUCCGAUGUAACUUUCUUUUGCGGUGUGUUUGUCGAGAUCCGAUGAACUGUGGAUUUAUGAUCAGAUUAUCUAUGAAUAUUAUCUGAGUCUCCUCUGAUUUCUUAAAUGCAUGAUUUUGUAUCCUUGUAAUUCUCUUCGAGUUAUGGGUUUCGUUUGGCCAACUUGAUCUAUAAUUCUUGCAAUGGGAGAAGUGCUUGGUUUUGGGUUCAUAUCAUGCGGUGACAGAAGGGGUAGCGAGGCACACAUCAUGUUGUUGCCAUCAAGGGUAAAAAGAUGGGGUUUAUAUCAUAUUGCAUAAAUUUAUCCCUCUACUUCAUGUCAUCUUGCUUAAGGCGUUACUCCGUUUGUUAUGAACUUAAUAUACUAGAUGCAUGCUGGAUAGCGGUCGAUGUCUGGAGUAAUAGUAGUAGAUGCAGACAGUAUCGGUCUACUUGUCUCGGAUGUAAUGCCUAUAUGUAUGAUCAUUGCCUUAGAUAUCGUCAUGACUUUGCGCGAUUCUAUCAGUUGCUCGACAGUAAUUCAUUCACCCACCGUAAUACUUGCUAUCAUGAGAGAAGCCUCUAGUGAACACUAUGGCCCCCGGGUCUAUUUUACACAUCAUAUAUUCAGAUCUACAUACAAAAAUACCAAAAAUACCUUGCUGCCUUUUAUUUAUAUUUACCUUUCAUCACUAUCAGAUCUCACCUUGCAAGUAAUCGUGAAGGGAUUGACAACCCUUUAUUGCGUCGGGUGCAAGUUUGUUUGUUUUUGUGCAGGUUCAUUGGUGCCUCAUCUUGAUACUCCUACUGGAUUGAUACCUUGGUUCUCAAACUGAGGGAAAUACUUAUCUGUACUUUGCUGCAUCACCCUUUCCUCUUCAAGGGAAAAACCAACGCAAGCUGAAGAAGUAGCAACCAGGUCUGCGUUUCGGCAAGGCAUUCCCGGAACCUGGCCUCUGCCUCAACAAGGAGAGCUUCCCCUCAGUCUAGCUUCUCCAAGUGGUUGACGUAGUGCCCGUGUAGUUCCUUGAAGUUUGUUCUCAUGGAGGACAAAAUGGUGUGCUCCUUAGCUUCAUCAUUUCCACCGAAGGGAUUGACUGACACCACUCUUACGACUGUGGCAGGUGCAUCGUCAAGAACUCCUUCUUUGGAGAAGGCCUUGAGGAUUGCAUCACCGAGGAAGCUGAUGAACUGCAUAUCGCCGACCUUGAGGUACCGAAUUGGUGGUGCCGUCUGUGAUGUCGAUGGGACGGCACCAGCUCCGCUAGCAGCCCCCGUGACGACGACCAUGCCUGUUCCUAGCGCUUCUGAGGCAGAAGUGCCCUCAGUAUAUCCCGCCACCUCCACAGAUGGCUCUUCGGCGGUUUUAUUGCCGUCUUCCUUGGCGGCCCUGCAGGCAGCCUCACCCUGUGUUGCCACCCGGCUUGCCUCUUCGGCCUUGUCCAUGGCGAUCUCCCCAGCGCUGGCAUCAAUAUUCAGAUCCUCUGGCGGGGGCAUAUCUGCAUUCCCAAGGAAGGAAAGAAGAUUGAACUUAGAAGAAAUUCAAGAAGACAAAAAAGAGGAAAGCAGAACAUAAGUUUUGCCAACAAGGGACUUAGCCAUGGGCUCCUGUUGAGGAGGAAUAUCUCCUCCUUCGACAACAUAUGUUGUCGUCGCAUGACUACCGACAGUACCGCCUACGAGUGUGUUUUAAGUGCGGAUGGGCUUGUUAGUAGAAGUCCUUGCCAGAGAGCUCCUCUCUCGAGUUGAGCGCUCGUGAGCUACUUGUAGGGACUCCAUAUCAAUUUGCACGGGGGUGUAGGUAGUGGUGCCAGCGUCCAGAUCAGUACUCUCCAUCAGGUACUGGGGAGGGGUCUCCCGUUGGGGGCUGGUAGAAAGACUGAUGACGAUGACUUCCUGCUCCAGCAGGGAGCUUGUCGUGCUCUCUGUGGUGGGAGUAGGUUUCAACCUCUUGGCCAUCCACUGUGCCAAGGCCUCCUCAUCCCCGCAAAAGCAACAAUAACAAGAUUUAGUAAAAAUCAAUACACAAGUGAAGAUCAACACAAUUGCAAGGACAAGCGCUUACUCUUCCUCCUCCUCUGACAAGCUAAAGGUAGACAAGUCCCGCAUUCCCUUAUGGCGAGCGACAGGACAGGGUGGCGGGGUAGGGGUUCUGGAGCAUGUCGCUGGGUCGGCGGAGCUCGAGGAUCCAGCCACCUUGGAAGAAGCACUUGCUACACACUUCACAACAGCCAGCCUCGUCCUCCGCGUGCAAGAGACGUUGGCGGUCGGGUCCUCCUCCUCUUCUUAUUUAGAUUGUGGUGGCGAAGAAGGGAAAACUUGUUCCUUGGUGGCGACCUUGCGGAGGACACAUGAAAGGAUUGAUAUGGUUGACUAGAGGGGGUGAAUAGGCAACUAACAAAUUUUGAAGUUUUUUUAAACAAAUUAGGUUUAGCAACAAAUAGGUUGACUAGAUAUGCAACUAAGUGAGCGACAUAUAUGAUGCUCACAACAACAAUAAUAAGCAAGAACUAAAUACAAGUAAAGGUAAGUAAUAACCACAAGUGGAACCGAUGAAGACGAGGAUGUGUUUCCAAAGCCCUUCCCUUUGAGGGGAAGUACGUCUCCGUUGGAGCGGUGUGGAGGCGCAAUGCUCCCCAAGAUGCCACUAAGGCCACUGUAUUCACCUCACGCCCUCACACAAUGUGAGGUGUCAUGAUUCCACUAAAUGGUGCCCUUGAAGGCGGCGACCGAACCUUUACAAACAAGGUUGGGGCAAUCUCCACAAAUUAAUUGGAGGCUCCCAACAAGACCACGAAGCUUCACCACAAUGGAAUAUGGCUUCAAGGUGACCUCAACCGUAUAGGGUUCUCAAACACCCAAGAGUUACAAGAUCGUAAGGGAUUAGUGGGGGAAUCAAAUUUCUCUUGGUGGAAGUGUAGAUCUAGGCCCUCCGAGUUUUGUUGGCUAGGGAGAGAGAUCAGGCUAAAAUGGAGCUCGGAGCAACAAUGGAGCUUUGGGGGGAAAAUAUUAGUAUCCACGGGGAAGAAGACCCACUUAUAUAGUGGAGGGACAAUCUGUCUGUUUUCUGCCCAAAAACUGUGCAGGAGUGGUAGUACCGCUUGGAGGAGUGGUACUUCCGCUUGCAUGAAAGAAUCAGGUCGGACAGUCAAACAGAUAGAAGAAGAGGAGCGAAAGUUUUGCUCGAGCGGUACUACCGCUCCGGUCAGCGGUACUACCACUCAGCAUAUAUAGGGAAGAAACAGAGCAGAAGUACCGCUUAGGGUGAUACUACACUACAAACUUCCGCUAAAAAACAAUUGCUAAACAGAAUCGAAAUAUCGGGAAAGUUAAGCAGAAGUUGGGACGGAUGUAGGGAGCGGCAGUACCGCGCAAGAGGUACUACCGCCCGACUCCGAGCGGCACUUCCACUUACUAAACAACAAGAUGAUAUCUCCAAAGAGAUGAGAAGGAAAGGCGGUGACGGAUGUGUACUGAAUGAUUCUCCCAACUUCUGCAAAUGUGUACCCCCUCUUGAUAGUACAGACUAUCCUACGACUCGGGUCCACCAACACUAAAUCAUACGAAGCACUCCAUCUUCUCGUUUAACAUCCGAGGGGAAGAAUAACUGUCUUGUGCCAUGUGGUAACCUCUGAAAGCUCAAAGCACAUGAUUAGUCCGCAAAGGUGUUGUCAUCAACCAUCAAAACAACUUAGGGAAGAUUAUGCUCUUACAUUCUCCCCCUUCUUGGUGGGUUGAUGACAAUACCAAAUUUGCCACAAGAAUGUAAGAGAAAGGUUAGGAAAACCCAAUACCUACAAAAUAUAGACGGGCUCCUGAUACGUCCAUUUUACAUCAUGCUUUCAUGUUGAUAUUUAUUGCUUUUUGGGCUGUUAUAUUACUUGUGGUACCAUAUUUAUGCCUUUUCUCUCUUAUUUUGCAAGGUUUAUUUGAAGAGGGAGAAUUCAGGCAGCUGGAAUUCUGGACUGGAAAAGGAGCAAAUCCUAGUCCACUAUUCUGCACAUCUCCAAAUGCCCUGAAAACUUACGUGGAUUUUUCUGGAAUAUAUUAAAAAUAUUGGGCGAAAGAACUACCAGAGGGGGGCCACCAGGGCCCCACAAGCCCCCACUCUGCCACCACCCCCCUAGUGGCGGUGGGCAAGCUUGUGGCCUGCCUGAAGGCCCACUAGCCCCCCUCUUUUUCUAUAUGAAACGUCCUGAUCUGGAAAAAAUCAGGAGGGAGCUUUUUCGUGGUUUCGCCGGCGCCACGAGGCGGAACUUCAGCAGAUCCAAUCUAGAGCUCCGGCAGGACGAUCCUGCCGGGGAAACUUCCCUCCCAGAGGGGGAAAUCGUCUCCAUCGUCAUCACCAAAACUCCUCUCGUCGGAGGGGGGCAUCUUCAUCAACAUCUUCAUCAGCACCACUUCCUAUCCAAUCCCUAGUUCAUCUCUUGUAAUCAAUCUCCGUCUCACGACUCUGAUUAGUACUUAUAAGGUUGCUAGUAGUGUUGAUUACUCUUUGUAGUUGAUGCUAGUUGGAUUACUUGGUGGAAGAGUUUAUGUUCAGAUCCUUGAUGCUAUUCAUUACACCUCUAAUCAUGAUUAUGAUUAUGUCUUGUGAGUAGUUACUUUUGUUCCUGAGGACAUGGGAUAAGUCAUGCUGAUAAUAGUCAUGUGAAUUUGAUAUUCGUUCGGUAUUUUGAUAUGAUGUUGUUGUCUUUUCCUCUAGUGGUGUUAUGUGAACGUCGACUACAUAACACUUCACCAUAUUUGGGCCUAGAGGAAGGCAUUGGGAAGUAGUAAGUAGAUGAUGGGUUGCUCGAGUGACAGAAGCUUGAACCCCAGUCUAUGGUUGCUUCGUGAGGGGCUGAUUUGGAUCCACUAGUUUAAUGCUAUGGUUAGACUUUGUCUUAAUUUUUCUUUUGUAGUUGCGGAUGCUUGAGAGAGAGGUUAAUCAUAAGUGGGAUGCUUGUCCAAGUAAGGGCAGUACCCAAGCGCCGGUCCACCCACAUAUCAAACUAUCAAAGUAACGAACGCGAAUCAUAUGAACAUGAUGAAACUAGCAUGACAGAAAUUCCCGUGUGUCCUCGCGAGCGUUUUUCCUCCUAUAGGACUUUGUUCAGGCUUGUCCCUUGCUACAAAAGGGAUUGGGCCACUUGCUGCACCGUUGCUACUACUUGUUACUUGUUACUCUUUGCUUGCUAUGUUUCACCUCGCUACACAAUCACUUGUUACCGCUACUUUCAGUGCUUGCAGUUAUUACCUUGCUGAAAUCCGUUUAUUAGAGUCUUCUGCUCCUCGUUGGGUUCGACACUCUUACUUAUCGAAAGGACUACGAUUGAUCCCCUAUACUUGUGGGUCAUCAGCUCCCCCUUGAUGUGUACUCUAUUUGAAAGCUUUUGGAAUGCAAAUAGAACACACUAGGAUCAACACCCCCCCUAUAUUUUAUAGACAAGGCUAUAUACUUGCGUGAGCAGAAGAAGAGUAAAACAAGUAAGAAAGCAUAUGAAACACGGGAUCUCACAACAUAGAGAUAAUAUACAUAAUAGGAUAGGCAUGGUAGCGUAUUUCUUACACCAUACAUAAGUUCACACGAGUCUUGGACAAACAUAAACCAAAGUUCACGAGGAAGAGAAAACACGUGCAAAUAAACACACUCGUAACUCAGCAAGGCAAAUCCCUAACUCUCCCCCUUUGGCAUUGAGACACCAAAAGGGACAAAGAGAACGAAAAGCGAGAGAAGGUGAUGACAAGCCCAAAGAGAUUAGUCUUCCUCAUCAUCAUCCUCUUCAUCAGUGGCAGCAGGAACAUCCUCAUCUAACUCAGCCCACGGAAAAUUCUUCUUGACCCAUUCCUCCUCAUCAAUAAUCAGGUCCUCAGACCCACAAUCAAUAGGCAGACCCAUCUUCCUCAUGAUGAUCUUGUCACGAGUGCGAGCUUUCUUGGAGUCCACAUGAGCCUUAUACUGCCCUUUGACUUGAAAGCACAGAAGGUUCUGCAACUUCAUCUUGAUCUUGGCUGUCCAAGAUGGAACGUGCUCAGAAGAAGGAGCAUAAGUUUCAUCAAUGUAGUCCGGCUCAGGCUCAUCAUCAGAGUCGGUGGCAGCAAUUUCUGUACCCGAGGGUGGACUGUCCCAGUUUUCCUUCAAACGGAGUUUAAGGACACCAUGAGACACCAUAUGAUCAGCCACCAUGAGCUCAUCAGGAAACGUAGCAGCCCAGGUAUCCUCAGUGAUCUUGAACAGAUAUGGCACAUAGAUGGGCACUUUCUUGCCAAGAACCGCAAUCCGAAGCUCAAUCCACAUGAUGUGGGAAACAUCCAAAGAAGAAUCACGACCUUUCUCUUUGAUGCACAUAAGCAGAAGAUUCACAAGAUAGGAGUGAACCUGAUCCUCGUUACCAACCCUAGGAAACAGGGUAUUGCGGAAGAUGCGAUGCAUAAUAACCAAAAAACAAACAAGCUUAGUGUGAGUACCCUUGGCAGCCUGGACAACCUUGGAAUAUAGAAUCAUCAUGUUCUUGUGAAUGGGCCUCUCCUCGGUGUGUGGCCUCAGCCCAAUAGGCUCAUUCAGUCCACGAUCUUCAUAGCCCAAAGAGAGCAUGAAUGUUUUCCAUUCGAAGUGAAGAACACUGCCGCCAGUCAUCCAAGUCAAGCGGCGUUUCUCAUGAGCGUGAAAGUGAACGGUCUCAUAAAAUUGAACCACAACUUUGCAAUCGAAAUCCUUGUAGAAGCUGAUGAUUUGAUCGAGACCCCAUUGAGUACACAGAGCCCGGGCCUCAGCAAAGUAGGCAGUGUGGGAAUUGUUGCCCAUAUGCCGUGUGUCGAUGGACGUGACAUCAGGCACGAACAGGUCGGUUUUGUUCUUCAGAAUCCCUUUAAGGAUGAUAGAUUGCUCUUUGGUCCAGAAGGGACGACCAACCAUGUUCCCGUCCUGAGGAAGAUGGCAUGGGUUACGCUUGCAAAAUUCCACAAAUUCAGCAUUGGUCAUCUCAUCAGGGCCUGUGGGAGCCUUUGUCUUGCGAACAACCCGCUUCACCUGUUGCUCAGGUUGCUGAAAGGAUCGAUAUGGUUGACUAGAGGGGGGGGUGAAUAUGCAACGACCACUUUUUAAUUAAUCUUAGCAAGUUAGGGUAAACAACAUACUGGUUCACAAAUAUAACAACAAUGGGGGUGAACCGUAAUGAAGCUAACAACGAGAGCUGCUAAGACAAGUAAGAGAUAGACAACAACAUAAGCAUACACAAAGUAAAGGUUAGAGAUAACCACAAGUGGAACCAAUGAAUACGAGGAUGUGUUACCGAAUUUCCUUCUCUUUGACAGGAAGUACGUCUCCGUUGGAGCGGUGUGGAGGCACAAUGCUCCCCAAUAAGCCACUAAGGCCACCGUAUUCUCCUCACGCCCUCGCACGAUGCAAGGUAUCGUGAUUCCACUAUAGGUGCCCUUGAAGGCGGCGACCGAACCUUUACAAACUAGGUUGGGGCAAACUCCACACAAAGCUAGGAGGCUCCCAACAAGACCACGAAGCUUCACCACAAUGGAAUGUGGCUUCGAGGUGACCUCAACCGUCUAGGAUGCUCAAACACCCAAGAGUAACAAGAUCCGCAAGGGAUUAGUGGGGGAAUCAACUUUUCUCUUGGUGGAAGUGUAGAUCUAGGCCUUCUCAACCAAUCCCUAAAGAAUCAACAAGUUUGAUUGGCUAGGGAGAGAGAUCGGGCACUUUUGAGCUUAGGGAGCAACAAUGGAGCUUGGGAGGGUAAGAGAUAAGGUUCCACAGCUAGAAGAACCCUUUAUAUAGUGGGGGGGGAAUCCAACCGUUUUCCCACUCACAGCCCGUGCCUAGCGGUACUACCGUUGGGCCCAUGGUAGUGCAUAGGCACUACCACCGCCAAGAAAGUCUUCGCAAAAAGGUCCAUCCAAGUACUACCGUUAGGAAGGCGGUACUAAGCACCUAGAGCGGUACUACCGCUGACCAGGGACGGUACUACCGCCAGCUAGCGGUACUACCGAUGGCUGCAGCGGUACUACCGCUAGGCCCAUCGGUACUACCCCUGGGGGACCAUUUGCAAAGAAGAGAUAAACACAAAGGCGGGAGCCACUCCAAAGUUGUCGGCAAGGGGGAAAAGAGGUGUAGUGUGCGCGUGCAAGAUUGAUUCCACCCAACCCUUUCCACUACGGUUCCCCUCUUAAUAGUACGGCUUUCCUAUGACUCAAAUAAAGAGAAUCGUAGAGAACACCGUGCUUCUGUUCCAUAAAAGAGGGGGCGAGUCGUCUUGUGUCGUUGACGUGUGUUAUCUGAAAUCUUAACACACACGGUUAGUCCUUUGUGGUACUGUCAUCAAUCACCAAAAUUACUUAGGCAUAAACUAUGCCCUAACAAUCUCCCCCUUUUUGGUGGAUUGAUGACAAUACCGGAUUUGCACAGUGAAUAAUAUGUGAACAAAAAGAUAGAGAUAUAUGGAAAUAAGGAGCAUAUGACUCACAGCAUAUGAUGGAAAUAAAUCUCACACUAGUUUAUGUCUCACGUCACACAAAGCAAAGAUAGCAAACUCGAAGCAAACCAAGUUCGAAGCAAACACGAUAGAUAAGCAAAGCUAAGCAAAAGUUCAACUCUCAAAUCAAAUUCAGCUCCUAGACUUUCUCCCCCUUUGGCACAAGACACCAAAAAGGGGCACACCUAACGCCACAGGUGGUCACUCCUCAUCCUCAUCAUCCCCAGACUCGUCCGUAGCAUCCGGAUCGUCCUGCUCCUCUUUAUUGUCCUCCUCGUCCUCUGCAUCAGACCACUUGUAACCUUGAGCCCGCAUCCAAGCAGACUCUGGAGUGACGUCGUCCUCUGAUCCGCUGGAGAUGUCAAUGUCAAGUGUCCUCAGGACACGCUUGUGCCUCUGACGGUUCUCCUUCUGGGCCAUGUGCGUCUGAUACUGUCCCUUAGCCUGGAUAAAGAAGAGAGUCUUCAUCUUAUCAUGCAGUUUCACGGCCCAAGAUGGCAUGGCAGAAGAGCGGGACUCAGAAGCGGUACCUCUGCCAACAGCAGUCUCUGUGUCAGUGUCCAUAUGCUGGGAUGAAGUUGAUGGGUUGGCCCAUUUGUCCUUGACGAAGCUUGAUAGGAUCGUGCACAAAGUAGUCAGCCUGAAUGUUGAACUCCUCAAGCGGAUAGGUGUCUUGCCACUUCUGACGGAUAUAAGCAAACAAGUAGGGCCCGCUGUGGUCCUGGCGGUAGUACCGCUGGUUGCAGUGGUAGUACCGCUGGGGUCCUGGCGGUAGUACCGCUACCCCUGGCGGUAGUACCGUUGGGGUCCUGGCGGUAGUACCACUGCAAAUGUCACAACGGGACCUAGGAGAUGAGAAGAACGUGGGCAAAUGACAAGUUAGUGAAAAUAAGAAGAUAGCACCAGCAAGAUAUACUGACUUGUCAUUUUGUAACCUUUCUUCCAUAUGAGAGAAAGGUGGGGGGGCGGUGGCCGAGGCCACCUAUGUUUGAGACAAAGGUAUGACACCGCGAAGAAUUAUCCUUGGGUUCAUGACCAACGCUAGUCUUUGAAGCACAAGUGCCAUUUGGCAAUGGCUAAAGUGAAAGACUAGAUCGAUUUAUGCAUAAUGGGGGGAGGAAGAGUUCAUUGAGAGAACAACACUCCCCCUAUGUCCAUGCCUACAUCUAGAACAAGAUAGAAUGCAUAGUAAGGUGCAACGUGCCUAGCUUCAAUCCACAUUACUUGAAUCAAUGAUAUUUAGCUCAUGCCUUAACUCCUGGAACCUUGCUUCAUCUAGGGGCUUAGUGAAAAUAUCUGCAAGUUGCUCUUCAGUGUGGAUGAAGUGAACCUCAAUAUCACCUAGCUUGAUAUGUUCACGAAUGAAGUGAUGGCGAAUAUCAAUAUGCUUGGUUUUGCUAUGUUGCACUGGGUUGAGGGAAAUCUUGAUAGCACUUUGAUUGUCACAUAUAAGAGGCACUUUGUCAUAAGUGACACCGUAAUCCUUUAAGGUUUGCCUCAUCCAUAGCAAUUGUGCACAACAACUUGCAGCUGCCACAUACUCAGCUUGGGUGGAUGAUACAGAGACACAAUUCUGCUUCUUUGAAGACCAACUUACCAGUGAGCGACCAAGGAAUUGGCAUCCUCAAGAAGUUGACUUCCUCUCCACACAAUCUCCUGCCCAAUCUGAGUCAGAAUAGCCCACUAGGUUGAAGUUUGCUCCUUUGGGAUACCAUAGGCCAAAGUUUGGGGUAUGAGCCAAAUAUCGAAAGAUUCGUUUAACAGCCAUAUAAUGACUUUCUUUGGGUGCGGAUUGAAACCGUGCACAUAUCCCUACACUCAACAUAAUAUCCGGUCUAGAUGCACAAAGGUAAAGGAGGGAUCCAAUCAUGGAGCGAUAUACCUUUUGAUCCACUCCUUUACCGUUGGGAUCACUGUCAAGCUUGCAUCUUGUUGGCAUGGGAAACUUGACCAGCUUGACAUCCUCUAGGUCGAACCUCUUGAGCAUGUCUUGAGUGUACUUGGCUUGUUUGAUGAAAGUCCCUUCUAAGCCUUGUUUAAUCUCGAAUCCGAGGAAGAACUUCAACUCACCCAUCAUAGACAUCUCAAAUUUCUCGGUCAUUAGUGCAGCAAAUUCUUCAUUGAAAGAAUCGUUAGGAGAACCAAAAAUGAUAUCAUCAACAUAUAGUUGGCAUAUGAACAAAUCCCCUUUAACCCUCUUAGUAAAAAGAGUGGGAUAUAUCUUCCCAAUUUCAAACCCACGAUCUUGUAACAACUCAGUAAGGUACUCAUACCACGCACGUGGGGCUUGUUUAAGGCCAUAGAGUGCCUUAUUAAGUUUGUACACAUGAUUGGGGAGCUUGGGAUAUUCGAAUCCCGGGGGUUGUUUGACAUAGACCAAGUCAUUUAAAGGACCAUUAAGAAAAGAACUUUUCACAUCCAUUUGUUGUAAUUUGAAAUUAUGAUGAGAAGCAAAUGCAAUCAGCAUGCGAAUAGAUUCUAGACGAGCAACAUGGGCAAAGGUUUCACCGUAGUCGAUACCCUCGACUUGGGAGUAGCCUUGGGCCACCAAUCUUGCCUUGUUUCGAAUCACAAUCCCAUUGGCAUCUUGCUUGUUUUUGAAAAUCCAUUUGGUCCCGAUGACAUUAUGUUCCUCCGUUGGCCUUGGCACUAAAUCCCAGACUUGGUUACGCUCGAAGUUGUUAAGUUCUUCAUGCAUGGCCAUGAGCCAAUCCUCAUCAUCGAGCGCUUCCUGUACCUGUUGAGGUUCACAAUACGAAACUAACGCGUGAUGCUCACAAUAAUUCCAAAUCUGUUGACGGGUGGAUACUCCCCUUUUUAAACUGCCAAGUACAUUCUUCAUAAGAUGUGACUUGACUCUGAGCUUGUUCGCAAUCUUGGCUGCUCGACGCUCCAAGAGUUCUUCAUUGGAUAACUGGGGAGCAUCGACUUGUUUACUUUGCUUGCCCUUGCGUCUUGAGCCUCCCUUGGCACCGGCUGUUGGUGCUGUAGAAGGAAAUUGUGAGACAGUAUCCUAAUCAUCUUGACUUUCGACUUGAGCAGGUUCACUUGUUUGUUAUUGUAUUAGUGGUUGCUCUUGAUCUUGAUCUUGUGCUUCUACUUGGUCUGGAUCUCGCGGUUGCACUUGAUCUUGAUCAUGAGCAGGUUCAGAGCCUUGGGUGAGUGCUUGGAUAUCAUGGGACACAUCAUCAUUGUUGGGCAAUUUAUCUUGACCUUGAGCUUGUUCAUUUUGUUGAGAGUCUUCUCUUUGUUCAUCGGAAGCGUGUGGGGCUUGUGGAGAUGAUAGCUCCAUUUGAGUAGAGCAUUGUUCUUCUCCUUCGGCCACAAGGGGUUCCUCAAUGGGGAGUAUUUGACCAAUCCCCAUUCUUCUUAUGGCUUGGGGAGGAAUUUCAUCACCUACAUCACAAAGACCACUUUGCUCCACUUGGGAGCCAUUAUUUUCAUCAAACUCCACGUUACACGUCUCCUCAAUGACUCCGGUGGACUUGUUGAGGACACGGUAAGCAUGAGAGUUUGUAGCAUAACCAACAAAGAUGCCUUCAUGUGCUCUAGAAUCAAAUUUAGCUAAACGUGCACCUUUCUUGAGAAUGAAACACUUACAACCGAAUAGCCGGAAGUACUUGAGAUUGGGUUUGUUUCUAGUUAGAAUCUCAUAUGGAAUCUUGUUCAAGCCUUUGCGAAUAUAGAGCCGAUUGGACGCAUGACAUGCUGUGUAGAUGGCCUCUGCCCAAAAGUUAUAUGGAGAUUUGAAUUCCGCCAUCAUUGUUCUUGCAGCGUCUAUCAAGGUCCGGUUCUUCCUUUCUACCACGCCGUUUUGUUGAGGGGUAUAUGGUGCUUAAUAUUGAUGUUUUAUUCCCUCAUCACCUAGAAACUCAUCCAAGGUGUAGUUCUUGAACUCGGUGCCGUUGUCACUUCUAAUCGUCAAGAUCUUUGCUUCAUGUUGACGUUGAGCUUCAUUAGCAAAGUUGAUGACAGUUUGUUGAGUUUCACUCUUCCUUUUGAAGAAAUAUACCCAGGUGUAUCUUGAGUAGUCGUCAACAAUCACCAAGCAGUACUUUCUGCCUCCAAGACUAUCAAAUGAUGGAGGGCCAAACAGAUCCAUAUGGAGGAGCUCCAAUGGCCUCUUAGUGUAGAUGAGAGUCGUUGGACGAUGAGCAGUUUCAUGAAUCUUUCCUUCAAUGCAGGCACUGCAAACACGAUCUUUAGCAAAGCUCACAUUUGUUAGUCCACGAAUAUGGUCCCCUGUUAGAAGACUUUGCAAAGAUCUCAUAAUGACAUGAGCUAAACUACGAUGCCAAAGCCAGCCCACAUCAACUUUAGCCAUUAAACACGUCGCGGUCUUAGUGGGUCGCUUUGAGAAGUUCACCACAUAAAGACCAUUUUUGACGUAUCCAGCAUAGGCUACUUUAAGAGUCUUGCUCCACAGAAGGACCACAGUAUCAAGAUUAAAGAAUGUGGAAAAACCCAUAAUUGCAAGUUGACGAACCGAAAGUAAAUUGUAGGCAAGUGACUCAACAAGCAUGACCUUCUCAAUAGAUAACUCUUGAGAGACGACCACCUUACCAAAUCCCAAUACCUUUGACGAGGAUGCAUCGGUGAAUUGUACAUGGGUGGGCGUAGAUGGAGAAGGAUGCACAUCCACCACUAAGUCCUUGCUUCCGGUCAUAUGAUUUGUUGCUCCACUAUCGAGCAACCAUGACACCCCACCGGAAGAAAACUCCUACAAUAGAUCAAGGCUUGGUUUUAGGUACCCAUUUUUUAAUGGGUCCUUUCAUGUUAGAUACAAGGGUAUUAGGAACCCAGAUAGCCCAUUCAAUGUACUCAUCGUAGGAACCAACAAAUCUGGCAUAAACAUGCCUAUCACUAGCACGACAUAAGACAUAAGAAGAAUUGAGUUUGUCGGCUUUGUUAGUAGGAACGGUUUUGCCCUUCUUGAGAUUUCCAUAGUCCACGUUGUUCCUGUUCACCUUCUGAGUCCCCUCACCCUCUUUGACAAAGAUGUCCAUGAGGGCAGGAGAUCGUUUGUUCCUGUUCCUCCUUUUACCUUUUGACUUGGAGGUAAGUCCAAGUCCCUCCUUUCCUACAACACCUUUUUGAGUGCUCAAGAAGUCGUUCAGGCUCUUCUCAACUUGUAUGCAUGCCACAAGGCCCUUCUCAAGUUUCUCCUUUAACUUGGCAUUUUCCUCCACAAGAUGUACAUGCUCACAACAGGGAUUAGUUGCACAAGCAUUAUCAAUUAACACAAAGGGAGGACAAGUAGAGAUCUCCUUGGUAAGCUUUGCUUGGAGUUGAUCAUGAGACUCUUUCAGAGAGAAAUGAACACCUUUUAAGACCUUGUGGGCCUUGUCAAGUGUGUCGAACUCCACUUUGAGUCUAUCAUGGCCAACCCCAAGAGCAUACUUUUCAGACUUAUGCAUAAGAGUAAGAACAACAUCAUGAUCUAGUUUCUUUUGCAUUUUAGCGCAGUCAUCGUUAUAUGACUCCUCAAGAGCCAAACGAAGAGUGCGCUCCUUUUCUAGAGCAAUCGAUAAUUCAGCAAUUUCAUCGGCAUAGUCACGACUGUGUCCCUGAAGCUUGGAGAUGGUCUCCUCAUGAGACUCAAUGAGGUCAUUGGCCUCACCCAGUUGUUCCAAGAGAGCAACAAAGUGCUUCUUGGAUUCUCCCUUACUAGUGCACAAAAACUUGUCAAGAUCAUGCUCAUUAAGUUCCCCAACAUCACUAUCAUCAACACAAUUUAACAAUGAAGGAGCAGUAGCGAUGUUGGUCUUAAUGAUGGGGGUUACCUGAUUGAUACCAUUUUCCAUGAGGCACUUGGUGAUGUGGUUCUCGUUGGGGGCGUUGAAGAGAGACACCUUCUGGGGAGAGGUAGUGGCAAUAGCAACAGUUGUCGUUGCCACUGUAUCAUCAUCAUCAUCAUCGGAAGGGUACUCUUCAAGGGCCACCAUCCCUUUUGGGUGGGGUUUCUUCACAAAGUUGUUCUUGAUUGGAAAUGAUUUGGUUUUGUCUUUGCGAAUGAGCUUGCCCCCGUUGUCUUCCCUUUUCUCAUAGGGACAUUCGACCACGAAGUGGCUCACGUUACCACAGUUAUAACAUGUCCUCACUCGUUGCUUGGGUUUGAAUCCACUCGAGUUGUUCUUGGUGAAGGUGGGUCUUGAGUUCCUCUUGUUGCCCCAGAAUUGCCUUGACGCAAGAGCCAUGUGCUCAUGAUAGGCAUACUUUGUGUCUUCAGGGCAGCUCUCCUCUUCCUCAUCCUCUUCUUCUUCUUCAAACAUUGCUUUUGCUUUUAACGCAAAGUUGGGUGAAGUUGUCUUUGAGCGAACACGAGCAAGUGCAUUGUCGUUUGUUUCGUUCAUGAUUGACAUUGCGAUAAAUUCAUCCAACACCUCACUGGAAGACAAGGAGUGGAAGUCUAGCCGCUGACGAAUGAUAGAUGACAUGGCUUUGUUGAAAGGCAUGAUGGCUUUGAGAAACUUGCGCUUGACCCAUGUAUCAUCCAUAUCCUUGCUCCCAUGAUCCUUGAGUGCCACGGCAAUAGCAGUCACCCUCCGAUAGAGAUCACGAGGGUCCUCGUCUUCCUUCAUCACAAACUCAUCGGCCUUAUCAAGUAUCACUUCAUAGUUGGAUCGUUGAAUGCUUGAGCUUCCCUUGUACAACACCAUAAUAUGCUCCCAACAAUCCUUGGCCAAAGUGAAGGGACGUAGGUGAGGAAGAUCUUCAGGUGGCACUGCGGACUGGAGAAUGAACAAAGCAGAGUGAUUGUAUUGAUUGUAUGCAUCUUCUCUUGGAGUGAGGUUGCUUGGAUCAUGGGGAUAAUAUCCUUGCUCGAUGAUUCUCCACAAAUUUGUUGAGCUGUGAUUCAAAUGAGACUUAAUAGAAAAUACCCAGUUAGAAAAGUCACCUUUCACAAGCUUAGGAGGAGGACCAACAGGGUUAAGACGCGGUAUGGGAACGGAUCCUCCAUAGACCAUGGGGGGUGGAACUGAGGCAUAGGUUCUAGUCCCAUCCUUUUCGUGAGAUGAGGAAGGUCGCAUACCUUUAGCCGCUUCCUUAGAGGAAUUGGCCUCCGAAUAGCUGAUGGUGGGUUUAACCACUAACGCCGGUUCGGGUGGACUUUUAAAUCCCUCAAUUAACUCUUUAAGCAUGGUCUUGACUUCGUUCGUCAAGGACGUCUUGAGGGCGGCCAUAGCCGUAUUCAAGUCGUCCCUUGUGACCGAAGUGAAGUCCAUGGCCUCGGGUUGCCCAUGGUUAAUUCCCUCUUCACCUUCCAUACUCUUCGGGUGGUGAAACCCUUAAUAAAGAGACGUGGCUCUGAUACCAAUUGAAAGGGUCGAUAUGGUUGACUAGGGGGGGGUGAAUAGGCAACGACCACUUUUUAAUUAAUCUUAGCAAGUUAGGGUAAAGAACAUACGGGUUCACAAAUAUAACAACAAUGGGGUGAACCGUAAUGAUGCUAACAACGAGAGCUACUAAGACAAGUAAGAGAUAGACAGCAACAUAAGCAUACACAAAGUAAAGGUUAGAGAUAACCACAAGUGGAACCAAUGAAGACGAGGAUGUGUUACUGAAGUUCCUUCCCUUUGACAGGAAGUACGUCUCCGUUGGAGCGGUGUGGAGGCACAAUGCUCCCCAAUAAGCCACUAAGGCCACCGUAUUCUCCUCACGCCCUCGCACGAUGCAAGGUACCGUGAUUCCACUAUAGGUGCCCUUGAAGGCGGGGAUCGAACCUUUACAAACGAGGUUGGGGCAAACUCCACACAAAGCUACGAGGCUCCCAACAAGACCACGAAGCUUCGCCACAAUGGAAUGUGGCUUCGAGGUGACCUCAACCGUCUAGGACGCUCAAACACCCAAGAGUAACAAGAUCUGCAAGGGAUUGGUGGGGAAUCAACUUUUCUCUUGGUGGAAGUGUAGAUCUAGGCCUUCUCAACAAAUCCCUAAAGAAUCAACAAGUUUGACUGGCUAGGGAGAGAGAUCGGGCACUUUUGAGCUUAGGGGGCACCAAUGGUGCUUGGGAGGGUAAGAGAUAAGGUUCGACAGCUAGAAGAACCCUUUAUAUAGUGUGGGGGGGAAUCCAACCGUUUUCCCACUCACAGCCCGUGCCUAGCGGUACUACCACUGGAUACAGCGGUACUACCGCUAGCACUCCAGCGGUACUACCGCUGGCUGCAGUGGUACUACCGCUGGCUGCAGCGGUACUACCGCUGGGCCCAUGGUAGUGCAUAGGCACUACCACCGCCAAGAAAGUCUUCGCAAAAAGGUCCGUCCAAGUACACCCGUUAGGAAGGCGGUACUAAGCACCUGGAGCGGUACUACCGCUGACCAGGGACGGUACUACUGCCAGCUAGCGGUACUACCGCUGGCUGCAGCGGUACUACCGCUAGCACUCCAGCGGUACUACCACUAGGGCUAGCGGUACUACCGCUGGGGGACCAUUUGCAAAGAAGAGAUAAACACAAAGGCGGGAGCCACUCCAAAGUUGCCGGCAAGGGGGAAAAGAGGUGUAGUGUGCGCGUGCAAGAUUGAUUCCACCCAACCCUUUCCACUACGGUUCCCCUCUUAAUAGUACGGCUUUCCUAUGACUCAAAUAAAGAGAAUCAUAGAGAACACCGUGCUUCUGUUCCAUGAAAGAGGGGGCGAGUCGUCUUGUGCCGUUGACGUGUGUUAUCUGAAAUCUUAACACACACGGUUAGUCCUUUGCGGUAUUGUCAUCAAUCACCAAAAUUACUUAGGCGUAAACUAUGCCCUAAUAGUUGCUUUGUACUCGCACUAUCUUCGGCAACAUCAGACGUACGGGACCGCUUGUAACCACCGGCCCGGCCAGGAUUCACGUUACAAGGAGGAACAUAGUCACCAUCACCUGGAACUUGAACAGAAAGGCGGAAAAUAGACAAGACACAAGUGAAUACCAAGCAACAACCAAGAAAGCAACAACAAAACAUAAAAUAAAGAGAUCCCUUAAGAAGAAACACAUAAAAGAGAGGUUCUGGAGGACAAGCGGUUGUACCGCACUUCGUGAGCGGUACUUCCACUUGUGUGGUAGUAACGGCCACCUAGAAGCGGUACUACCGCUCGGGCGGCAGAAACAGCUUCCGCGGCACAACAAAUCUCAUGCAAAUGACUAUACCCGGAACGACUACAGACUCAGGAAGACAAAUGCUGACCUCCUUAUGCCAAUACUCCGCUAAAUAAAUUAGAAACACAUUGCAUGUAUUGCCCUAAAACAAGAUGUGAGAAGCUCAACACAAAAAGGGGAAAUGAAGAUGGGCAAUACCAGAGUCCAUGGCGUAAGGAGGCAGGGGGAGGAGGCCCACCGACCAGAAGAUUGAGGAACGGCCCAGAGGGGGAGAUCCGAAGCUGGCCUCCAUGGGGGUUGCGGCCGCCUAUGAGAGGGAGAACGAGAGGGAGGAAUAGAGGAUGGGUAUGGGGGAGUUAGAACCUCCCCUUGGCAUCUCAUAACUCCCCAGGCGGUUCCUGAAGCGGUAGUACCGCGGACAUGAGCGGUAGUACCGGCCACGCGAGAGCGGUAGUGCCUCUUGUGUCACAGGAUCAUCCUAGCCCCAAACUAUGAAGAACAACAAGGCAAAAAUUCAAGAUAAUUCAACCAAGACACAAGAUGAGAAAAAUCUCCAAGGUAAUAACAAUACACACAAGGAAGAGUUAAAAAGAGCAAAGGUCUCACAAGGAACGGGCGGUGGCUGAGGCCACCUAUGUUUGAGUCAAAUGGUAUGGCACCGCAAAGAUUUUAACCUUGGGCCCAUGACAAAAAAUCGUCUUUGAAGCACUAGAACCAUUCAAAAUGGACAAAGUGAAAGACUCGAUUGAUUUAUGGAUAAUAGGGGGAGGGAGAGUUCGUUGAGAGAACAACACUCCCCCUAAAUCCAUGCCCACACCUAGACAAGAUAAAAUGAUGAGAGUGGUGGGGUGUGCCUAGUUUCAAUCCACAUUGCUCAAAUGAAUGAUAUUUAGCUCAUGCCUUAACUCGCAAAAUCUCACUUCAUUCAAAGGCUUCAUGAAAAUAUAUGCAAAAUGAUCAUUAGUGUUGAGGUAAAUGAGAUCAAUCUCCCCACGCUUGAUGUGAUACCGAAUGAAGUGGUGACGUAUGCUGAUGUGCUUCGUCUUGCAAUGUUGAACCGGGUUAUUGGAGAUUGAGAUAGCACUUCUAUUAUCACAAUAAAGAGGCACUUUGUCACAUGUGACACCGUAAUCCUUUAAAGUUUGCCUCAUCCAAUGUAACUGAGUACAACAACUUGCAGCAGCUACAUAUUCAGCCGUAGUGGGCGAGAGAGAAACACAAUUUUGUUUCUUGGAAGACCAUCUUAUCACAGAGCAACCAAGGAUUUGGCAACCUACGGAAGUUGACUUCCUCUCCACGCGGUCCCCCGCCCAAUCGGAGUAUGAAUAUCCUAUGAGAUCAAAUGAAGCACCUUUGGGAUACCAUAAGCCAAAGUUUGGGGUAUGAGCCAAAUAUCAAAAGAUUCGCUUGACCGCCACAUAGUGGCUUUUCUUAGGUGCCGAUUGAAAUCGUGCAAAAAUUCCCACGCCGAACAUAAUAUCCGGUCUAGAUGCACAAAGGUAAAGCAAAGAGCCGAUCAUAGAGAAAUAUACCUUUUGAUCGAGAGCUUUACCAUUGGGAUCAAGGUCAAGAUGGCAGUUGAGAGGCAUGGGAGUGUUGGCCUUGGCCGGUUUGAGAUCAUCCAUCUUGAACCUCUCGAGCAUGUCUUGAGCAUAUUUUUCUUGAUUGAUAAAGGUUCCUUGACUUUGUUGCUUGACUUUGAAUCCAAGGAAAAACUUCAACUCUCCCAUCAUAGAAAUCUCAAACUCUUUAGUCAUUAGUGCGGCAAAUUCUUCAUUAAAAGCUUUGUUAGGAGAACCAACAAUAAUAUCAUCAACAUAUAAUUGGCAUAUGAACAAGAUCCCCUUGACCUUCUUAGUAAAAAGAGUGGAGUCAAUUUUCCCAACUUCAAAUCCACAAUCAUGUAACAUCUCGGUAAGGUGCUCAUACCAUGCACGUGGGGCUUGUUUAAGGCUAUAGAGUGCAUUUUCAAGAACAUACACAUGGUUAGGGAGCUUGGGAUCCUUGAACCCCGGGGGUUGCUUAGCAUAAACCAACUCCUUAAGGGGACCAUUAAGAAAAGCACUAUUCACAUCCAUUUGAUAUAGUUUGAAGUUAUAAUGAGAAGAAAAUGCAAGCAACAUGCGAAUAGAUUCAAGGCGAGCGACUGGAGCAAUGUUUUCACCGUAGUCAAUGCCCUCGACUUGGGUGUAGCCUUGUGCUACCAAACUUGCCUUGUUACGAGUGUUGACACCGUUCACAUAUUGCUUAUUCUUAGAGAUCCACUUUGUCCCAAUGACAUUGUGGUUCUCCUUUGGUCUUGGGUACCAGUCGCCACACUUUGUUACGCUCGAAGUUGUUGAGUGCUUCAUGCAUGGCUUCAACCCAAUCCAUGUCUUCGAGGGCCUCUUGUACCUUUAGGGGUUCAAUGCAAGAAACAAACGCGUGAUGGGAACUAAAGGUUGAUAAUUGACGAUGAGUGGUUACCUCUCUCUUUAAGCUGUCGUAGACAUUCUCCAGUAUAUGAGAAUUCCUUAUGAGCAUUUUGGCAUUCUUGCCGCUCGUCUUUCUUGAAUCUCCUCAGGGGUAAGCUCGGGAGCUUGUUUGAGACUUUUACUGCUCGAGCGGUACUACAGCUCCGGUCAACGGUACUACCACUCAUCAUAGAUAGGGAAGAAACAGAGCAGAAGUACCGCUUAGGGUGAUACUUCCGCUACAAACUUCCGCUCAAAAACAAUUGCUAAACAGAAUCAAAAUACCGGGAAAGUUCACCGAUAUUUGGGACGGAAGUAGGGAGCGGCAGUAGCGCUUGCUCCGAGCGGUACUUCCGCUUACUAAACAACAAGAUGAUAGCUCGAAAGAGAUGAGAAGGAAAGGUGGUGACAGAUAUGUAGAUGAAUGAUUCUCCCAACUUUUCCUAAUGCGGACCCCUCUUGAUAGUACGUACUAUCCUAUGACUCAGGUCCACCAACACUUAAUAAUACGAAGCACUAUGUCUUCUUGUUUAACAUCCGAGGGGAAGAAUAACCAUCUCAUGCCACCUGAUAACCUUUGAAAGCUCAAAGCACACGAUUAGUUCGCAAAGGUGUUGUCAUCAACCAUCAAAACAACUUAGGGAAGAUUAUUCUCGGGAUGCCGCGGACUUGGAAUUCCUCAAAUUCUUGCCCCCGGCAGCUUCAGGCUCUUCUGUCCCAACAACCUCGGGCUCUUCUGUCGCAACAGCCUCGGGCUCCUCACCCCUGACAAGAUCCUUUAAGAGGUCGGUUGCCGGCGGUUCUUCGUUAUCCUCCUCUUCAUCGUCGGUCUCCUCCUUAUCACAUCAUGUGCGGUAGCAUCAGAGCUACUGUCGUCCACAUCAAAACCCGCCUCCAUGACCCAUGUGUCGAUAAAAUCAUUUUACUCCUUGGUGGUGUUGCAGAUUAACACACCUUCGUCCCUGACGCACACCUCCGUCAAGUUGUCGAACCACUUCUAUGCCAACUCCUUUGCUAGCGGCUCCCAUAAGGGAUCAACCCCAUGUGCAUUGCAUGCUGGAAUCAUAGCCAGGAUCAUAUCCUUCGCAGUGUUGUUGUAGAGUGUGAUGAAGGUUGCCGGAAGCUUGAAUUUCGCAUCACGACAGAAGAGUUGGUGGCAUAGGGUGGAGAGUUGUAGCAGCAUAAAAUUGUUGGGGAGUCCUAGACGCAUCUGCAUGAUGUCGGCAACGUUGUCAUACUCCGAGGCAAAGUGUUUCCGGUAUUAUAAGGGUGCGAUGCGCAUGGCAAGGAAAUCCGCGCCCAUCAUCUCUAUUGUGAGCCUGAUAGCCCUCAAUGGGAGCAUGCACGUGAUGACGAUCUCCAGCUUCUUGUCAUUGCAUGCGAGGGUGCUCGAGUGCUUGUUGUGGACCGGCUUGGAUCUCUAAAUCUCGCAGAACACCGGGGGCUCCUUGUCCACGAUGUAACACCACUCGACCACCAUUCCUCCCACUCCUUGUGCAGGUUGUGGGGAGGAUAUACCUCCUUAUGGGUGGCCCGAGGAAUCCACAUGAUGUUACCGAAGUGAGCAUCCGCUUCUAUACAUGGAUAAUAGAAGUGGUGAAGGAGCGAUACAUUGGGAACUACUCCUAUGAAGUUUUUGCAGAAAUGCACAAAGACCAACAAGGUGGUCAUGGAGUUUCGCGUGAAAUCUAAUAGCCUGAAGCCGUAAGUUAACAUCAGGUCUGUAAAAAAGGCAGAGAAAGGGGGUCCAGCCUGCAGUAGAAGGUCACCAUGAAGAACGGGUACUUCUCCGUGUUGGGUCGGGAAUCACCAAGAAUCACCACCGGCAUAGGGUGUGUCGUGGUCUCUUUCCCCCACAAUCAGACCGUACCUCAAGAUGAGGUCCUUACCCGUCAGCAUGGAGGGGAAGAAGACGACGCCCGUCCUCUGCGUUGUUGCUAGGGUGUCCUUUGAUACGUCUCCAACGUAUCUAUAAUUUAUGAAGUAUUCAUGCCAUGUUUGCCUAUUUUUACAAUAUUUUUAUGUGGUUUUGCUGCACUUUAUAUGAUUUAUUUAGAACUAACACAAAGUGACGUUGUUUUCAGCAGAACUACCAUGAUGUUGUUUUUUGUGGAGAAAUAAAAGUUCUCAAAAUUGGACGAAACUUUUUGACGAUUUUUUUGGAAGAAAAGCGAAAUACUGGAGCAAAGAACCACCAAGGGGGGGCCCUGGUGCCCACUAGACACCAGGGCGAGCCAGCCCCCCUGGUGUGACAUGGUAUCUAGUGGGAACCUCGUGACCCAUCUUGGCAUGAUUCCAAUGCCCAAAAAUCCUAUAAAUAUAGAAACCUCCAGAAAUAACCCUAGAUGAGAAGUUCCGUCGUGCAAGCCUUUGUAACCACGAAAAACCAAUCGAGAGCCCGUUCUGGCCCCCUGCUGGAGGGGGAGAUCAUCUCCGGUAGCCCUCUUCAUCAUCCUGGCAGAGGCCAUGACAAGGAGGGAGUAGUCCACCCUCGAGGCUGAGGGUUUGUACCAGUAGCUAUUUGUUUAAUAUCUCUCUCUCGUGUUCUUAAGAUGUCAUGAUUUUGAUAUAUCACGUGCCUUGUUAUUAUAGUUGGAUCAUAUGGUGUUUGUGCCAUGCUAUUAUUUUGGUGAAUUGAAUAUUUUACUUUAAGAUCUUGUUAUGUUGGAUUGAAUAUGCAGGUUUGAGAGCACAUGAUAUAUGUCUUACAUGUGGAUACCCGUAGUGACAUUGGGGUAUGGCAUCAACUCGCGGAAUCCCGAGGUGACAUUGGGGUAAUCUAGGCAUAGGGGUUGAUUACACAUUUUCAUACUAUGUUCUCUGGUAGAAAUCUUGGUGUGCUCCUUGAAGUUCUUUGUGUUGGAUUGAGUAUUAUGAAUCUGAAUUUGUUAUGGUGUUAUUUUCGUACGAAGUCUUGAUACAUCGAUCGGAAAGGAUAACUUUUUAUCUUAGCACGAACUCUUGGAAAGAUUUAUUGGAAAUAAUAAGUUUGAGGUGGUUUCGUACCCUACGAACUAUUUCUUCUCAUGUUCUCUACUAGAUAGGAACUUUGGAGUGAUUCUUCAUCGCACGUUUAGGGAUUGUUAUGUGAUCCAAUUAUAUUAGCAUUGUUGAGAGAUUGCACUAGCGAAAGUACGGACCAUAUGCCUCAUUUUCAAGCAUUGCAAUACCGUUUAUGCUCACUUCUGUUACUUGCUACAUUGCUGUUUUUAUGUUUUCAUAUUACAAAAAUCAAUAUCUACUAUCAUUACUACACUUGUAUAACCACCUCUUCGCUGAACUAGUGCACCUAUACAAACUACCAUUGUAUUUUGUGUGUUGAGGACACAAGAGACUUUUUAUUAUUUGGUUGCAGGGUUGUUUGAGAGAGACCAUCUUCAUCCUACGCCUCCCAUGGAUUGAUAAACCUUAGGUCAUCCACUUGAGGGAAAAUUGCUAGUGUCCUACAAAACUCUGCGCUUGGAGGCCCAACAUAGUCUACAAGAAUAAAGUUGAGCAGUAGACAUCAUCCUUUCUCAUGUUUGUGUCGGGGUUGGUGGCUCUUAUGGCCCUCUUUGUCGGGCCGGAGGCAGCGGCAGACGGUGCUCUCUUGGGUACCAUAGCAAUCUCGGAGAAGGAUGGCGAUAAAUACGAUGAAGCAGCACGGGGUCUCUGCGCUGUGCGAUAGGGAAAGCAAAGGCGACAACAAAAUGGGAGACCAGUUGGUUGGGAUGAGCAACACAUCUGUGAAUCCCCCUCUUAUAAUGUGGAAUGCGUAGAGGCCAUCUCUCCCUGUCCGACGUGGCCGCGUCUUUUUAGGCGCUCCCCUCACGUGCAGUUUUGCUCCACCUCUCCCAUGUCCCGCAUUUAAUGCACGUCGUGGGGUAAAGUUUGACGACGUGUUUGUGACUCCUUUGGGCCUAGCCCAACAACAUCAUGGACUUUAUUGUGGACCAGUCCCCGGGGCUCAUGUCGGUUUACGAAAGAACGGGUCCUUUAGUACCCUGACUUGUGCAUAGACGACACCGACCUCUAGCCCGGCUACUGUCGUCUAGCCCGGUGAUAAGUAUCCUGCGUAUCUAUAAUUUUUUAUUUUCCCGUGCUAUUAUAUUAUCAUCCUAGGAUACUUUUUGGGUCAUAAUUCACCAAUUUAAAUUAUUUUCGAGCACUAACCUAUUAAACCAGUGCCCAUGGCUAGUUGUUGUUUUCUCCAUGUUUUUGCUUUUCAUGUUUUCAGUACCAAACAUAGUCCAAUUGAGACGAACCAUUUUUAUGAUUUUUUUCUGGACCAAAAGAAGACCUGGAAGCUUCGGGAGGAGACUUGAAUCCACACGAGGGGGCCACAAGCCAACACGGGGUGUCCACACCCUGAUGGUUUGUGCCUCCCCGGUGGCCCCUCUUGCUACAUUCUCUGGCCUAUAAAUUCAAAUAUAUUCCAUAAACCCUAAAAAUAGUCGCCAAACACUUUUUACACCGCCGCAAGUCUCUGUUCCAUGUUGGUCCCAUGUGGAGCUCCAUUUCGGCACCUCGUCAGAGGGGGGUUGAUCAAGGAGGGCCUCUUCAUCAACCUUGUUGCCCUCGUGACAAUCUGUGAGUAGUUCACCGCAGACCUAUAGGUCAGUAGUUAGUAUCUAAAAUGCUAUAUCUCUCUCUUGAUCUUUGAUACAAUGAUCAUCGCAUCUUCGCUUUGAUCUAUCCGAUGUAUUCUUUUGUAUGGUGUGUUUGUUGGGAUCUGGUGAAUUGUGUGUUUAUGUUUAGAUUAUUCAUGAAAGUAUUUGAGUCUUCUCUGAGUUUUAUGAUACAUAUUUUUAUGAUCAUCAUAGCAUCGUAAUUCUCUUUGAUCUAUUGAAUUGCUUUGGCCAAGUAGUUUGGUAUUUAUUCAAUGGGAGGUCCUUUUGCACCAACCCAAAACCUCAUAGGUUGCUGCAAAAGGACCUCCCAUUGAUCCAUCCACUCUAACAAGCUUUGUAUGUGAAAUGUUUUAUUCCUCUGAUGAGUCAUUUGACUCCAACUAUAAACUGUUCAAAAAUCAAGCCGGUGAAGUAUUUGCUCGAUAUGUUGGAACUAACUGCAGGAAUGGACCACCACUAAGAAAAAUCUGGGUUCCCAAAAGCUGCUUGGAAAGACUUCAAGUGAAUGUCCUCAUGACACCACAAGUGAAGAACGGGAACCCCAGAACAAAUUCCUCACGUGGACCUAAGUCUUCACGGGGACCAAAUUCCUCAAAUGGUGAAAACUACAAUCGUACUCACACUAAUGCUUCUGAUAUGCAGGGAAACUAUAAGGGACAUGAAUAUGUGCACUAUUCCUCAAAUCACUAUGUUCAUAGGUCUUCAAAGAAUUUUUCUGCCUAUUCAUUUGAGUACUCUAACCCCCCUACUAUGAAAAGAAGUGCAUUAGCUUCAAUGUCUCCAUUCUCAUAUGGUGCUCGCAGGAUGAUGAAAUCUUUACCACCCCUUCAGAUGUGGGUGGUGAAGAAAUCGAACUAAUCACUUCUGCACGUAAGGUCUCCAGAUGAAAGUCAUCAUCUGAAGAAUUUGUUGGAGACGCGAGAAAAUUGCUUGAUAGGACGCAAGCUAAAUCAUGAUGAAAUGAUCUAUCAUUUCACACGUCCUCAUUAUGUCCUCAAAUUUAUUUCUAUGAGAAAAUUCAAGUCUGAUGAAAUUGAUAUCAUAUUCUUCAAUAUGAAGCAUAUGAGAUGGUAAGCAGUACUAAUUCAUCUACAAGAUGAUCAACCCAAGAACACGGAGUGGGUUCUUGAUAGUGGAUGUAUAAAUCACAUGACUGGUGAUAAAAGCUUCUUGAUGAAUAUCCAACUGACUCCAUCACCACUGAAGCAUAUCACUUACGCUCACACAGGUAAAAGCAAGGUAUUGGGACUUGGUAAAGUGGCUAUCUCUAAGGACCGGCACAUGGACAAAGUCAUGCUUGUCGAAUCCCUUGGGUUUAACUUCAUGUCAGUCUCAAUGCUUUGUGAUCUUGAUAUGAUUGGCAUCUUUGGAAAAUAUAGAUGUGUAGUCAUCAUGGAAUCUGACAAAUCCAUAGUAUUCGAAGGCUUUGGGAGAGGAGACUUGUAUACUAUUGACUUCUCUACAGGUCCUCAAUCAGCCAAUUGUCUACUUGCAAAAACCUCAGAAGGCUGGCUAUGGCAUCAACGACUUGGUCAUACAGGCAUGAGGAAUUUACACACACUGGCGAAGAAGAAGCAUGUCAUUGGCAUCGAAACCAGCAAAUUCCUGAAGGACCAUCUCUGCGGGGCUUGUAAGUCUGGGAAGAUGACCAGAUCGAAACACCCCUCGAAGACUAUCAUGAAUACUACUCGUCCAUUUGUAUUGCUUCAUAUGGAUCUCUUUGGACCUACUCAUUAUACUACUCUAACAAAUGCAGCAUCUCUAUAUGGCUUUGUCAUCGUUGAUGAUUAUUCUCGAUAUACUAUCAUUUUGUAUAAAACUGAAUUUAGGAAGUUUUCAAACGAUUUCCCUGAAGGACCUCGACGAACUUCGGCGUCAAGAUCAAGCACAUCAGGAGUGACAAUGCGACAUAAUUCAAGAAUACCGGCCUUGAUGAUUAUCUUGAUGAACUUGGUAUUACUCACGAAUUGUCUCCUCCUUAUACUCCUCAACACAAUGGCGUUGUUGAGCGCAAGAACAGGACUCUGGUUGAAAUGGCACAGACUAUGCUUGAAGAAUAUCAGACUCCUCGUCGCUUUUGGACUGAGGCAAUCAACACUACUUGCCACAUUUUCAACAGGGUAUAUCUUUACAAAUUCCUCAAGAAAACUUCAUAUGAACUCCUCACUGACAAGAAACCCAAUGUAAGUUAUUUCAAAGUCUAUGGUGCAAGAUGAUGGAUUAGAGAUCCUCAUCAUAGCUCAAAAUUUGCACCUAAAGCACAUGAGGGUUUUAUGCCCGGCUAUGGAAAGGACUCACACACCUACAGAGUCUUCAACACCUAUCACAACAAGGUUGUUGGAACUGUAGAUGUGUCGUUCGAGGAAACUAAUGGCUCGCAAUGAGAGCAACUGCCUCCUGUGCUAGAUAAACUGAAUCCUGAGGAAGCUACUAAGCACAAGGCUAUUGAAGAUAUCAUUCCUACUGAGGAACAACCCCUUGUUUAAGAAGUCGUCCCCAACAAUGAUGAAAUACAAGGGGGUGCACCUGAGGAAAAUGCUCCAGAUCAAAUUCCUCGGCCCAACCAAAGUCUUCAACCAACACAUUCGAGGAUUGCAAAUGAAGUUCAAAUUGACAAAAUCCUCCAUGACAUCAAUGCGCUAGGUCCUCCCACUCGCUCAAAAGCUUCACAUUUAGUGAACUUUUGUGUGCAUUUCUCAUUUGUGUCUAUUACAGAACCCUCAAAAGUUGUUGAAGCCUUCGUGGAACCUGAGCGGAUUCAAGUCAUGCAAGAUGAACUUCUUCUGUUCAAGCUAAAUGAUGUUUGGGAACUCGUCAAAAGACCUGAUCCUCGCAAGCACAAUACCAACGGCACCAAGUCGAUCUACCGAAACAAACAAGAUGAGGAUGGUCAGGUUGUGAGGAACAAGGCACGACUUGUAGCCCAAGGCUACACGUAGGUUGAAGGAAUUGACUUUAAUGAAAGUUUUGCACAUGUUGCUAGACUUGAAGCUAUUCGUAUAUUGCUUGCUUAUGCUAACCAUCACAGUAUUACUCUCUAUCAAAUGGAUGUGAAAAGUUCAUUCCUCAAUGGUAAGCUUGAGGAAGAAGUAUGCGUUGCUUAGCCCCCUAGGUUUUGAAGACCCGAAGCAUCCAGACAAAGUCUUCAGACUAAAAAAGGCACUCUAUGUCCUCAAGCAAGCCCCUCAGGCGUGGUAUGAUACAUUGAAGGAAUUCCUUGUGAAGAAAGGCUUCAAACCCGGUUCACUCGAUCCCACUUUUUUCACAAAAUUGUAUGAUAAUGAACUGUUUUUAUGCCAAGUAUAUGUGGACGAUAUUAUCUGUGGUUGUACUGACAAACACAGUGAUGAAUUUUCCUACAUGAUGAGUGAAGAAUAUCAAAUGUCUAUGAUGGGGGAGCUGAAAAUUCUUCCUAGGUCUUCAAAUUCAUCAACAACACAAUGGCAUCUUCAUCUCUCAAGAGAAAUACCUCAAGGAUGUCCUAAAUAAAUUCGGCAUGAAUGAAUGGAAAAGCGUCAAAAUUCCUAUGCCUACCAACGGUCACCUCUCCACUAAAAAAUUGGUACAUAUUUUGAUCAGCAGGUAUAUCGCUCUAUGAUUGGCUCUUUAUUAUACCUAUGUGCACCUAGGCCAGACAUUAUGCUUUGUGUUUGCAUGUGUGCACGUUUCCAAGCAAAACCGAAGGAAUCACACCAUAAGGUUGUGAAACAUAUUCUUCGAUAUCUAGCUCACACACCAACGCUUGGAUUAUGGUACCCCAAGGGCUCAAAUAUUCACCUCGUUGGAUAUUCUGAUCCUGAUUAUGCUUGUUAGGGCAUAUUUGUGCCUAUGUAAUUUUGGUGAUUGAUGACAGUACCUUAAAAGACUAAUCGUGUGCAUUAAACUUUCAGAUAAUAUAUAUCAACGACACAAGAUGAUUCGGCACCCUCCAUGGAACAGAAGCACGGUGUCCUCUACGAUUCUCUUUGUUUGUGAUUCGUAGGUACGCCGUACUAUUAAGAGGGGAUUGAUACGUCUCCAACGUAUCUAUAAUUUUUGAUGGUUUCAUGCUAUUAUCUUGUCAAACUUUGGAUGUUUUGCAUGCCUUUUAUAUAUUUUUUCAGACUAUCUUAUUAACUCAGUGUUGCCAGUUCCUGUUUUUUCCAUGUUUUUGACCCCUUUCAGAGGAGAUUUUGAAACGGAGUCCAAACGGAAUAAAAUCCCUGAAAAGAAUUUUUCUGUAACGGGAGAAGAUCAGGAGACUUGAGAGCCAAGGCAGGGGAGCCCCAGGGGCCCCACAAGCUCCCACCCCGUAGCCAGGGGGGAGGCCACGGCCCACGGGCUUGUGGGCCCCCUGGACGUCCUUUGCCCUAGGUUUUGCGCCUAUAUAUCCCAAAAAAUUCCACAAAAAAUCAAGAGAUCACCGAAAGUACUUUUCCGUCGCCGCAAGCUUCUGUCUCCGCAAGAUCCCAUCUGGGGCACGUUCUGGUGCCCUGCCGGAGGGGGGAUUCGGAUACGGAGGGCUUCUUCAUCAACACCAUGACCUCUCCGAUGAUGCGUGAGUAGUUCACCAUAGACCUACGGGUCCAUAGCUAGUAACUAGAUGGCUUCUUCUCUCUCUUGGAUCUUCAAUACAAAGUUCUCCAUGAUCUUCAUGGAGAUCUAUCUGAUGUAAUCUUCUUUUGCGGUGUGUUUGUCGAGAUCCAAUGAAUUGUGGAUUUAUGAUCAGAUUAUCUAUGAAUCUUAUUUGAGUUUCUUCUGAUCUCUCUUAUGCAUGAUUUCAUAUCCUUGUAAUUCUCUUCGAGUUGUGGGUUUUCUUUGGCCAACUAGAUCUAUGAUUCUUGCAAUGGGAGAAGUGCUUGGUUUUGGGUUCAUACCGUUCAGUGACCUCACCCAGUGACAGAACGGGUAGCGAGGCACACAUCAUGUUGUUGCCAUCAAGGGUAAAAAGAUGGGGUUUUCAUCAUUGGUUUGAUAUUAUCCCUCUACAUCAUGUCAUCUUGCUUAAGGCGUUACUUUGUUCGUCAUGAACUCAAUACACUAGAUGCAUGCUGGAUAGCGGUCGAUGUGUGGAGUAAUAGUAGUAGAUGCAGAAAGUAUCGGUCUACUUGUCUCGGACGUGAUGCCUAUAUGUAUGAUCAUUGCCUUAGAUAUCGUCAUGACUUUGCGUGGUUCUAUCAAUUUCUCGACAGUAAUUUGUUCACCCACCGUGAUAUUUGCUAUUUUGAGAGAAGCCUCUAGUGAACACUAUGGCCCUGGGGUCUACUCCACACCAUAUUUUCAGCCUUACACUUUUUACUUCGUUGCACUUUCCGCCUUCAGAUCUCACUUUGCAAACAAUCUUGGACGGAUUGACAACCCCUUUGAAGCGUUGGGUGCAAGCUCGUUUGUGUUUGUGCAGGUACUCUGGACUUGACGAGACCCUCCUUCUGGAUCGAUACCUUGGUUCUAAAACUGAGGGAAAUACUUACUGCUCUUGUGCUGCAUCACCCUUUCCUCUUCAAGGGAAAAACCUACGCAAACAACAGAAGUAGCAAGAAGAAUUCCUGGCGUUGUCGGGGAAGGACUUUUGUUGCCAUAGCAGAAGGAUUUCUGGCGCUGUUGCCGGGGAGGAUUAAGUCAAGAACUCAUCCAAGUAGGUGUCGCAAACUCAUCUCUUGCAUUUAGUUUGUUUGCCAGUUGCCUCUCGUUUUCCUCUCCCCCACUUCACCAAUUUGCCUUUUUCGUUUUCCUUUUCCGUUUGCCUUUUCGUUCGCCCUUUCUCUCGCUUGCUUUGUGUUUGCUUGUGUGCUAUGUGACUUCAAUAUGCUUGCAUCUUCGCUUGCUAAAAAUCUAGUGAUAUGGAUCCUCACCCACUUGCUAAUCUCUUUAAGGGAUCCACUUAUGUGGAACCAAUUGCUAGUGAGUUGAGUGCACUUGACUUUCUCUAUGGAGUUUUGCUUGAGAUGCGUGAAUCUGAAAAUCGUGAUGAAGAAAUUCAUGAAAUGAUUCACGAGGGCUCCUUGAAUGAAAAGCAUGAUUGCAAUGAUUUCAUUAUAAAUUCUAUUAAUGACAAUCAUGCUAAAAAUAUGCAAAACCCUAAGCUUGGGGAUGCUUGUUUUUCUAUGUCCACUUCUUGUUGCAAUGAUAUUUCCAAUAAUAUUGAAAGUGGGUUUGGAGAAUUCAUGACUUUAGUUGAUGAUAAUCCCACUAUUUUUGAAGAGCGCCAACUUUUCAAGCAUGUGGAUCAUGAAAAUAAUAUCCUUUGUGAUAGCUAUUUUGUUGAAUUUGAUUAUGAUCCCACAUGUAAUUGCUAUGAGAGAGGAAAAUAUUGUGGUAGAAACUUUCAUGUUACCAAUUAGCUCUCGUUAUGUUGAGAUUGCUAUUGUCUCUUUCUUCUUCCUUGCAUUUGGUAACUAUUGGUUGUCUUGCCAAUUUUUUCUCCUAUAGAAUGCCUAUGCAUAGGAAUUAUGUCAGGCUUAGAUUUGAUUUUCACAUGCUUUAUGAUGCUCUCGUUGUGCUUCAAUUGUUGUCUUUUGUGUGAGCAUCAUUGAAUUAUCAAUGCCUAGCUAAGGGCGUUAAACAAUAGCGCUUGUUGGGAGGCAACCUAAUGAAUUUAUCUUUUUUCUUUCUGUUUUGUUGCGUCCAUACCAUCAUAAUUCUGUUUUGAUUGUGUUUUUUGUGUUUAUUUUUGUGUUUGAGCCCAGAAAAACCAUUAUGACUAGCCUUGGUAAUGGUUGUUUGAUACUGCUGGAAAAAGACAGAAACUUUUCGCUCACGAGAUGAUUUUUCAUUUUUAUUCAGAAAGGGCUUUUGAGUUGAUUCUUUUCGCUACUCGUUGAUAUGCCUUUUGCCCAGCAUUCGUAAUUUUUCAGAAUUUUUUGAGGUACCAGAAGUAUACGAAGUAUAUAGAUUUCUAUAGACUGGUCUGUUUUUGACAGAUUCUGUUUUUGUUGAGUUGGUUGCUUGUUUUGAUGAAACUAUGGAUAGUAUCGGGGGGUACUAGCCAUGGAAAAGUGAGAAUACAGUAAUAUAACACCAAUAUAAAUAGAAAUCAAGAUUGCUACAGUACCAAAAGAAGUGGUAGUUUGUUUUCUUGUGCUAAUGUUAUCACGAGUUUCUGUUUAAGUUUUGUGUUGUGAAGUUUUCAAGUUUUGGGUGAUGUUCUCAUGGACAAAGAGAUAAGGAGUGGAAAGAGCUCAAGCUUGGGGAUGCCCAAGGCAUCCAAAUCCAAAUUCAAGGACACCAAAAAGCCUAAAUUUGGGGAUGCCCCGGGAAGGCAUCCCCUCUUUCGUCUUCAAUCCAUCGGUAACAUUACUUGGGGCUAUAUUUUUAUUCACCACAUGAUAUGUGUUUUGCUUGGAGCGGCUUGUAUCAUAGGAGUCUUUUCUUUUUGUUGUGUCACAAUCAUCCUUGCUGCACACCUUUUUGAGAGAGAUAGACAUGUACUCAUCGUGAUUUUGCUAGAAUGCUCAUAGUGCUUCACUUAUAUCUUUUGAGCUAGAUAUUUUUGCUCUUUGUGCUUCACUUAUAUCUUUUAGAGCACGGCGGUGCGUGACUUGGUAGUUGCCUUAUGCUAUGAAAGUAGUCCCAAAGGUGAUAUGUACCCAAAGAGGAUGCAAAAACCUCCAUCUUCCUGUGCAUUGAGUAGAAAGAGAAGUCUUGAUUCCUCUCAAUUAGUUUUGAGACAUGGAUUUGGUAAUAUUAAGAGCUAUGUUAGUAGGGUGUUGUGAAUCUAGAAAUACUUGUGUUGAAGUUAGUGAUUCCCGUAGCAUGCACGUAUGGUGAACCGCUAUGUUAGGAAGUCAGAGCAUAAUUGAUCUAUUGAUUGUCAUCCUUUGUGUUGAGGUCGGGAUCGCGCGAUGGUUAACACCUACCAACCCUUCCCUAGGAGUAUGCGUUUAGCACUUUGUUUCGAUUACUAAUAAAAACUUUCGCAACAAGUAUGUGAGUUCUUCAUGACUAAUGUGAGUCCAUGGUAUAGAUGCACUUUCACCUUCCACCAUUGCUAGACUCUCUAGUGUCGCGUAAUUCUCGCUAGUGCACAAACCCACCAUAUGCCUUCCUCAAAACAGCCACCAUACCUACCUACUAUGGCAUUUUCAUAGACAUUCCGAGAUAUAUUGCCAUGGAACUCCCACCGUUCUGUCUCAUGACUUGUGCCGUCACGCUCAUAUUGCCAUUGCAUGAUCGUAAGAUAGCUAGCGGGAUGUUUUCAACGUCAUACGCCAUGCUAGAUCGUUGCACAUCCCUGUACACUGCCGGAGGCAUUUCCUAUAGAGUCAUCAUCAUUUUGAGCUUUGAAGUUAUGAGUAAAUAAAAGUGUGAUGAUCAUCAUUAUUAGAGCAUUGUCCCAUGUGGAAAAAAAAGAGGCCAAAGAGCCCAAAAAUAAAAAAANCCGUGUUCUUCAUGAUUGAGAGCUUCUUGCUUUGUCACUACCAUAUUCUAGUGGGAAUCUUCAUUAUAUAACUUGGCUUGUAUAUUCCAAUGAUGGGCUUCCUCAAAUUGCCCUAGGUCUUCGUGAGCAAGCAAGUUGGAUGCACACCCACUAGUUCUCCUUUUGAGCUUUCACAUACUUAUAGCUCUAGUGCAUCUCUUGUAUGGCAAACCCUACUCAUUCACAUUGAUCUCUAUCAAUAGGCAUCUACAUAGCCCCUCGAUACGCCGAGUCAAUGUGACCAUCUCCUCCUUUUUGUCUCACAACCACCACCACACUCUAUUCCACCUAUAGUGCUAUAUCCAUGGCUCACGCUCACGUAUUCCAUGAUAGUUAUAAAAAGUUUGAGAAAGUAAGAGUGCGAAAACAAUUAGUUGGCCAAUACCGGGGUUGUGCAUGAUUUACAUUAUUUGUGUGAGGAUGAUGGAGCAUAGCCAUACUAUAUGAUUUUGUAGGGAUAACUUUCCUUGGCCUUGUUAUUUUGAAAGUUCAUGAUUACCUUGCUAGUUUGCUUGAAGUAUUAUUGUUUUCAUGUCAAUAGCAAACUAUUGUUUCGAAUAUUACGGAUCUGAACAUUCAUGUCACGUGAAAGAAGUUGCAAAGGACAACUAUGCUAGGUAGCAUUCCACAUCAAAAAUUCAUUCCUUAUCACUUCCCUACUCGAGGACGAGCAGGAGUUAAGCUUGGGGAUGCUUCAUACAUCUCCAACGUAUCUAUAAUUUUGAUGCUUUCAUGCUAUUAUCUUGUCAAACUUUGGAUGUUUUGCAUGCCUUUUAUAUAUUUUUUGGGACUAACUUAUUAACUCCGUGCCAAGUGCCAGUUCUUGUUUUUCCAUGUUUUUUACCCCUUUCAGAGGAGAUUUUGAAACGGAGUCCAAACGGAAUAAAAUCCCCGAAAAGAAUUUUUCCAUAACGGAAGAAGAUCAGGAGACUUGAGAGCCAAGGCAGGGGAGCCCCAGGGGACCCACAAGCCCCCACCCCGCGGCCAGGGGGAGGCCGCGGGCCACAGGCUUGUGGGCCCCCUGGACGUCCUUUGCCCUAGGUUUUGCACCUAUAUAUCCCCAAAAAUUCCACAAAAAAUCAGGAUAUCAUCGAAAGUACUUUUCCGCCGCCGCAAGCUUCUGUCUCCGCAAGAUCCCAUUUGGGGCACGUUUUGGUGCCCUGUCGGAGGGGGGAUUCGGAUACGGAGGGCUUCUUCAUCAACACCAUGACCUCUCCGCUGAUGCGUGAGUAGUUCACCAUAGACCUACAGGUCCAUAGCUAGUAACUAGAUGGCUUCUUCUCUCUCUUGGAUAUUCAAUACAAAGUUCUCCAUGAUCUUCAUGAAGAUCUAUCCGAUGUAAUCUUAUUUUGUGGUGUGUUUGUCGAGAUCCGAUGAAUUUUGGAUUUAUGAUCAGAUUAUCUAUGUAUCUUAUUUGAGUUUCUUCUGAUCUCUCUUAUGCAUGAUUUCAUAUCCUUGUAAUUCUCUUCGAGUUGUGGGUUCUGUUUGGCAAACUAGAUCUAUGAUUCUUGAAAUGGGAGAAGUGCUUGGUUUUGGGUUCAUACCGUGCGGUGACCUCACCCAGUGAUAGAAGGGGUAGCGAGGCACACAUCGUGGUGUUGCCGUCAAGGGUAAAAAGAUGGGGUUUUCAUCAUUGGUUUGAGGUUAUCCCUCUACAUCAUGUCAUCUUGCUUAAGGCGUUACUCUAUUCGUCAUGAACUCAAUACACUAGAUGCAUGUUGGAUAGCGGUCGAUGUGUGGAGUAAUAGUAGUAGAUGCAGAAAGUAUCGGUCUACAUGUCUCAGACGUGAUGCCUAUAUGUAUGAUCAUUGCCUUAGAUAUCGUCAUGACUUUGCGCGGUUCUAUCAAUUGCUCGACGGUAAUAUGUUCAUCCACCAUGAUAUUUGCUAUUUUGAGAGAAGCCUCUAGUGAACACUAUGGCCCCCGGGUCUACUCCACACCAUAUUUUCAGCCUUACACUUUUUACUUCGUUGCACUUUCCGCCUUCAGAUCUCACUUUGCAAACAAUCUUGGAGGGAUUGACAACCCCUUUGAAGCGUUGGGUGCAAGAUCGUUUGUGUUUGCGCGAGUACUUUGGAAUUGACGAGACCCUCCUUCUGGAUUGAUACCUUGGUUCUCAAACUGAGGGAAAUACUUACUGCUCCUGUGAUGUAUCACCCUUUCCUCUUCAAGGGAAAAACCGACGCAAACAAGAGAAGUAGCAAGAAAAAUUCCUGACGUUGCCGGGGAAGGACUUUUGUUGCCGUAGCAGGGAUCCAUAGUGGAAAGGCUUGGGUGGAAUCAAUUUUUCACGCACACACUUUAUCUCCAUCUCCUUUCCCUGCAACUUUGGAGUUGUUCCCGUCUCUGGUUUAUCUCUUCUUGCAAAAAGGUCUCCUAGCGGUAGUACCACUGUCCCUAGCGGUAGUACCGUUGGGCCUAGCGGUAGUACCGCUAGAGCUGGCGGUAGUACCCUUGCCCUACCAGUAGUACCGCAAGAGCUGGCAGUAGUACUGCUAUGCUGGCGGUAGUACCGCCCCUGGUCAGCCGUAGUACCGCUCCAGGAACUUAGUACCGCCAUCCUUGCGGUUGUACUUUGUCGGACUUUUUGCGAAGACUUUCUUGGCAGUGGUUAGCCCGGUAGUGCCUCUGCACUACCAUGGGCUCAGGGGUAGUGCCGCUGCAGCCAGCGGUAGUACCACUGGAGUGCGAGCAGUAGUACCGCUCCAGCCAGCGGUAGUACCGCUGGGCUCGGGCUGUGAGUGGGAAAACGGUUGGAUUCCCCCCCCCCACUAUAUAAAGGGUUCUUCUAGCUCUAGAACCCUACCUUUGACCCUCCCAAGCCCCAUUGUUGCUCCCUAAGCUCAAAAGUGCCCGAUCUCUCUCCCUAGCCAAUCAAACAUGUUGAUUUCCUAGGGAUUGGUUGAGAAGGCCUAGAUCUACACUUCCACCAAGAGAAAAUUGACCCCCCCACUAAUCCCUUGCGGAUCUUGUUACGUUUGGGUGUUUGAGCACCCUAGACGGUUGAGGUCACCUCGGAGCCACAUUCCAUUGUGGUGAAGCUCCGUGGUCUUGUUGGGAGCCUCCAAGCUUUGUGUGGAGUUUGCCCCAACCUUGUUUGCAAAGGUUCGGUUGCCGCCUUCAAAGGGCACCUAUAGUGGAAUCACGGUACCUUGCAUUGUGUGAGGGCGUGAGGAUAAUAAGGUGGCCCUAGUGGCUUAUUGGGGAGCAUUGUUCCUCCACACCGCUCCAACAAAGACGUACUUCCUGUCAAAGGGAAGGAACUUCGGUAACACAUCCUCAUCUUCAUUGGUUCCACUUGCGGUUAUCUCUAACCUUUACAUUGUGUAUGCUUUUGUUAUUGACUAUCUCUUGCUUGCCUUAGUACUUAUAGUUGGUAGCAUCAUAUAGGUUCACCUCCUUGUUGUCAUUUUAGAGAACCUUUAUGUUGCUAACCCUAACUUGCUAAGAUAAAUUAAAAAGUGGUCGUUGCCUAGUCACCCCCCCCCUCUAAUCAACCAUAUCGAUCCUUUCAAUUGGUAUCAGAGCCACAUCUCUUUAUUAAGGGUUUCACCACCGGAAGAGUAUGGAAGAUGAUGAGGGAGUUCCCCGUGGGCAACCCGAGGCCAUGGCCUUGACUUCGGUCACAAGGGACGACUUGAAUACGGCUAUGGCCGCCCUCAAGACGUCCUUGACGAACGAAGUCAAGACCAUGCUUAAAGAGUUAAUUGAGGGAAUUAAAGGUUCUCCCGAACCAGCGUUGGUGGUUAAACCCGCCAACACAGAUUCGGAGGCCAAUUCCUCUAAGAAAAUGUCUAAAGGCAUGCAACCUUCUCCUCCUCUCGAAAAUGAUGGGACUGGAACUUAUGCCUCAGUUCCACCUCCCAUGGUCUAUGGAGGACCUGUUCCCACACCGCGUCCUAAUCCUGUUGGUCCUCCUCCUAAGCUUGUAAAGGGUGAUUUUGCUAACUGGGUAUUUUCUAUUAAGUCUCAUUUGAAUCACAGCUCAACAAAUCUAUGGAAAAUCAUCGAGCAAGGCUACUAUCCCCAUGACCCAAGCAACCUCACUCCAAGAGAAGAAGCGGACAAUCAAUAUAAUCACUCUGCAUUGUUUAUUCUCUAGUCUGCAGUACCUCCUGAAGAUCUUCCUCACUUGCGCCCCUUCACUCUGGCUAAGGACUGUUGGGAGCACAUUAUGGUGUUGUACAAGGGAAGCUCAAGCAUUCAACGGUCCAACUAUGAAGUGGUACUUGAUAAGGCCGAUGUGUUUGUGAUGAAGGAACAUGAGGACCCUCAUGAUCUCUAUCGAAGGGUAACUGCUAUGGCUGUGGCUCUCAAGGAUCAUGGGAGCAAGGAUGUGGAUGAUACAUGGGUCAAGCGCAAGUUUCUCAAGGCCAUCAUGCCUUUCACCAAAGCCAUGUCAUCAGUCAUUCGCCAACGACCAGAUUUCCACUCCUUGUCUUCCAGUGAGGUGUUGGAUGAAUUCGCCCUANNNNNNNNNNNNNNNNNNNNNNNNNNNNNNNNNNNNNNNNNNNNNNNNNNNNNNNNNNNNNNNNNNNNNNNNNNNNNNNNNNNNNNNNNNNNNNNNNNNNUUAACCACAUUGACUUCUAAGGGAGGAUGAUAUUUAAACCACUUCUCUUUAGGGAGAUUAAUAUGAGCAGCAAAUGAUUCACAUAAUGAAGCUACUAUCUCAGAGUCAAGUCCAUGUUUAGCGCUAAAAUCACAAAAAGUAUUUGUUUCAACGAAGGAUUUAACGCAAUCGAACAUAAUAUUCAUAACUGACUCCUUACCUUCAUCAAACUCCCAAUCUUCAGAGUUGCAUUUAAUUCUUUCCAAUAAAUUCCAUUUGAAGUCAAUAUCUCUCUUCAUAAAAGAACCGGUACAAGAAGUGUCAAGCAUGGUGCGAUUAUCAUGAGAAAGCUGAGCAUAAUAGUUCUGAAUAAUAAUUUCUCUCAAGAGCUCAUGGUUGGGGCAUGAAUAUAACAUUGACAUAAGCCUCCCCCAAGCUUGAGCAAUACUUUCUCUUUCACGAGGCCAAAAAAUAUAGAAAUAAUUCCGAUCACGAUUGUACCAAAUGCAUAGGAUAAACUUUUGAUGAAAUUCCAAUUUCAAUCGGUUGUAGUUCCAUGAUCCAGUAUCAUCACAUAGCCUAUACCAUGUCAAUGCUUUAUCCCCCAAAGAUAAGGGAAAGACCUUCUUAUUGACCUCAUCCUCGGGCAAACCUCAAGCUUAAAUAAAAAACAUACUUCAUCUACAUAGAUUAGAUGCAAGUCGGGAUGUGAUGUUCCAUCUCGUGUAAAAGGAUUAGCCAACAGUUUCUCUAGCAUACCCGAAGGAAUUCCAUAGAAAAUAUUUUCAAUAGGUGCAGAAGGUUGAGGAGCAACUCCUUGUGCUUCCAUUCGAGGUGAAGAUACCCCGAACAAGCUCCUCAAAGGAUUAGUUUCCAUAGUGACAAGUGACAAUAAAUUUCAGCACACUAUAUAAAUGUUUCCUUACCAAAUUCCACUUACCAAAGGCGCUUCACUCCUCGGCAACGGUGCCAGAAAAGAGUCUUGAUGACCCACAAGUGUAGGGGAUAUAUCAUAGUCCUUUUGAUAAGUAAGAGUGUCGAACCCAACGAGGAGCAGACGGAACUGACAAGUGGUUUUCAGCAAGGUAUUCUCUGCAAGCACUGAAAUUAUUGGUAACACAUAGUUGUGUGAUAAGAUGAUUCGUAGCAAGUAGCAAGUAACAAUAGUGAUAAAGGUGCAGAAAAGUGGCCCAAUCCCUUUUCCAGCAAGGGACAAGCCUGAACAAACUCUUAUAUGAGGGAAAGCGCUCCCGAGGACACAUGGGAAUUUCUGUCAAGCUAGUUUUCAUCAUGUUCAUAUGAUUCGCAUUCGCUACUUUGAUAUGUGGGUGGACCAAUGCUUGGGUUCUGCCCUUACUUGGACAAACGUCCCACUUAUGGUUAACCCCUUUCGCAAGCAUCCGCAACUACGAAAGAAGAAUUAAGACUAAAACUAACCAUAGCAUUAAACUAGUGGAUCCUAAUCAGCCCCUUACGAAACAACGCAUAAACUAGGGUUUAAGCUUCUGUCACUCUAGCAACCCAUCAUCUACUUAUUACUUCCCAGUGCCUUCCUUUAGGCCCAAAUAAUGGUGAAGUGUCAUGUAGUCGACAUUCACAUAACACCACUAGAGGAAAAACAACAUACAACGCAUCAAAAUAUCAAACGAAUACCAAAUUCACAUGACUACUUAUAGCAAGACUUAUCCCAUGUCCUCAGGGGCAAAAGUGACUACUCACAAAGCAUAAUUAUGUUCAUGACCAGAGAGGUAUUGAAUAGCAUUAGAGAUCUGAACAUAUGAUCUUCCAUCGAGUAAUCGAACUAGCAUCAACUACAAAGAGUAAUUAACACUACUAGCAACCUUACAAGUACCAAUCGGAGUCGCGAGACGGAGAUUGGUUACAAGAGAUGAACUAGGGUUUGGAGAUGAGAUGGUGCUGAUGAAGAUGUUGAUCGUGAUGAGUCCCCUCCGAUGAGAGGACUGUUGGUGAUGACGAUGGCGACGAUUUCCCCCUCCGGAAGGGAAGUUUUCCCGGCAGGACGGCCCUGCCGGAGCUCUAGAUUGGUUGUGCUCAAGUUCCGCCUCGUGGCGGCGGCGAUUCCUCCCGAAAGCCUCCUCUUGAUUUUUUAUCGAUUUAAACCCUCCUUAUAGCAAAACAUGGGAGCCAGAGGGGCAACAGGGGGCCCACAAACCACCCAGGCAUGGCCAAGGGGGUAGGCCGCGCCUGGGUGGCUUGUGGCCUCGUGGUGGCUCCCCUCCAGUACUUCUUCCGCCCAGUAUUUUUUUAUAAAAUCCAAAAUAAUUCCUCGUUGAUUUUCACGGCUUUUAGAGUUGCGCAGAAUAGGUAUCUCAAACUUGCUCCUUUUUCAGACCAGAAUUCCAGCUGCCGGCAUUGUCCCUCUUCAUGUAAACCUUAUAAAAUAAGAGAGAAAAGGCAUAAGUAUUGUAGCGUAAAGUGUAAUAACAUCCCAUAAAGCGAUAAAUAUCAACAUAAAAGAAUGAUGCAAAAUGGACGUAUCAACUCCCCCAAGCUUAGACCUCGCUUGUCCUCAAGCGGAAGCCGAGAUCAAUAAAUAUGCCCACAUGUUUAGAGAUAUUGGUGUCGGUAAAACAAAAUACGGACAUGCAUGCAUCAUGAUCAUAAUUAGAACAACAAUAGCGUCAUAUAAACUCUUAUGCUAAAGUGACAAUUCCUUCACAAAGUAAAGUAUGGAUCAAGAAUCUUAUUGAGAAUUAACAACCAAUAGCCUUUAGUCAUUGAAACAAUAGCAAUUUAUCAUAACAUCGGAAAGAGUCAAAUAAGAGCCUGUAAAGCAAAUCCACAUACUCAAUCAUCUUUUAGUCUUCUACAAUUGCUUAAACUCACGCGGUACUCAUGAGAUCAAAGUUUCAGUGGAACACAGAGAAAGAUAGGGACUUAUAGUUUCACCUCCCAACUAUUUACCUCAAGGGUAAAGUCAACAAUAAUAAUUCAUGAAUACUUACUUCCAAGUUGACAUAUGAAUAUAGAUCUUUCCCUAGCAUAUGACGUUAGCCAAGAUAAAGGCGAAAUAAGGAAUUGGUGUCGAUCACCAUGACUCUUUUAAGGACAAAAAGUAAAGGUACAAGAUAGGCCCUUCGCAGAGGGAAGCAGAGGUNNNNNNNNNNUGUGACCUCUUAGUGUGGAGGAACGUCACUUUAUAUUGCCUCGUGUGAUAAAGAACUUUACUAUGCAGUCUGUCGCUUUUAUGUCUUCCUCAUCACAGGUUCGUACAAAGCUUAUUUUCCACACAGUAAUAGAUCAUACAUAUUUAGGGAGCAAUUUUUAUUGCUUGCACCGAUGACAACUUACUUGAGGGAUCUUAUUCAAUCCAUAGGUAGGUAUGGUGGACUCUCAUGGCAAAACUGGGUUGAAGGUUUAUGGAUGCACAAGUAGUAUCUCUACUUAGUGCGGACGUUUUGGCUGAUAUGAGGUGGAAGCAAGCAUCACAUGCUAAGGGAUCUCUAGUCAUAUAACAUUGUUCGGAACCAAGCAAUCAUAAUUCAUUAUGUUGUCUUCCUUGUCCAACAUCUACUUCUAAGCAUGUAAUAGUUUAAUGAGUGUUCACAAUCAUAGAUGGUGCCCAAGAUGAUAUAUUUAUAUGUGGACCUCUCCUUCUUUAUUACUUCCUAUUAAUUGCAACAAUGACCAAGGUCUACGUUUGUCCACCCACAACAAGUUUCAAUCAACAUUCUUUUUAUAUGUGAAGCCAUCGCUUCCCAUAAGAUCAUUACAUGAUCUUUCAUGCUUUUGUCCUUUUAUUAUUCUUUUCUUUAGAUCAUGGCAUGAAGCAAGGCCCUUAACUAAAACACUCUUUAUUAUAUGACUCACGAACUCGAAUACAUUGGGGGUAACACAAAGCAAAAAUCAAACCUAGAACAUACUAAGAACUUUAUUCUACUAGAGAAAAAUAAAACCAAAAAGGAUCGAACUAACAAAAAGGUAAACGCAAAAGAUGUGAUGGUGAUAUGAUACCGGGGCAACUCCCCCAAGCUUGGCACAAGCCAAGAGGAGUGCCCAUACCCGUGCUUAGUUGUCUUCCUUCGAAGGUGAUUGUGGUGGAGUUGUUCUGUCUUUUGAUUCCAAGAGGGCCAUCAAUAUUUGAUUUAUACCUUGGAGUUCUGUGAUAUGUUUCUCCAGCAAAACAACAUCACGGGUGAGAUAAGUAUUAUGGAUACGAGUUAUUUCACAUAACCUCAAGAGUUCGAUCAAGGAUGGAGGUAAAAGGUGGAGAUAGGGUUGAAGAAAAUCCUGUUCCUCAGCUUCUUCCUUGUUGAGCACAGAUUGCCCUUCGUCCAACGCCGGAUUCUCCUCCUUAGUUUUGCCCUUAGUUUCUUCAAGCAACCUUUCCUUGGCCUCCAUGACCUCCAUUCUUUUCAGAUCAACACUUACUUCUUCAUAGACUUGAGGGAGAUCGUUCUCCCCGACAGAUUCCUGAGACGACAUCCUUGCCCUAAAUGUGCGGCAAAAACAGGCUCGAAACGAAAACAAAGAAUAUUUGCAAGAUACGAGGGUCAGACCUUCUGGGAGAACGAUCUUGCAAAUACCCUUUGUUUUCGUUUCGAUCUGGCAACGAUCUGGCAAAAACAUCUAGAAAGAAUUUUUCCCGACCAAAAGUAGUACUUCGCAAGAAAACGUAGUCCGGGAGGCACACGAGGUGCCCACAAGCCAUCUAGGCGCGGCCAGGGGAUAGGUUGCGCCUCGCAGGCUUGUCGCCUCCUCGUGCGCUUUCUAGACUACUUUAAUUUUUCUAUUUUUCUAAAAAUUCCAAAACGGAGAAAAAGUGCUACUGGAAAAGUUUUGGAGUCGGUUUACUUACCGAAUCAAAUACUUAUUCGUUUUUGGAGUUCCAACAGGCUGAUAAAUAUCCCUUAUGUACUCCUCCGGAGUUAUGGUAUUAAUAACAUUGCUUUCAACAUUUACGGGAGUACCUGAGAUAUAAUGCUUGAUUGUUUGCCCAUUUACCACUCCCGGAAAAUUACCUUCCGUGUUGUUGAUCUUGAUGGCACCGGAACGAUAUACUUCCUCGACAAUGUAAGGACCUUCCCAUUUAGAGAGAAGCUUGCCUGCAAAAAAAUCUUAAACGAGAAUUGUAUAGCAAGACAUAAUCACCUACAUUGAACUCACGUUUUUGUAUCCUUUUAUCAUGCCACCUCUUAACUUUUUCUUUAAACAACUUGGUAUUUUCAUAUGCCUCAGUCCUCCAUUCAUCAAGUGAGCUAAUAUCAAAUAACCUCUUCUCACCAGCAAGUUUGAAAUCAAAGUUGAGAUCUUUGAUUGCCCAAUAAGCCUCAUGCUCUAGCUCAAGAGGUAAAUGACAUGCUUUACCGUAAACCAUUUUGUACGGAGACAUGCCCAUGGGAUUCUUAUAAGCAGUUCUAUAAGCCCAUAGUGCAUCAUCAAGCUUCUUAGACCAAUUAUUUCUAGAUCUAUUAAUAGUCUUUUGCAGAAUUAGUUUAAUAUCUCUAUAAAUUAGCUCUACUUGACCACUGGACUGAGGAUGAUAGGGAGAUGCAAUUAUAUGGUUGACGUUCUACUUGGCAAGCGUUUUACGGAAAGCACCAUGAAUAAAAUGUGAACUACCAUUAGUCAUUAGAUAUCUAGGGACUCCAAAUCUAGGGAAAAUAACUUCUUUAAGCAUCCUAAUAGAGGUGAUCAACACUACUAGUUGGGAUAGCUUCUACCCACUUAGUAACAUAAUCAACAUCAACUAGGAUAUGAGUAUACCCGUUGGACUUUGGAAAAGGUCCAAUAUAAUCAAAACCCCAAACAUCAAAUGGUUCAAUGACAAGUGAAUAAUUCAUAGGCAUUUCCUGAGGUUUAGUGAUAUUACCUAUUCUUUGACAUUCAUCACAAGACAAUACAAACUUACGGGCAUCCUUGAAGAGAGUAGGCCAAUAGAAACCGGAUUGCAAUAUCUUGUGUGCAGUUCUAUCUCUCGCAUGGUGUCCUCCGUAAGCCUCUGAGUGACACUUCUGUAGGAUCUAUCCCUGUUCAUGCUCAGGUACACAACAUCUAAUAACACCAUCUACUCCAUCCUUAUAAAGGUGAGGAUUAUCCCAAAAGUAAUGUCUCAAAUCAAAGAAGAAUUUCUUCUUUUGUUGGUAUGUGAAACUAGGUGGUAUAUACUUGGCAACAAUAUAAUUUGCAUAAUUAGCAUACCAAGGUGUACUACAUGAAGCAUUGAUGACAUUCAAUUUCUCAUCAGGAAAGCUAUCAUCAAUAGGUUGUGGGUCAUCAAGAACAUUCUCCAACCUAGACAAGUUAUCUGCUACGGGGUUCUCAGCACCCUUCCUAUCAACAACAUGCAAAUCAAAUUCUUGUAGCAAGAGAACCCAUCUGAUAAGUCUAGGUUUAGCAUCUUUAUUUUCCAUGAGAUACUUAAUAGCAGCAUGAUCAGUGUGAAUGGUAACCUAGGAAUCAACAAUGUAAGAUCUGAACUUUUCACAUGCAAACACGAGUGCUAAAAAUUCCUUUUCAGUAGUAGCAUAGUUUCUUUGGGCAUUGUCUAGAGUUUUACUAGCAUAAUGAAUAAUAUUCAAUUUCUUAUCAACUCUUUGCCCUAGAACAACACCAACAACAUAAUCACUAGCAUCACACAUAAUUUCAAAAGGUAAGUUCCAAUCAGAUGGUUGAACAAUAGGUGCAGUUAUCAAGGCCUUCUUAAGUAUUUCAAAGGCUUCCUUAGAAUCAUCGUCAAAAACAAAAGGAAUAUCCUUUUGCAAGAGAUUGGUAAGAGGCCUAGAAAUCUAAGAAAAGUCCUUAAUGAACCUUCUACAGAAACCAAUAUGACCAAGGAAACUUCUUAUACCUUUAAUGUCUGUAGGGCAUUGCAUUUUCUCGAUCGCAUCAACCUUAGCCUUAUCGACUUCAAUACCUCUUUCAGAAAUUUUAUGUCCUAAGACGAUGCCUUCAUUAACCAUAAAGUGGCACUUCUCCCAAUUCAAGACAAGGUUGGUAUCUUUACAUCUCUGGAAAAAUCGAUCAAGGUUGUUGAGGCAAUCAUCAAAAGAAGACUCGUAAACUGAGAAGUCAUCCAUGAAAACCUCAAUAAUCUUUUCACAAAAGUCAGAGAAUAUAGCCAUCAUACAUCUUUGAAAGGUAGCAGGUGCAUUACAUAAGCCAAAAGGCAUACGUCUGUAAGCAAAGGUACCGGAAGGGCAGGUAAAAGUGAUUUUCUCCUGAUCAGAUUGUGCAACAGGUAUUUGAGAGAAACCAGAAUAACCAUCUAGAAAGCAGAAGUGUGUUUGUUUAGACAAUCUUUCUAGCAUUUGGUGAAUAAAAGAUAAAGGGUAAUGAUCUUUCCUAGUGGCUUUAUUCAAUUUCCUAAAAUCAAUCACCAUCCUAUAGCCAGUAAUAAUCCUCUGUGGGAUCAAUUCAUCUUUAUCAUUAGGGACAACGGCAAUACCUCCCUUCUUAGGGAUGCAAUGCACCGGACUUACCCAAUCACUAUGAGCAACAGGAUAGAUAAUAGCUGCUUCCAGGAGCUUUAGUAUUUCUUUCCUUACUACCUCUUUCAUCUUAGGAUUUAAUCUCUGUUGAUGAUCGACAACUGGUUUGGAAUCAGGAUCGGUUUUAGUUUUAUGCUGGCAUAGAGUGGGAAUAAUUCCCUUAAGAUCGUCAAGAGUAUAUUCAAUAGCAGCACGGUGCUUCCUUAGAGUUUUCAACAACUUCUUUUCUUCAUGCUCUGAAAGUCUAGCACUAAUAAUAACAGGAUAUAUCUAUUUUUCAUCGAGAUAAGCAUCCUUAAGAGUAUCAGGUAAUUGUUUAAGCUCAAACAAAGGAUCACCCUUUGGUGGGGGUGGAUCUCCAAGCAGUUCAACAUGCAAAUUAUUCUUAAGGAUAGGAUGUUGUUCAAAGAUAACUCUAUCUAUCUCUUUCCUUUCAUCCAUAUGCAUAUCAUUUUCAUGCUCAAGCAAGUAUUGUUCUACAGGAUCAGUAGGAGGCACAAAAAUAGAAGCUAGAUCAAUAAUUUCAUCCUUACUAGACAGCUCUUUUUCACGAGGUUGUCUACCAAACUUGGAGAAAUUGAACUCAUGUGACACACCUUCAAAGCCACCAGUGGCAAUUUGCUUCUCACAGUCAAUAUGAGCAUUGACAGUAUUGAGGAAAGGUCUACCAAAUAUGAUGGGACAAAAGCUAUCUUGUGUGGUAGCAAGAACGAGAAAAUCAGCAUGAUAUUCAGUUUUACCACACAAGACUUCAACAUCUCUAACAAUUCCCAAAGGGCAGAUAGUAUCUCUAUUGGCAAGCUGAAUAGUGACAUCAAUAGGUUCCAUCUCGACAGGUGCAAUAUCGUCUUUAAUUUCAUCAUAUAAAGAUUGAGGUAUUGCACUAACACUAGCACCCACGUCACAUAAACCAUGAUAACAAUGAUCUCCUAUCUUAACAGAAACAAAGGUGUGCCAACAACAGGCCUAUGUUUGUCUCUAGCAUGAGGUUUAGCAAUUCUAGCAGCAUCUUCACAGAAGUGAAUAUCAUGGCCAUCAACAUUGUCGGACAGGAGAUCUUUGAUAAUAGCAAUGCUAGGUUCAACUCUAAUUUUCUCAUGGGGUGUAGGUGUUCUAAUGUAGCCCCUACGUAUCACAGUUGAAGCUUUAGAAUGAUCCUUUAUUCUAACAGGGAANNNNNNNNNNNNNNNNNNNNNNNNNNNNNNNNNNNNNNNNNNNNNNNNNNNNNNNNNNNNNNNNNNNNNNNNNNNNNNNNNNNNNNNNNNNNNNNNNNNNGAAAGACUUAGUAUUUGCAGCAAAGUUUUAGUAGCAAAGUAGCGUGAUAGUAACGGUAACAGCGGUAACAGUAGUCGUAGUGACAGCAGUAGCGGUAACAGUAGCAGCAGUGACAACAGUAGCGGUAUAGUAACUUAGCAAGGACCGGUAGGAAAAACUCGUAGGCAUUGGAUCGGUGAUGGAUAAUUAUGUCGAAUGACAUUCAUCAUGUAACAGUUAUAACAUAGGGUGAUAUGUAACUAGCUCCAGUUCGUCAAUGUAAUGUAGGCAUGUAUUUCGUAUAUAGUCAUACGUGCUUAUGCAAAAGAACUUGCAUGACAUCUAUUGUCCAUCCCUCCCAUGGCAGCGGGGUCCUAAUGGAGACUACGGGAUAUUAGGGUUUCCUUUUAAUAGAGAACCCGAACAAAGCAUUCGCACGUAGUGAAUACAUGAACUCCUCAUACUAUGGUCAUCUCCGGGAGUGGUACCGGCUAUUGUCACUCCGGGGUUGCCNNNNNNNNNNUAGAUCUGAAAUCAUGGCACUCGGGCCCUAGUGACAAGCAUUAAGCAUAGCAAAGUAGUAGCAACAUCAAUCUCAGAACAUAGUGGAUACUAGGGAUCAAACCCCAUCAAAACUAACUCGAUUACAUGAUAGAUCUCAUCCAACCCAUCACCGUCCGGCAAGCCUAUGAUGAGAUUACUCACGAACGGUGAAGAGCAUCAUGGAAUUGGCGAUGANNNNNNNNNNNNNNNNNNNNNNNNNNNNNNNNNNNNNNNNNNNNNNNNNNNNNNNNNNNNNNNNNNNNNNNNNNNNNNNNNNNNNNNNNNNNNNNNNNNNCCGCGGCCCCGCCCACCAAGGCCUCCUCGCCCCCUGCCCCGGCGCCCAAGGCCAGCACCCCGCCGGUAGAGGCCCCCGUCGCCGCCCCGCCCGCUCCCGUCGCCGAGGCACCCGCCACCAUUCCCACCAAGCCCGACGCCCCCGCGCCCGCGCCGGCCAAGAAGAAGAAGUCCUCCAAGAAGAAGAAGAAGAGCAAGGCCCCGGCCCCUGCUCCCGUCGCCGCUGAGGCCCCCACCAAGUCCAAGAAGGCCAAGGCCCCCGCCGCCUCCGACGACUCCGAAGCCCCAGGCCCCGCACUCGAUGCUGCCGCCGACGACACCGCGGUACGUCUCGAUCUCCACCCCUAUACGCAAUCCGAAUCCACAAUGCCCAUCCAAAUCUCACAACUGCUCUGCGCACAACCGACGGCGCAACUGCUAGCACCACCUACAGUACGUAGUUUCUUUUUCUUUUCGCAAAAGAACUGAGGUAGAACUUUCCCGCUGCACCGAGAGUAAAAUAAUUAACACUGCUCUUACUUACAGUGGCUACUACGUACUUAGUUUAAUUUUACAUCUAAGUGUGCUUUAGUGGGCUCAUUAGUAGUAUAAUGGCAUGCUCAUUGGUUGGACUAUAGCUUUGUUUGGCGCCACCAAACAUGUGAUUAGGGAACUGACUGAUGAGUGAGAACAGCGGUAGAUGCCAUCGUCCCGACAUGUUGGUCAGACACGCAUGUGCAUCACGCCGUUGCUACGGGCAGAGCAGUUAAUGGGAAAUAACAAAAAAAACUAAACGUUUCAAAGUCAAGCUUCUGCCAGUCACUGUAGCAUUAUAUAAACUCCGAGCGUGUACUGCGCCCGGCCGUAAACAAUGCAUUCCGGAAGCCUCCACGACACUGCUCACCACACAUUAUAUUAUUUUUACCGCCACUUGGAAUUGCUUAUAAAAUCUGCCUCUUCCGUUGUGCAGGGCGCUGUCCAGAGCAUGGCAGGAAGCAUCAUGUCGGCGUGCGCGAUGGCGCUGGGCCUCGUCGCCCUCCUCGCCUAGACGACGACGAGCAAAGCCGGCGAAUGCGGGAGGCCCGGCCCGGCCCCCGGCCCCGUCAAGGCCCGCCACGAGGACACGCAAUCAUGCACGCACCGGGCCUCUUUCGGACGAGCUGUCCGUCUUUGCGCGCCACCGCAUUUUGUGCUGUCUGUAUUUUUUUCUAACUGGCCGGACGGGCCGGC